rnacentral:lncRNA from 1 species
CAGUUCCUGCCGGAGCCCAGGAGGCCGUGGAGCACGAAUGCCGUCGGGGCGGCGGGACCGUCGCCGGAGGGAGGAGGGGGUACCUCUUCGUAAGCUAGGGUUUGCAGGGACCGGGCGGAGGAGGAGGAGGAGCUGGUUAGCAGGUAAAGGUGGCGACUCGGUGAGUCGAGGAACCGAGUCAGGAGGCGGAGGGGCCGUUUGUUUCCGAGACUUCUGGCCAUGGAUGAUGAUCCCCCUCCUUCGUGCUCGAGUCCGGAGGCUUCGGGCUUGAUUAAAGGGAAAGAAAAUUGCCCAGCUAGGCUGCUGAGAAAAAAAUUCAACAAAUUCAAAGACACCACCUCAGCAGCUGACGCGGCGUGUAUUUCUUUUACUCACAUCCACUUGCAAAUUGACAAAUGUCCAUAAUGCCAUAUCAUUAGUUGAUGUGGAGUAAAUGAAAAAAAUUUCAAAAUCUCGAUCUCCCUUUCUCAUCCAUUCCACCGUGUCGUCUUUCUUUACUCACGCAUGACUAACCAGCCAAGACAAGCCGUGGCCACCAGAUUUAAGGAUGAGCCCACCUUGCGAGUCAUGGACAACACGAGCAAGGCUCAUGGCUAUUAAAGAGGCCAAAUUUGGACGGGCAAUGAUAGGACUGAAAUGUUUCCAUAUAUGUUGCGCGAAGUUUGCAGAAGAAGUAAAGAAGGUUCUUUAUUUGAUUUUUCGAGAGGUGCCAAGGUUGGGAUGAAGCAAAGAAUUUGUUUGAAAACCUCAUGUGAUAUUUCAAAAUUGACAAAACCAUUUAUCUAUAUCAAAUGUUAGAUAAAUUGGUCUUAUCUCAAGUUACACAAAUGUAAGGACUCCAUCACCAUUGAUAGAUUAUGAAGUAUGGAGUGAAAGACUAAAUAAGAGUAGAACCUUAAUGGAGUUGAACAAGUCAAAGAAUGGGAAGUUCAUUAAGAUUUGGAGGCACUGUGACUAGAUAAAUAGCUAAUGUGGUCAUAAUCAUACUUAUGAAGAUAAAGUGGAAGGUGGUAUGUAAGCCAACUGUUGGCAGUAAGCCUUGUUAGACCGACACGUCCCUAAUAAAAGUGGUUUGCUAUAUCACUUGAGCAAUUCGGUUUAUUGAGAGUGAUUGUAAUUUCUUUUGAGAAGUGUAUUAUUGGAGAAAACUUACUUAUUUGUUUUGAAGUUGACAAAACGUUUCCAUCAUUCUAGUUUGAAGACUUGCAGACUCUAUCGUCAAAGUCUGAAGACCUCUAGACUCUAUCGUCAAAGUCUGAAGACCUCUAGACUCAAGAUUUAAAGUCUAACAUCACUGAUAGUUUCUAAUCCGACGAAGAAAAGAUUUAUUCGAUGAAGAAGACUUGUCCAGAUGCGAGUAUAUCUUUAAAGAUUUGGUUAGUACGGUUGAAGAAGAUCUCACAACUGGAGAUAGCAUCUCGUGAUCAGUUAUUCUUAUUGAAAUCAAUUCGGAUAAUUAGAUUUAUUGAUUGACAAAGUAUACUUGGAAGGUUCUACUUAUGAAAACUUAGAUUCUAAUUGUAUGGGCGAGCAAGAUUGGUGGGCUAUUAUAACAUUUCUUAAAUAACUUGAGAUCUCCUUAUUUGAUUCUGUUCAAUGGGUAGAUUGGAAGAAUUCUUUUGGAAGGUGCCAACGGUUUAAAAGGCAUGGAGGAGUAUAUAAGGAAGACGCUCAAGUUAUUUGAGUGUGUGCGUGAAAGAAAAAUUUCAAAGUCUGAAACUCCUAGUUCUUUGCUGUUUCAAUUGUUGAGCUUAAUUGUACUCAAAAGAGAGAUUAAAUACUUGUGAGACAUUGAGGAAGUGUAGCAGAGUUUCUACACUGUGGAAUCAAAGACGUGAGACUGUAAAAUCUCUUUUAGUUCUUAGUGGAAUCCAGCCAGUGGGCUGUCAGUGCAAGAGAGUAGACAUAGGCUUGGUCUAAGCCGAACCACUAUAAAUCUUGUGUUUCAAUUCUCUUUUCUUAAUCUCUUUACGUUAAUUUGUAACUUUAUAUAACUGUUUAUAGUCUAUUGUUCUUAGAAGAUGAAUUAAUUUGUUAAGUUUUGGGAAAACCUUUUUGAUCACCUAUUCACCCCCAUUUAGAUGCUCUUACUAGCCUUAUCAAUUGGUAUCAGAGCCUGUGUGCUCAUUUAAUUAAAGUGUUUUUACUUAUGAGUCAAAGAUCUAUGACUCGUAUGUUGGCUCCAGGUUUGGUUGAAGGUCAAAGCAAUACUAGACCAUCUUACUUCGAUGGAAAGGAAUAUGGCAUAUGGAAAAAUAAGAUGAAGGCAUUCAUAAGAUCGAAAGAUCCUCUGGAAUGGGAUGUGGUAUAAAAAUGAAUCAUUCCUAAAGCUAUAUUAGUUUUAGAAAGAGGAAAAGAAGUUACAGACGCUGGCGAGAUGACUCAAGAAGAAAUAACCAAGAGACAAGUUCUUGAUGCUAAAGCAAUUUACUCCUUAUAUUGUGCGUUAUCUCUUACUAAGUAUAACAUAAUAUCUUCUUGUGAAACAGAUAAAGAAGUUUGGGAUAGGCUGCACAUUACCUAUGAAGGAACUAAUCGAGUGAAAGAAACAAUGAUCAAUAUUCUACUUGAACAGUAUGAAACCUUCAAGAUGAAGCCAGAAGAAUCUAUCACUGACAUGUUUAGUCAUUUUACAGAAAUUGUAAACGGUAUAGAGUAUCAAGGACAUCCAAUCUCAGGACCAAUGAAGGUCAACAAAUUGUUGCGUGGACUCUCCAAAGACUGGAAUCACGUGAAGACUUCAAUAAGGGAAACAAAGGAUCAUGCCGCUUUCGGUAGACGAACUGGUUGGCACACUUCAGUCUAUUGAAUUGGAGCAAAUCAAUGAGGAAGAAUAUUCCAAAGGUAAGAAGUCAAUUGCUUUAAAAUUUAACGAUGAGUCUGAUGUUACAGACUUUGAAGAGGAUAUGGACGAUGAAGAGCUAGCACUAAUGAUAAAGAGGUUCAGGAAACUGAACAAAAAUGGAAGAAUGUUUAAUUGGAAGAAACAAAGCACUCAAAAAUUUCAAAACAAAUCAACUGAGGAUGAUGAAACCAAUAGAGAUAUGAUCUGCUUUGAAUGCAAGAAAAAUGGACACAUCAUAUCCAAUUAUCCUCCGUUGAAGAAAAAGAAGGGAAAAGCUGAAAAAUACAGAAAAGCUCUCAAAACAGAAACAUGUAGUGAUACUGAAUGCAAAGAAAGUGAUGAAGAUUAUGCCAAUAUUUGUUUAAUGGCAAAAUUUGAAUCAAACUCAGACUUUGAGAUAGAUGCAGACUUAGACUCAGACAGCGAAAUCAAGGAAAAUUUUUGGAAAGAAAAGUUUGAAAAUUUAGACAAAAGUUUUGUUGUUUCAAAAAGAAAAUGCAGACUUUCUUUCAAAAUAAAAUAUAAUUUUGAAAGAGGACAUUUCAAAUAUCUCAAAAAGGUUUUCAAUAGGAUUUGAAAAGUUGGAAAAUAUUCUUUCAGUACAAAGACCUUAUUUCAACAAAUCAGGCUUGGGAACAACUUCAGAAAUUAUUCCUCUAAUUGAUUUUCCAAAAGUGAAGGAAGGAAUCAAACAAAGACCUACAAAAACUUUUCAUAGAAAUCAUUUUCAAAAAGUCUUUGUAAAACCUGUUGGCUGAAGUGCUCUCAAAUGUUCUAAGUGCAACAUUUCAGAAUAUUUUGAGAAAAAAUGUCCUAUGGUUUGGAGACCUGUUAAGAAGGAAUUGGCAAAGACUGUAUAUUGCACUAACUCCAUUGGACCCAAGAAAAUGUGGGUACCAAAGAAAACUUGAGUUUCUUUUUUAAUUGUGGGUCACUAUCAAGAAAAAAGUUAAAUGGUAUAGUGGCUGUUCGAGACACAUGAUUGGAGAUUCAAGUUGUUUUACAAAAUUUGUUCAAAUAAAUGGUGGAAAAGUCUCUUUUGGUGGAAAUAGCAAAUGAAGAAUUGUUGGGUGUGGAACUGUAAAGAUUGGAAGUCUCACAAUCAACAAUGUCUCCUUGGUGGAAGGACUAAAUUAUAAUCUACUUAGCAUAAGCCAACUGUGCGACACUGGAUUCAAAAUCAAUUUCCAAGAAGGAGUAUGUUCGGGAACUAGUAAAGGUCUUUCUCAAUCUUUUACUAGACGAAGACAUGGGAACAUUAUAUAAAACCAGAAAGAUCUCAAUGUCUAGUUUUAAUUCAAGAUGAAGCAAAUAUUUGGUAUCGAAAGCUUGGUCAUGUCAACAUGAAGCAAAUUGCUAAGUGAAAGAGCUAGUACGAGCACCUAGAGGGGGGUGAAUACGUGUGAAAGCAAAUUUUGCAAAAUAUAGUAUAAAACUUUUCCCUUUACCUUGAGUCUGGUUGACAAUAGAUUUUGCAGAGAAAAUUAGACUCUAACAAUUAAAUAGAGUUACGAACAAAGUAAAAGAGUUAAGGGAAGAGAAUAAGAACACAAGGUUUAUAGUGGUUCGGCUUAAUCUAAGCCUACGUCCACUCUCCCGCACCGAUAGCUCACCGGCUAGAUUUCACUAUGAAUUAAAAGAGUUGUUACAGUCUCACGUCCUUGAUUCCAUAGUGUAGAGAUUCUACUACACUUCCUCAAGGCCUCACAAAAGUCUAAACUCUCUUGAGUACAAAUUUAUGCUCAACAAUUGAAUUAGCAAAGAACAAGGAAUUUCAGACUUUGGAAUUUAUCUAUCGCACACACACUAGAAUAAUUAGAGCGUCUUCUUUAUAUACUCCUCCAUGCCUUCAUAACCGUUGGUACCUUCCAAAGGAAUUCUUCUAAUCUACCUGUUGGACAGAAUCAAUUAGGGAGAUCUCGAGUUACUUAAGGAAUGUGAUGAUAGCCCACCAAUCCUGUUCGCCCAUACAAUCAGGAUCUAUGUUUCCAUAAGUAGAACCUUCCAAGUAUACUUCGCCAAUCAAUGGAUCCAAAUUACUCGAAUUAAAUUCAAAACGAAUAAUAGAUCUUGAGAUGCUAUCUCCAGUCGUGAGAACUUCCUUAGCCACUCGAAUCAAAUCCUUAAAGAAAUAUUCAAUUUUAGAUAAGACUUCUUUGUCGGUUUAGAAACUGUCAAUGAUGGCAGAUUUUAAAUCUUGAGUCUGGUGGUCUGGCGAUCUUCAGACUUUGACGAAAAAGUCUGUAAGUCUUCAGACUAGUAUGAGUUUUAAAACAAAUAAGGAAGUUUUCUCCAAUAAUCUCCCUCUUUUUAUGGUGACAAAACUUUCCUGCAGAUUUGGAUACAUUUGAUCUGCAAAACAAUACUCAAACAAACAAGGAUAUCUCAUAAAAGAUAAAUGGAUUAUGAUAAAUAUAGUAUCGAAUUUGUAUCAACAGGAAAUGAGUUAGUCUUGUAAAAAGAACUAUCUUAGCCAUGAAUAUCAACAACGCUUAAGAUACUGCAAGCAUUAAACGAUCAAACAAUAUAAACCAAAAAACAUAGUCCAAACCAGUCCCAAACCAAAACUAGUCACAACCAGACAAAAGUAAAGUCAAAAGUUAAACAAAAGUCAAAUCUGCAAAUCUGCACCAACUUUUCCCCCUUUUUGUCAGUAUGAAAAGGUAGAGAUGAAAUAGAGAUUUGGAUAAAAUCAGGAUUGUUUUGGAAUGCGAACAAGCUGGAAAUCUCUCAUCGACUUGAUAGUCUCCUCCAGCUUUCUCAGAUCCUCCUUCAGUUGCGCUAUUUCUUCACCCUUAGCAGUUGCUUGAACUUGAAGAUUAAGGACCUAAACUUGAUUGUGCAAAGAAACUGAAGAAGCUUGAUUGGCAUUUUGCAUAUUCUGAAUUUCGCAUCCCAAGGCAUAAAUCUGACCUCGCGUCUCCAUAAGAACAUCAAGCAAUCUUCGAAAGUCUGCUGAGUUGUCAGUUUGAGUGCUUGCUUAUGCAUGAUCAGUUUGUGGAGUAUUGGCAGAUGAUGGCAUUUCAGCAUGAGCACCCAGACUCGGAGAUGAAACCUCAUGAUCUUCUUUAGGAAAUUGAGAGGCAUAUACAUCUUCUAGAUCGGCAGGAGAACGGUUAAUAUCAUCACUAGUACAAGCAAGUGAAGAAGUACCUCUUUUCUCAGUAGCUCCCCCUGUUUUAGUGCCUUCAGGUGGAGAGAAGUACUCUUCAUGCUCUGUCUCUUCUUCAGUAACAUGAUGACCUUGUUCUACUCUUUCUUCUUCUUUUGCAGUUCUUUCUUCCUCUGCUUCUUUCCUCAUCGUUUCCCUCUUUUCAUUCCUCCUCUGUUUCUUCUCUGUCUUGAUCCUCUCUCUCCUUUGUCUCUGGAACAAAACGUUGUAAGUUCCUUAAUGCAAGAGCGGAAAUGGUGAUAUCUUCCUCAUCUUCUUCAUCCUGCAAGAUGAGUGCUCUUCUUUUCUUAGAUGGAGCUGUCAUGGGCUCAUUUCCUUUCUGUUUUGCAACCAUAGAGUCUUGAUGAGGCUUGACAGGGGUCUUCUCCUUAAAACGCUAUAAAGCCUUGUUUAGCUCCUUCAGACGCACUUUUGAAACCAUCUUCAGCCCCACCACCAUUUGAUCACAGGUUCGAACACAUAAGAUUUUGGGAGGCUGAAUAUUAAAAUGUCUGAAUAGCUGAGUAACAAGUGCUGAAUAAGGAAGUUGGCCUUUGUCCUUCACCAUUGACCUAUAUAUGUGAAACAUGAUAGUGUGUGGCAAAGAGAACUUUUUGCCAGCAUUGAUAGCAUACAUCAGCUUCGCUUCUGCAUUGGAGACGUUAGUCUUUGAUGUGGAUUUGGGUCAAAGACAGUUAAUCACAAUCUUGUGAAGCAAGACAUUUGAGGCAUUCAUCCUCAAGAAAGAAAUUCGGCCUUCUUCCAUUCCAUCUCGAACAAGCUCCACAGUCGCACGACCAAUAGACACAUUAAAUGAUUGGAACAUCCCUCUCUCUACUCCAAUCACAUCAGCCCGAGUGUCCAUAUCAACCACAUAAUCCUGGUCUCUAACAUUGAAAGAAAAUCUAUUUGCAUCCAAAAAGCUUAGAUUGGAAUAGAAAUACGCAAUAAGUUCUGGAUGAGCCACUGUUGUCUGAAAGCAAAAUCGUUCAAGCUGAAGUAAAGUAAACCUCUCUCGCAGCUUCACGUUCAAAGAAUCGAGAAAUCAAAAUUCACACUUCUCGGGUUCAUCACCUCUCGCUUCAGCAAUUUAGAGUAAAGUCGUUUAUGUUACUUAGAACGAAACAAAUCUAUCAUUUUUCCUCGAAUAUUUGCAGCAACACCCAUUCUAGGUUUAAAAUGAGUGAACAUCUUUUCAUCAUCAUUUCCAUCAGGUUGACUAAGUUCUCCAACACGUGGAUCAUUUGGGAUAUUUGCAAAAGCUCUUUCUGCCGAGCCCGUAUGAGCAAUUCCCAAAUGUUCCAUCGUUCGUAAAAAAUGAGUUUCAUUUUGGUACCCAUUUUCUUUCAAAAAUUCAUCAAUAAAGUUCAAUGGAGAACCUCCAUCCUUUAAGGUAGAGUAGAGUUUGAAAGUAAAAGCAGGUUUUUGAGUCCUUACAAGUUCGGCAUCCUCAAUAAUCUCUUCCUCCAAUUGAUGAUGCUGAAUAUUCUGUUGUCUAGCCUGAGGGGAAUGACGCUGUUGAGAAUGUUAUGGAAUCUGCUGAUGCCUUGGAGAUUCUUCUUCCUCUGUAAGGUCAAAGUGCAUAGGACCCUCCCGCAUAUGCUGUGGUCCACUGCUUGCGAUCCUUGAGGACUUUCUUUGAUAAGACAUUAUCACAGUCUUUGAGAGAGUUUCCGAACUCGAUUCGAGAGAAAGAUGAAAAAUUUAAGGAUUAAACUAGGGAGAAAAAGUAAGAAAGUGAAGUUCUUUGCUUCUAGGGUUCGUGAAGAAAAUAAAGAAGAAGGACAGUAUAUAAGGCAAUCGAAACGGGGUAUACAGAUCGUCAUGAAAGGAAUGCUGGAAAAUGCAUUUUCAAAAAAAUAAUUGCCUUUUUGAAAAUAGAUAACUGUCAUUUAAAACAAAAUACAUUCUUUUUCAAAAAAGAAAAAUUGCUAUAAUUACGAAAACUUGGGAAGAUUACAUCAAUCAAUUGCAGAUUUAAUAGACAAUCGUACAUUUUUGAGUUUUUAUCUGAAAGAUAAAUUUCUAAAACUGAAAUAACUUACAGUCGUGAUUCUUGAUCUUCUAAGUCUGAGCAUCAUUAGACUUUUAUCCUUGAGUCUAAACUUCUUUAGACUUUGAGAUAUUAAGUCUGGAUCGAAUAGACUCAAAUUGACUUUUCUCUAGUGGCUUUGUAAAAAUGUCCGCCGGCUGAUUCUUUGAGUCAAUGAAUUGAAUCAAUAUUUCUCCAUUUUUGAACGUGAUCUCUAAUAAAAUGAUGUCGAAUUUCUAUAUGCUUUGCUCUUGAAUGAAGAAUUUGAUUUUUGGUGAGAUUAAUCGCGUUGGUGUUGUCACAUUUGAUCUCAGUGCAUGAAUCUUCGAUUCAAAAGUCUCUUAGUUGUUGCUUCAUCCAUAAGAUUUGAGCACAACAACUUUCAAGAGCCACAUACUCUGCUUCUGCUGUUGAAAGAGCUACAGUACUUUGCUUCCUUAAAAACCAAGAUACUGUCCCGUUGCCAAGCAAUUGACAAGUGCUCGAGGUGCUCUUUCUAUCAACUUUGCAUCCUGCUAGAUCUGCGUCUGAGUAUCCAAGGAGAGUACAGUCUCCUUAUUUAGGAUACCAUAGACGUAACUUAGAGGUUGUUGCAACGUAUUUGAUGAUGCGUUUCGCAGCACUUAGAUGAGAUUCUUUGGGAUCUGAUUAAAAUUUGGCGCAAAUACAAACACUAAACAGAAUGUCAGGUUUAGAAGCAGUAAGAUAAAGAAGUGAACCAAUGAUACUUAUGUACAGCUUCUAGUCAACUUUCUUUCCUCCUUCAUCUUUGUCCAACUUCAAAGAACUUGACAUUGGUAUAUCAAUAUUUUUGCAAUUCUCUAGACCGAACUUUUUAACAAGUUCUUCAGCAUAUUUUUUUUGGUGAAUGAAAGUCCCUUCCUUCAAUUGUUUUACUUGUAGUCCAAUAAAGAAGGAUAGCUCACCCAUUAUGCUCAUCUCGAAUUUAUCCUACAUAGACUUAGAGAAUUUCUUGCAUAGAUUUUCGUUAGGUGAUCCAAAAAUAAUAUCAUCAACAUAGAUUUGAACAAGCAAAAAGUUUUUACUCUCUCUUUUAAUAAAUAGAGUAGUGUCCAUUUUACCUUAAACAAAGCCAUUUUAGAUUAAAAACUUACUUAACCUGUCGUACCGAGCUCGAGGUGCUUGCUUUAAACCAUAUAGCGCCUUUUUCAGUCUGAACACAGAGUCUGGUUUUCUUAGGUUUUCAAAACCAGGAGGUUGUUCCACAUAGAAUUCCUCUUGGAUAAAUCCAUUUAGGAAUGCACUUUUGACGUUCAUUUGGAAUAACUUGAAAUUCUUAUAACAAGCAAAAGCAAGUAAUAAUCUAAUUACUUUUAACCUUACUACUGGUGUGUAAGUCUCAUCAUAGUCUAUCCCUUCUUCUUGCGUAUAUCCUUUGGCCACGAGUUUUGCUUUGUUCCUUAUAACUUUUCCUUUUUCAUCCAUCUUAUUCUUGAAAACCCAUAUAGCUUCAAUAACAGAUUUAUCUUUUGGUUUAUGAGUCAAUUCCCAGACAUCGUUAAUACUAAAUUGCCUGAGUUCUUCUUGCAUAGCUUCAAUCUAGCUUUCAUCAGUUAAAGCUUCUUCUAUGCUUUUGGGUUCUAUUUCGGAAAUAAGAGCCAUAGAGCUAGACUCUUCACGCCUUUUGGAUCUUGUUCGAAUCCCUUCAUCAAUAUCAUCAAUAAUAAGUUCUUUGGGAUGACUGGACUUGUGCUUCAAGUUGCUGGUUGGUUUGACAGAUUGUUGAUCUUUUUCUUCAUUUGAUUCUUCAACAUUCAUUCGUUGUUGACUUUCUGAAGUCUGAGUUGCUUCAGGAGAUUUAGACUUUGUAGAGUCUAGAGCAGGUUCAGAUUCUUCAGGUAGAGUUUGGAUCGAUUGAUUUUGUAUAAAGUCUUAAAAUUUGACGUUCAUCGAUUCUUCCAUAUAUUGAGUCUUUUUGUUGUAUACUCUAUAGGCUUUGCUGGUGGUUAAAUAUCCAAGGAAGAUUCAUUUGUCUGAUUUUUUUGCCAAAAAGUAGACCCAAGUAAAUUGUGAAUAAUUGUCCACUAUUACUAGGCAAUAUUUCUUUCCACCAAUGCUUUAAGUUCUGGUUGGUCUAAAGAGAUCCUUAUGUAGGAGUUGCAGCACACGAUUAGUAGAAAUUUGAUUUAUUGGUUUGAAAGAACUUCUAAUUUGUUUUCCCAACAUGCAUGGUGUGCAUAAUUCAAAUUUUUGGUAUGUCAGGUUGGGUAGUCCACGAUCAAGCUUCUUUGUAGAGAUCUUGGCUAUUUGUUUCAUGUUGAUAUGGGCGAGUUUUAUAUGUCAGAGAUUAGCUUCCUCUUGAAUUGAAAUUAGACAUUGAGAUUUUUCUGGUUUGAUAUCCAAAAGAUAGAUGUUCCCAUGUCUUCGCCCCGUGAAAGUCUAAGAGAAGUCUUUACUGAUUCUCGAACAUGUUCUUUCUUGAAAAUUGAUUUUGAAACCUGUGUUGCACAGUUGGCUGAUACUCAGCAAGUUGUAAUUGAGUCAUUCUACUAAGGAGACGUUGUUGAUUAUGAGACUUCCAAUCUUUAUUGUUCCGCAUUUGAUAAUUCUUCCUUUACUAUUUUCACCAAAAGAAACUUUUUCACCAUUAACUUGCAUAAGCUUUAUAAAACAACUUGAGUCCCCUGUCAUAUGUCUUGAGCAUCCACUAUCCAAGUACCAUUUGACCUUUUUCUUGAUAGUGACCUGCAUUUAAAAAAGAAACUCAAGCUUUCUUUGGUACCCACACUUUCUUGGGUCUAGUGGAGUUAGUGCAAUAUACAGUCUUUGCCUAAUCCUUCUUAAUAGGUCUCCAAACCAAAAAACAUUUUUUCUCAAAAUGUUAUGAGCUGUUGCACUUAGAACAUUUAAGAGCACUGCGGCCAACAGGUUUUACAAAGACUUUUUGAAAAUGAUUUCUAUAAAAGUCUUUUGUAGGUCUUUAUUUGAUUCUAUCCUUUAUUUUUGGAAAAUCAAUUAGAGGAAUGGUUUCAAAAGUUAUUCCCAAACCUGAUUUGUUAAAGUAAGGUCUUUGUGCUGAAAGAAUUUUUUCCAAUUUCUCAGAUCCUAUAAAAAACCUUUUUGAAAUACUUGAGAUAUCAUUUUUCAAAAGUGUGUUUUCUUUUGAAAGAGAGUUUGCAUUUUCUUUCAAAGUAAUAAGGCUUUUAUCUAAAUUUUUGACCUUUUCUUUCCAAACAAUCUCCUGUUGCUUCAGUGCAGAAUUUUCUCUUUUUAGCUUGGAAAUCCUCUUGAGAGAGAUUUUGACACUAAGACACAGUUCAUCAAUAUAUUUAGAGACUUUAGUAGGAAUUUUUAAAUUAUUUACCUCGAUUUCACUGUCUGAGUCUGAGUCUGUAUCUGUCUCAGAGUCUGAAUCUGAUUCUGAUUGCGCCAUUAGAGAAAUAUUAGCAUAAUCAUCAUCACUCUCUUCGCAUUCGGUAUCACUCCAAGUUUCUGCUUUGAGUGUCUUUCUGUAUUUCUCGGCUUUUCCUUUCUUUUUCUUCAGCAAGGGACAAUUGAGUCUAAUGUGUCCCUUUUUCUUGCAUUCAAAACAAAUCACAUCUUUAUUGGAUUCAUCGUCCUCAAUUGAUUUAUUUUGAACCUUUUGAGAGCUUUGUUUUUUCCAAUUGAAUCUUCUUCCCUUUUUUGUUCAGUUUUCUGAAUCUUCUUCUCAUGAGAGCAAGCUCUUCAUCGUUCAUAUCGUCUUUAGAAUCUGUAACAUCAGAAUCAUCAUUAGAUUUUAAAGCAAUGGAUUUUUUUACCUUUGGGAUCUUCAUCUUCAUUGAUUUGCUCCAUUUCAUAAGACUGAAGAGUGCCAACCAAUUCGUCAACGAAGAGUGGCAUGAUCCUUUGUAUUUCUCUUAUUGAGGUCUUUACGUGAUUCCAAUCUUUGGAAAGUCCACGCAGUAGUUUGUUAACCUUCAUGGGCCGUGAGAUUGGUUGACCUUAAUACUCAAAACCAUUUACGAUUUCUGUAAAACGACUAAACAUGUCAGUGAUAGUUUCUCCUGACUUCAUCUUGAAGGCUUCAUAUUGACCAAGCAGAAUAUUGAUUCUGGUUUCUUUCACUCAAUCGGUUCUUUCAUAGGUGAUGUGCAGCCUAUCCCAAACUUCUUUAGCUGUUUUACAAGAAGAUAUUCUGUUAUAUUCAGUAGGAGAUAAUGCAUAAUAUAAUGAAUAAAUUGCUUUUGCAUCAAUAGCUUGUCUCUUGGUUAUCUCUUCUCGAGUCAUCUCGCUAGGCUUUGUAAUUUCUUUUCCUCUUUCUAAGACUGUUGUAGUUUUAGGAAUGAUUCCUUUGUCUAUCACAUCCCACUCCAGAGGAUCUUUUGAUCUGAGGAAUGCUUUCAUCUUGUUUUUCCAUAUGUUGUAUUCCUUUCUAUCAAAAUAAGGCGGUCUGGUGUUGCUUUGCCCUUCAACUAAACUUGGAGCCAACAUACUAGCCAUGGAUCUUUAACUUUGAAGUAAAAACACUUCAAUUAAGUGAGUACACAGGCUCUGAUACCAUUUGAAAGAGCUAGUACGAGCACCUAGAGGGGGUGAAUAGGUGCGAAAGAAAAUUUUGCAAAGUAUAGUAUAAAACUUUUCCCUUUACCCUGAUUCUAGUUGACAAUAGACUUUGUAGAGAAAAUUAGACUUUAACAAUUAAAUAGAGUUACGAACAAAGUAAAAGAGUUCAGGGAAGAGAAUAAGAACACAAGGUUUAUAGUGGUUCGGCUAAAUCCAAGCCUACGUUCACUUUCCCGCACUGAUAGUCCACCGGCUGGAUUUCACUAUGAAUCAAAAGAGUCGUUACGGUCUCACGUCCUUGAUUUCACAGUGUAGAGAUUCUGCUACACUUCCUUAAGGCCUCACAAAAGUCUAAACUCUCUUGAGUACAAAUUUAUGCUCAACAAUCGAAUAAGCAAAUAAUAAGGAACUUUAGACAUUGGAAUUUAUCUAUCGCGCACACACUCGAAUAACUAGAGCGUCUUUCUUAUAUACUCCUCCAUGCCUUCAUAACCGUUGGCACAUUCCAAAGGAGGUCUUCCAAUCUACCCGUUGGACAUAAUCAAUUAGGGAGAUCUCUAGUUACUUAAAGGAAUGUGAUGAUAGCCCACCAAUCCUGCUCGCCCAUACAAUCAGGAUCUAGGUUUUCAUAAGUAAAACCUUCCAAGUAUACUUCGCCAAUCAAUGUAUCCAAAUUACUCGAAUUAAAUUCAAAAUGAAUAAUAGAUCUUGAGAUGCUAUCUCCAAUCGUGAGAACUUCCUUAGCCGCUCAAAUCAAAUCCUUAAAGAAAUAUUCAAUUCUGGAUAAGACUUCUUCGUCGGUCUAAAAACUGUCAAUAAGGGCAGACUUUAAAUCUUGAGUCUGGUGGUCUGGCGAUCUUCAGACUUUGACGAAAGAGUCUGCAAGUCUUCAGACUAGUCUGAUGGAAACGUUUUGUUAGCUUCAAAACAAAUAAGUUUUCUCCAACACCAAGAUCUCUUCCAUGAAACUUGUUUGUGGAUUGCACACCAUGUGUGUUGUGAAAACAGGUAAGAAGUUCUUUUAAACUAAUCAAUCAAGUUUCUACUAAUCGUGUUUUGCAGCUUCUGCAUAUGGAUCUCUUUAGACCAACCGGAACUGAAAGCAUUGGUGGAAAGAGAUAUUGCCUAGUACUUGUGGAUGAUUAUUCACGAUUUACUUGGGUUUACUUUCUGGCAAGAAAGUCUGAAACCUUUUCUCACUUUUCAAAGUUUGCUAAGAAAGUUUAGAAUGAGAAAUGAUAUGCUAUUUCAAGCAUAUGGACAGACCAUGAAGGUGAGUUUGAAAAUCAAGACUUUGCCAAAUUCUGUGAUGAAUCUGGUUUUCAGCAUGUUUUCUCCUCUCCAUACACUCCAAAACAGAAUGGAGUUGUGGAAAUGAAGAAUAUAUCUUUGCAAGAAAUGGCAAGAACUCUUUUAAUAGAAAGUAAUAUUUCUUCUCGUUUUUGGGUUGAAGUAGUCUCUAUAGCUUGCUAUACUAUUAACAAAGUAUUCUUAAGGCCUAUUUUGGAGAAAACUCCCUAUUGACACCUAAAUUUUGGUGACCCAGUCAUGGAUUUUUUGCAUAAAAAGGGGGUUAAUUUUAACCCCUCAAAAAAUGCGUCAGAACAAAUAAAAUGAAAAUGAGGGGAGGAUCAGUUUGAUUUGAUUAUGAAUGGAAUGUGGAAAUUCUGAUUAACCAUUCUUGCUUUGGUGAAUAUUCAAGUCAUAGUAAACGUGGAAGCAAAUUCUCGAUCAAAUAAAUUUGGUGAAUAAAAAAAGCAAUGAGUUUGAUAAAAGGAAAGGAAUUGAAACAUCCAAGGAAAAAUCAAGCCGAUUGCAAGAUUUUGCUCCAAUUUACAGAUUAUUGAUUAAGGCAACCGAAAUAGGAAGCUCGAAAAUUGCCAUGAAUUGGGGUUUUCAGAAUCACUAUAAAAACGAGCAAGAAUUUACGUGACCGUGGGGGGGGGGAAUUGAGAGAAAAAUUUAUGCAAGAAAAAAAAGUGUAGAAAGAAAAAGCGCGAAAAAGAGUGGAAAAAAGGGGCAUCAAGAAGCAGUCUUUCUUCCCUUUUGACAAUUUGCAGAAGGAAAUGAAAGAAGAUUGCAGCAAAAGGAAAAAAGUCAGUACUGAGAGAGAAAGUAAAAAAAAAAGGAAAAAAAGGAGGGGUCUUCUUCUUCAGCAAUCCUUCGACCGGCGCCCCAGCAUCUACAACCCCCGUUCGUCGUCGCCUGCACGAGCACCCCUGCCGGUCGACGCCUCAGCUCCGACCUACGACACGCACAGCACCCCCUUUGCCCGCUGCUGAUCUGCUAGCCGCCGUCCCUCACCAGCGAGAUCCGAGCGCGCCAUCAUCUCCGCUUGACGACCCUCCAUCGCGACGCCUCCGCUUGCCGUUAACACUGCUGCUUUCUGCCCCAUGAGCGAUGCCCGCGCCACCUAUUGUUGCCAACGUCCGCACCUGAGCAUCCCCGUCCGCUUGUCCUCAACGACGCUCAUGCCCGUGACUUGCCUCGACACCUGUAGGACCUCCAUUGCAGUAACUUGCGACUUGCAGCCCCCGCGAGCCCACUCUCUGCUCGACCCAAACGCCCGUUGUUGCUGCUGCGAAUCACCGCCGCUUGGUGCCCCUCGCCUGAGCGACCACCAGCAGCUCGCUCGAGCACCGCCACUACUGCCGCGCCUCUUUCCGCCAGCAGCUCGAGCUGAUCACUGCGCCUCCGCGCCCCUGCAGCAGCCCGUGACGCCACUGUUCGCUACCAUCGCUGCUCCCACCGCCUCACCCGUGCUUGCACCAGCGACGUCCGCAGCUCCGCUGCCGCUCCGACUGACCUGCAGACGCCCGUGCGUCGCUGCUGCUCCUGCGACGAGUCGCGCUUCCUGAUCCGAGCGGCUCCCUUAUUCAUUGCCAUUCUACCAGCUGCCACCCGAGCCCCUCGCUAGAGCUCCGACGACCAUGCCCAUCGCCCUCACCGGAGCCAUUGGGUGACUUACCACCACAGCUGCUGCCUUUGAGCCGUGUCGUGCCGAGCUUCCAUCGUUGGUCCACCUCAUCAUUCGAAUUUUUUGGAAAAAAAUUCUAUUUAGGUAGAGAUUUAUUUUAAUUUUAGGUAGAUUUAUUUUAUUAGGUAGAUUUGUUUUAUCUUAUUUUAGUUUUUGAUAUUUUAUCUCUUUGUUUGAAAUAUUUUCCAAUGCAUGAUUGAAAUUCCUUGAUUUAGCAUCCAAUUCGCAACCGCACGAAUUUUUAUUCUAUCUAUAAGGCUUUAGAUGGAAUAAUUAUUCACGCGGGAGUAAAAUUGAUAUCUUGAUCUUUAAGGCUUAAGAUCAAUUUAUCGAUUUUAUUAGCGAGAUAAUCAAGUUUGAAUUUCAAUUCGAAUGGUGGAUAACAUUUGUGAUGACCAUGGAUGAUUUGGUGUUCAUUUUUUUAAUUGUUCUAUUUAUCCCGAAAAUACAAAAAAUUGCAUUUGCAUCCCAUGUAAAUUAGCAUUGGUUGCAUGAUAGGUUAGUUAGUCAUUUUUCUUAAAUGCAUGUUUAAAUGAUAUCUAGGUUAGAUGAUAUCUUUGAAUUAAAUUGCAUAUCUAGGAUAGGAAAUUUACUUAUUUCGAACUUAAAAAAAUAAAAAAUAAAAAAGUAAAAAUAAUAAAAAAAAUCCAAAAAAAUGCAUUCGUGUAGGAUGUUAGUUUUUUUUUUUUAAAAUCGAAUUGCAUGUUUAAUUAUUUUGCAUUUUUAAUUUAGAAUUUUAUAAAAAAACACAAAAAAUAUCAUGUGCACGUCUUAUAGAAUUAGGUUCAUGAAAUGCACGUUAUUUAGUGAUUACUAGAUUCAUUUAAUUAGAACUUCCUUGUCAUUAGACUUUACCAAAAAAAACUUCCUUGUCAUUAGAGUUUGGUCAUUUGAUUAAUUUAGAUUGCAUACUUGUGUCAUAUAGUUUAGGUCAUAUUACUAUGUCAUAUCAUUUCAUUAGUAGCAUGCAUUGCAUGAUUUUCAUUAGUUAAGUGAAAACAAAUAAAAGAAAUUGCGUGUUAAUUAGAAAUCAUAUAUAGGUUGAUGAUGUGAAUUUUUAAUCUAACAAUGCAGAUGCUUUCGUUGAUACAAGGUAAGUCUUUGCAUUUUUUUUUUUAUUUCAUUGCUUUCUUGGAUGUUAAAUUGGUGGUUUGUGCACCCACAUGAUCACCUCACAUGCUAGGAAAUAGAUUUAAAAUAAAUCCGAACUGCCUGCAAAAAUAUUUUUGAAAAUUAAAAAGAAGUGGUACUGAAAUGGCAUUAGAGAAAUCUAGUGUAACCAAGUCCCCAUACCCAUAGUCUCUGGUUCGUAGGAGUAAAGUGAAACUCCUGUUACUUUACUUGUGUUUCUAAUCGACCCACAAAAAAAUAUAUUAGUGGCGACUCCUGAUUAAAAAAUCAAUUGCAAGCUAAGAACUUGAACCUAAGUCGCGAAUUGGUAUGGGCUUGGGAGAGCCCGAGUUAAGUUUAGGCUUAACAAUCCAUUAGCCAAACCUUAGGUGGUUCACAUUCGAAAUUUUGGUCGCGACAGCUUGGCGAGUCCGCUGGGGACUUAGUUGAAACUCUUAGUGGAUUUAAGCCAAUUUUAUUUUUUGAAAAAUGUUUUUGUUUGGCAGCGAGGAUCCUAGGUAUGUCCCUAACAUUUAGGUGUUAAAUGUUUUUGCAGAUUAUGAGGUAUAAGGGGAGUAGUGAUUGCUAACCUUUGUCUUGCAGGUUGGAGUUGGGGAUGAAUGUUUUAAAUUCAGGUUAUUGAAGUGUUGCUUGAUCUAAAUUGCUGUGCAUGUCUUGCAUUCAACGCUACAUUAUUGCACACACAACCUGCCGUCGGAGCUGGGCCGCACUAGGAUAUUUAGGAUGGUAUUGAGUUGGAUACGACUUUGAUCGCGAGGCCGCGUAGUAGAGGUUGCCCAACUCAAUCCCGAAAGUUUCUUUCUUGGUGUCAAGAAUGUUUACCUCUGCCCAUGAGGCUGCGUCGCAUUGGGGUGUCAUUCUUGACUGAGCCGAAGUUAGGAGGACUUGGCUUAGCAUGCGAGGCUGCAACUAAGUCAUCCCACCCUUUUAACUUCAUUUUGCUAAGCUGUUUAGAUAGAAAUCGAGCCUCACACUUCAUGCGCUUGUCUAUGUGAUUGCUGUCGAUUUUCCUUGGUGAAGUAAGUUUUCUAUCCAUAUACCAUGCAAUUUAUUUUUGGUCUGUCCAUGACAAUCUAGGGUAGUCAUUUGAUCUAAUUCCUUUGUCAAUCAGAAUUGCCAUGCAAUGAAUCAUUUGGAAAAUAAAAAACUUUGGAGAAUUUGUUUUCAAUUCAUGUCUAGAAAAUUUGAUCUUGUUAAGGUGUCUAUUUUUCUAGCUCUCUUUAGGGAAUUCUCUUCUUGUAAGAACUUUUCAUAAAAAAAAAUGAAAAAAAGUUGAUAGAUCAUUGUCAUGGAUUGGUUUGCUAUCUGCACCUCAUGCUUAUGCAUUUUCAUCCAUUUAAUUUAGGUGAUAAUGGAUCCUCUACGCUCUCCCAUCAUUACGCGAUCAAGGGCUAAAAUGGCCGACCAAAACGAGAUGCGCGAUCGCAUGUCCUCCAUGGAAGAUCAACUCAAACAGUUAGCCGCCUCUAUACAGCUUAUAACAGCUCAACUUUAAUCCCUCCAGGUGAAUCCAAAUCCUCCACCCGCUCUCCUUGAGAUAGUAGUCCCAAUGAAUAGGGCCCAAAUGAGCGAUGGCGAAAUGCCUGGGUUGGAAGAUGACAUGGUCCUUGUUGGAAAGGCCAAGCUUGACAGUGUUCCUAAGAUAGAUCAAGAUGAGCACGUUGCAAAGUUGGAAGAGAAAGUGAGACAGCUGCAGGAGUCACAAAGCUCACUCUUGUUCGACCUAUCGGUUUAUGAGAAGGUCAAAAUGCCAAGCAAGUUCAAAAUGCCAGAAUUAGAGAAGUAUGACGGGACAUCUUGUCCGAAAUCUCAUUUGCAGAUGUACCACGUGCGCAUGGCCCAGCACGUAAAAAACGAGCCCCUCAUGAUCCAAUCAUUUCAUGCAAGUUUAACCGGGCCCGCACUAAACUGGUACGUUAUGAAGAAUGUAAACCUCCUUGAAACCUGGAACGAAGUGGCGGACGCGUUCCUCAAACAAUACAAGUUCAACAUGGACAUUGCGCCUUCCCGAGAAGACCUAGAGCAGAUGGAAAAGAAAAGGAGUGAGUCAUUUAAGGAGUAUGCUGUGAGAUGGAGAAACCUGGCGGCUUAAAUUACUCCUGAGCCUACCAAUAAGGAGUUGAUGAAGUUGUUUGUGAAGACCCUUUCAUGUGAGUUCUGCAACCGAAUGGCCAGUACGUAUGUCGAGAGCUUCAAUAAGCUUAUUCUUGUAGGAGAACAAAUCGAGAUGGGGAUAAGGGAAGGAUGGUUUUCUGAGCCAUCUACUAAAAGAUUCUCUGCCAAGAAAGAGAAGGAAGUUGUUGAGGAUGUAAAUGUGACCUAUAGCCUAGAAGGUACUAAUCGCACCCCGGCUAUCCAAAUGAAUCAAAGACAACAACAAACUGUUGGUCGUCAAUUAUUUGCCCAAGCAAAUAAUAAAAGGCAAUUCACUCCCCUCCCUAGAUCUCCAUCCCAGGUGUUGGCGAUUCUCCGAAAGAAAGGUUUGCUUUCAAGUGAACUUAAGCGUCCUAAUCGUGAAAGCAAUCGAGGUUACGACCCGAUGAAGAAGUGUGACUACCAUAACGGUGAACUGGGGCAUUCAACUGAUGAAUGUUUCACCCUCAAGCACAAGAUCCAAAACCUCUUGGACAUGAAGGCCUUUUUGUUUCAAAUUGCUCGGCCGAACGUCCAGAAAAAUCCGCUACCGGAGCAUGAGGGUACGGUGAAUGCUAUUCUGGAACUUGAAGUCGGCUGAAUCAAGAGCUUGAAGGUGCACGUGAUGGAAACCCUGGGGUAGCCAAGUGAUGGAUGGGAUGGCAUGAAUGAUUUGACAUCUCCAAACACAGAGAGCUCUGAUGAUGCCUCGGAAGGAAUCACAAGUUUGUUCAAUGACCUCAUCAUAGGAGCCAUUGAUGAAGGACCACUUGAAGAGAUGGGCUUUGGCUCACAAGAGUAACUCUUUUAUUGCUUUUAUGCAUUCCCCUGCGUGGGAAUUUUUAUUGCUUUCUAAGAGAUGUUUUCAGUUUCUUUUUUUAGUGAUUGAGUGUUGCAUUUUUCCAUUCAAUAAAUGUAAUUUAUUGAUUAAUUUCAAUUAAAUUACAAGUUUUAUUUUGAGGGCAUGAUGAGGUAUACCAAACCAGCCCGGUGAUGAUAUCCAACCGAUAAAAGAAAAGAAAAAUCCAAGGAUAAUUCUGAGGCCUGGGCUUCAUCAUGUUUUCUCGUGUCAAAAUGUUUCAAAAAAUGCUUUUCCAAAUGCUUUUCAAAAAAAAAUUUCAAAAAAAAUAAAACUUGAUUUACUCUGUUUGUCUUUUUGACCCAUCUACUUUUUGUUUCAGAGACGGUCUUAUAGCAUGUAAAGGUGUGGAAAUGGUCCAAUCCAAUUCCAAAUCCUAGGGGCAAGUUCGUUUUGAAUUACAGUGGCUCGUAUGUGGUAAAGAACAUACUUCCUGAAGGUGCCUUGAUCUUGGCAGAAAUGCAUGGUCAUGAGUUUCCCACUCCAAUUAAUUCUGAUGUUGUAAAGGAGUAUUAUCUGUGAUAGAAUUUGUCAUGUCAUGUUUUAAACUGCAAGCAUUUCUAUGAUAAGUAAAUUACUUCAAUGAGUUGAAUUGUUCAAAUUUGUUGCAAAUUUUGCAUACUUUUCCUAAUGAAUUGUGUGAGAUGAAUUGAAUGUGUCAAAUGGGGUACUUUGGAAUGACGAAAAGCAAGCCUUGUUUCAUACACUGCUUCAUACACUAACCCCCAAUGAGUUGUGUGAAAAAUUCCAUGCCCGCAAGGAAGAGGGCUAUCUCGCAAAGGGUACGUCAACCAAGGUGAUGAGAGGCAUUCUUUUUUCUAUCACAAACACUAUAUGUGAUCCAUUGCUCAACCCCUUUGAGCCCCAUACAAUUAUGGAGAUUCUUUUAAAAUUACCCCUGUCAAGGAUCAUCUCAUACUGGGGAAAAUUUAAAAUGAAUGGUAGGAAUCGUUUUGCUCACACUUGCAUCAAUCUUCGAGUAUCGCUUUUGCAGUGUAACUUACGCGGUAAUUCAAGUGCCUUAGGAUGACGAAGAGCAGUUCUUUCUUUAUCCUACACACUUUUGACUAUUGCAUAGCUCACUUGAGCCUAUAAAUUCAUUUCAUGUCAAACCCAGUUGGUGAUCAUCCCCCACACUAGGGCAAGGCAAAAAGAACCAUUCAAGUAACAUGGCUUAGAAUACUGACUUUGUCCAAAAAAAUGAGGCAUGAAAAAGCAGUGUGCCUGGUAAAAGCAAGGCCAAUGCCAAAAAAAAAAAAAUCAAAAUCAAACUCUUGAUAUAGUGAGUCAUAUCCCCAACAAGGCGAUACUAAAAAAACUCAAAUGUUGUUGCAAUCAAGUGAGUUGUGAUAUAAAAAAAAAAAAUCUUCGAUAGUGGAGAAAGAAAGUGGUGGAAAUGUCAAGAUGAUCACCAACUUUGACCCCCCUAAGCACUUUUUGAGCCUAAUGAUCCUUUCAUUUCUCAACCCAUGAGCCAAGCCUACGUUACGUCCCUUGCAAAGUCUCUUCAGAUUAGGGCACUUGAAUUAACCUAGGGGUUCACAUGUUUUAAGCAUCGCUCGAAGAAGUGCGAGCAAUAUUAUUCCUUUCUCAUUCUGCAGGGUUCUUGACUUGUAAACCCAGAGAUGAUUACAGAAUAUCACUCAUUCUUUCAAAAGCCUCGACUCAAAGAGUCCAUUUUGUUAAGCCGUUGACCAGGCCCAUAUUGCGGUCCCUUUUAAAGACCUCUUAGAUUGGUCAGAUUGUACCACUUGCGAGAUUGCAUAGACCCUUGUUUGGCAUGAUGACAGCGAGAUAGAGUGAUUGUCAAAAUCCUGCAUCAAAAGUCAGGAUGAAACGACCAUUUUUAAUGAGGAUGAGAGAAGAGUCCUUUCAAACCGAAAAAUCCCUCAUUUGACACAUCCAUGACACUCAUGUGUUCAGAUUGGAAUAUUCUUUUGAGAUAUUUUCCGAAGGAAAUUAGGCGAUGCAAGAUUGAUAAAAAUCAUCAUGCAUGAACCUCAUUUGAAUCAACACAUGUCUGUGAAUGCAUAUUGCCUCUCUUUCAACUGCUUUGUAGGAGACAUAUUCCCAAGGAAUAGAGAUGUCACCAGGUAAGUCUAUCUCUAUCCAUACCUUAAAUACUUGUCAUUGUACAUGUAUUCCUUUUUAAGCAUCGGCUGCCAUACUGAGUGACCGUAGAAUGCUACGGGUCCUGGGAAAACAGUCUCUUUGCAAAGUCAUGUUACGAGCUCACCUUCAAAGAGGGGCAGCUGUUGACACCUAAAUUUUGGAGACCAAGUCAUGGAUUUUUUGCAUAAAAAGGGGUUAAUUUUAACCCUUAAAAAAAUGCAUCAGAACAAAUAAAAUGAAUAAAAGGAAAAUGAGGGGAGGAUCAGUCUAAUUUGAUUAUGAAUGGAAUGUGGAAAUUUUGAUUAACCAUUCUUGCUUCGGUGAAUAUUCAAAUCAUAGUAAAUGUGGAAGCAAAUUCUCAAUCAAAUAAAUUUAGUGAAUAAAAAAAGCAAUGAGUUUGAUAAAAGGAAAUGAAUUGAAACAUCCAAGGAAAAAUCAAGCCGAUUGCAAAAUUUUGCUCCAGUUUACAAAUUAUUGAUUAAGGCAACGGAAAUAGGAAGCUCGAAAAUUGCCAUGAAUUGGGGUUUUCAGAAUCACUAUAAAAACGAGCAACAAUUUUCUUGACUGUAGGGGGGCGAGAAUUGAGAGAAAAAUUCGUGCAAGAAAAAAAAGUGCAUAAAGAAAAAGCGUGAAAAAGAGUGGAAAAAGGGACAUCAAGAAGCAGUCUUUCUCCCUUCUGACAAUCUGCAGAAGGAAAAGAAAGAAGACCGCAGCAAAAGGAAAAAAGUCAGUACUGAGAGAGAAAGUAAAAAAAAAAAGGAAAAAAGGAGGGGUUUUCUUCUUCAGCAAUCCUUCGACUGGUGCCCUAGCAUUUGCGACUCCCGUCUGUCACUGCCUUCAUGAGCACCCUCGCCGGUCGAUGCCUCAGCUCCAACUGGCGACACGCACAGCACCCCCUUGCCCACUGCUGAUCUGCUAGCCGCUGUCCCUCACCAGCAAGAUCCGAGCGCGCCAUCAUCUCCGCUUGACGACCCUCCAUUGUGACGCCUCCGCUUGCCAUUGCCACUGUUGUUUUUCGCCCCACGAGCGAUGCCCGCGCCACCUGCUGUCGCCAACGUCUGCAUCCGAGCAUCCCCGUCCGCCUGUCCUCAGUGACGCUCACACCUGCGACUUGCCUCGACACCUGUAGGACCUCCACUGUAGUAACCUGCGACUUGCAGCCCCCGCGAGCCCACUCUUUGCUCGACCCGAACGCCCACUGUCGCUGCUGCCAAUCACUGCUGCUCGGUGCCCCUCGCUUGAGCGACCAUCAGCAGCUCGCUCGAGCACCGCCACUACUGUCGCGCCUCCUUCUGCCAGCAGCCCGAGCUGAUUGCCGCGGCUCCGCGCCCCUGCAGCAACCCGCGACGCCAUUGUUUGCUGCCAUCGCUGCUCCCGCCGCCUCACUUGUGCUUGCACCAACGACGUCCGCAGCUCCGCCGCCGCUCCGACUGACCCAUAGAUGCCUGAGUGCCGCUGCUGCUCCUGUGAUGAGUUGCGCUUCCUGAUCCAAGCGGCUCCCCUAUUCGUCACCAUUCUACCAGCUGCCACCCGAGCCCUUCGCCGGAGCUCCGACGACCGUGCCCAUCGCCCUCAUCGGAGCCCUUGGGUGACUUACCACCACAGCUGCUGCCUUUGAGCCGUGUCGUACCGAGCUUCCAUCGUUGGUCCACCUCAUCGUUCGAAUUUUUUGGAAAAAAAUUCUAUUUAGGUAGAGAUUUAUUUUAAUUUUAGGUAGAUUUAUUUUAUUAGGUAGAUUUAUUUUAUUAGGUAGAUUUGUUUUAUCUUAUUUUAGUUUUUGAUAUUUUAUCUCUUUGUUUGAAAUAUUUUCCAAUGCAUGAUUGAAAUUCCCUGAUGUAGGAUCCAAUUCGCAACCGCACGAAUUUUUAUUCUAUCUAUAAGGCUUUAGAUGGAAUAAUUAUUCACGCGGGAGUAAAAUUGAUAUCUUGAUCUUUAAGGCUUAAGAUCAAUUUAUCGAUUUUAUUAGCGAGAUAAUCAAGUUUGAAUUCCAAUUCGAAUGGUGGAUAACAUUUUUGAUGAGCAUGGAUGAUUUGGUGUUCAUUUUUUUAAUUGUUCUAUUUAUCCCGAAAAUACAAAAAAUUGCAUUUGCAUCCCAUGUAAAUUAGGAUUGGUUGCAUGAUAGGUUAGUUAGUCAUUUUUCUUAAAUGCAUGUUUAAAUGAUAUCUAGGUUAGAUGAUAUCUUUGAAUUAAAUUGCAUAUCUAGGAUAGGAAAUUUACUUAUUUCGAACUUUUAAAAAAAAAUAAAAAAUAGUAAAAAUAAUAAAAAUAAAAAUCCAAAAAAAUGCAUUCGCGUAGGAUGUUAGUUUUUUUUUUUUAAAUCGAAUUGCAUCUUUAAUUACUUUGCAUUUUUAAUUUAGAAUUUUAUAAAAAAACACAAAAAAUAUCAUGUGCACGUCUUAUAGAAUUAGGUUCAUGAAUGCACGUCAUUUAGUGAUUACUAGAUUCAUUUAAUUAGAACUUCCUUGUCAUUAGAGUUAGGUCAUUUGAUUAAUUUAGAUUGCAUACUUGUGUCAUAUAGUUUAGGUCAUAUUACUAUGUCAUAUCAUUUCAUUAGUAGCAUGCAUUGCAUGAUUUUCAUUAACUAAGUGAAAACAAAUAAAAAAAAUUGCGUGUUAAUUAGAAAUCAUAUAUAGGUUGAUGAUGUGAAUUUUUAAUCUAACCAUGUAGAUGUUUUCGUUGAUACAAGGUAAGUCUCUGCAUUUUUUUUUUUUUUUUAAUUUCAUUGCUUUCUUGGAUGUUAAAUUGGUGGUUUGUGCACCCGCAUGAUCACCUCACAUGCUAGGAAAUAGAUUUAAAAUCAAUCUGAACUGCUUGCAAAAACAUUUUUGAAAAUUAAAAAGAAGUGGUACCGAAAGGGCAUUAGAGAAAUCUAGUUAACCAAGUUCCCGUACCCAUAGUCUUUGGUUCGUAGGAGUAAAGUGAAACUCCCGUUACUUUACUUGGGUUUCUAAUUGACCCACCAAAAAAUAGAUUAGUGGCGACUCCUGAUGAAAAAAUCAAUUGCAUGCUAAGAACUUGAACCUAAGUUGCGAAUUGGUAUGGGCUUGGGAGAGAGCCUGAGUUAAGUUUAUGCUUAACAAUCCAUUAGCCAAACCUUAGGUGGUUCACAUUCGAAAUUUUGGUCGUGACAUUCCCUAUGAGUUAUUCAAAGGAAAGAAGCUAAAUGUUUCUUAUUUCCAUGUGUUUGGAUGCAAAUGUUUUGUCUUGAAAAAUGCAAAUAAUCGAAUUGGUAAGUUUGAAGAGAAAUCAGAUGAAGGAAUCUUCCUUGGAUAUUCAACCACCAACAAAGCCUAUAGAGUAUUCAACAAGAAGAUUUAGUCUGUGGAAGAAUAUAUGAAUGUCAAAUUCCAAGACUCUUUGCAGCAUCAACUGAUUUAGACUCAGCUUGAAGAAUCUAAAUUUGCUUCAGACCUUACAAAGUUUACCUCCCCUGAAGUAGCUUAGACCUUUGAAGAUCAUCAACAAAUAGAAAUUGAAGAAUUAACUAAAGUAGUAGAACAACAUUUUGUUAGACCGACCAGCAACUGGAAGCACAAGUCUAGUCAUCUCAAAGAACUCAUCAUCGGUCAUAUUGAUGAAGGGAUUCGCAUCGGAUCCAAAAAGCAGGAAGAGUCUAGUGUCGUGGCACUUAUUUCUGAAAUAGAACCCAAAAGCAUAGAAGAAGCUUUGACUGACGAAAGCUAGAUUGAAGCUAUGCAAGAAGAGCUCAGACAGUUCAGCAUUGGUAAAUCCAUUAUUGGAGCUAAAUAGGUUUUCAGGAACAAGAUGGACGAAAAAGGAAAAGUGGUUAGGAACAAAGCAAGACUCGUGGCCAAAGAAUAUACGCAAGAAGAAGGGAUAGACAAUGAUGAGACCUACGCACUAGUAGCAAGGUUAAAAGCAAUUAGAUUAUUAUUUGCUUUUGCCUAUUAUAAAAAUUUCAGGUUAUUCCAAAUGGACGUCAAAAGUGCAUUUCUGAAUGGAUUUAUCCAAUAAGAAGUCUAUGUAGAACAACCUCUCGGAUUCGAAGAUCCAAAGAAACUAGACUCAGUAUUCAGACUGAAAAAGGCUCUAUAUGAAUUAAAGCAAGCACCUCGAGCAUAGUACGACAGGUUAAGUAAGUUUUUAAUUCAAAAUGGUUUUGUCAAAGGAAAAGUGGAUACUACUUUGUUUAUUAAAAGAGAAGGUAAAAACUUUCUACUUAUUCAAAUUUAUGUUGAUGCUAUUAUAUCUAGAUCACCUAACGAAAAUCAUUGCAAGAAGUUUUCUAAAUCUAUGCAGGAUGAAUUUGAGAUGAGCAUGAUGGGUGAACUAUCAUUCUUUCUCGGAUUACAAGUGAAACAAUUGAAUGAAGGAAUUUUCAUUCACCAAGAAAAAUAUGCAAAAGAACUCGUUAAAAAGUUCGGAUUGGAGAAUUGCAAAAAUACUGAUAUACCAAUGUCAAGUUUUUUGAAGUUGGACAAAGAAGAAGGAGGAAAGAAAGUUGACUAGAAGCUCUACAGGAGUAUUAUUGGUUCACUUCUUUAUCUUACUGCUUCUAGACUUGAUAUUUUGUUUAGUGUUUGCAUUUGUUAGAUUUCAAUAUGAUCCCAAAGAAUCUCAUCUAAGUGCUGCAAAACACAUCAUCAAAUACGUUGCAACUACCUCAAAGUUAGGUUUGUGGUAUCCUAAAAAAUGAGACUUUACUCUCCUUGGAUAUUCAGACGCAGAUCUAGCAGGUUGCAGAGUUGAUAGAAAGAGUACUUCCGGUACUUGUCAAUUGCUGGGAAACAGGACAAUAUCAUGGUUUUCAAGGAAGCAAAGUACUAUGGCUCUUUCAACAGUAGAAGCAGAGUAUUUGGCCCUUGGAAGUUGCUGUUCUCAAAUCUUAUGGAUAAAACAACAAUUGAGAGACUUUGGAAUCGAAGAUUCAUGCACCAAGAUAAAAUGUGACAACACCAGUGCAACCAAUCUUACAAAGAAUCCAAUUAUUCAUUCAAGAGCAAAGCACAUAGAGGGCAAAAGAACGCUUCAAUACAACUUUGCACAAAGGGACACUUAAGUGCUAUAACUUACGAAAGGUACACUUAAGUGCCACAUUCGAAGAAAAAUAGAUCACUUGAGUGCCACUCCGGCCAAAGUUCGACCAAAACGUUGACAUGGCAUUUUUCUGGCAAAGCGUGCCCAAAACGACCCCGUUUUGCAUGCUGAUGUGGCCAAAUAAUGCAAAAAUGGCGUGUUUUGGUCUGACGUGGUUAAAAUAAUAAUAAUAAUAAAAUAAUUAAAUUGAAUUUAAAAUUAAAUUUAGUUAAAAUAUUAAAAAAUAAUAAUUUUAAAAUUAUUUUUUUUAAAAAAAGGAAAGGGGGGAGGUGGUUAAGGGAUCAGCCCUCAGCCACUGCUGGGAAGGGCUGGCGACGGUGGGGGGAGGGUCGGUUGGGGUCGCUGAGCCUGGCCAGGGGCCGACGACCUCAGCCGAUCGGCGCCGAGGGCUUGCGAGCCCUCGCCCAGAUUCGGCGAGGGUCGGCGGCCCUCGCCCAGGGCUGCGACCCUGCCCAGAUCUGUGGCCAAUGGCGAGGGCUCGCGGCCCUCGCUCAGAUCCGACGAGGGUCGGCGGCCCUUGCUCGGGGCUCCGGCUGAACAAACCUGNNNNNNNNNNNNNNNNNNNNNNNNNNNNNNNNNNNNNNNNNNNNNNNNNNNNNNNNNNNNNNNNNNNNNNNNNNNNNNNNNNNNNNNNNNNNNNNNNNNNNNNNNNNNNNNNNNNNNNNNNNNNNNNNNNNNNNNNNNNNNNNNNNNNNNNNNNNNNNNNNNNNNNNNNNNNNNNNNNNNNNNNNNNNNNNNNNNNNNNNNNNNNNNNNNNNNNNNNNNNNNNNNNNNNNNNNNNNNNNNNNNNNNNNNNNNNNNNNNNNNNNNNNNNNNNNNNNNNNNNNNNNNNNNNNNNNNNNNNNNNNNNNNNNNNNNNNNNNNNNNNNNNNNNNNNNNNNNNNNNNNNNNNNNNNNNNNNNNNNNNNNNNNNNNNNNNNNNNNNNNNNNNNNNNNNNNNNNNNNNNNNNNNNNNNNNNNNNNNNNNNNNNNNNNNNNNNNNNNNNNNNNNNNNNNNNNNNNNNNNNNNNNNNNNNNNNNNNNNNNNNNNNNNNNNNNNNNNNNNNNNNNNNNNNNNNNNNNNNNNNNNNNNNNNNNNNNNNNNNNNNNNNNNNNNNNNNNNNNNNNNNNNNNNNNNNNNNNNNNNNNNNNNNNNNNNNNNNNNNNNNNNNNNNNNNNNNNNNNNNNNNNNNNNNNNNNNNNNNNNNNNNNNNNNNNNNNNNNNNNNNNNNNNNNNNNNNNNNNNNNNNNNNNNNNNNNNNNNNNNNNNNNNNNNNNNNNNNNNNNNNNNNNNNNNNNNNNNNNNNNNNNNNNNNNNNNNNNNNNNNNNNNNNNNNNNNNNNNNNNNNNNNNNNNNNNNNNNNNNNNNNNNNNNNNNNNNNNNNNNNNNNNNNNNNNNNNNNNNNNNNNNNNNNNNNNNNNNNNNNNNNNNNNNNNNNNNNNNNNNNNNNNNNNNNNNNNNNNNNNNNNNNNNNNNNNNNNNNNNNNNNNNNNNNNNNNNNNNNNNNNNNNNNNNNNNNNNNNNNNNNNNNNNNNNNNNNNNNNNNNNNNNNNNNNNNNNNNNNNNNNNNNNNNNNNNNNNNNNNNNNNNNNNNNNNNNNNNNNNNNNNNNNNNNNNNNNNNNNNNNNNNNNNNNNNNNNNNNNNNNNNNNNNNNNNNNNNNNNNNNNNNNNNNNNNNNNNNNNNNNNNNNNNNNNNNNNNNNNNNNNNNNNNNNNNNNNNNNNNNNNNNNNNNNNNNNNNNNNNNNNNNNNNNNNNNNNNNNNNNNNNNNNNNNNNNNNNNNNNNNNNNNNNNNNNNNNNNNNNNNNNAUUAGGUUUGGCCGUUCGGUGGCCUGACACGUACUUCCACUUUUCUCCUCUCCACGCUUGCCUCUUCAAGCCCUAAGGCUUGGUUACCCCGUUUAAACGCCCUCGGCCAAGUUUCGCCGACCCCCGCCGACCCUCCCCCUGCUGUCGUCGGCCCUUCCCGGCGGCGGCGGGGUGGUGGCGGCAGCGGCGGGGUGGCAGCGGCAGCGGCUGAGGGCUGAUCCCUGAGCCGCCUCCUCCCUUUUCCUUUUUUAUUUUAAAUUUUAAAUUAUUAUUAUUUUUAAAUAUUUUAACUAAAUUUAAUUUAAAAUUUAUUAAUUUUAAUAUUUUAAAUAAAUUUAAUUAAUUUUUAAUUUUAUUUUUUACUACGUUAGCCCAAAAUGGCGCCGUUUUUGCAUUAUUUGGCCACAUCAGCGUGCAAAAUGGCGUCGUUUUGAGUUCAGUUUUGCCGGAAAAAUGCCACGUUAGCGUUUUGGCCGGAUUUUGGCCGGAUUAGCACUCAAGUGAUCCCUUUUACUCUGAUUUUGGCACUUAAGUGUACCUUUCGUAAGUUAUGGCACUUAAGUGUCCCUUUGUGCAAAGUUAUGGCGCUCCAAGGGUCCGCACGUCCACUUAGAGAUUCGACAUCACUUUAUUAGAGAUCAUGUUCAAAAUGGAGAAGUUAUGAUUCAAUUCAUUGACUCAAAGAAUCAACUGGCGGACAUAUUUACGAAGUCACUAGAGAAAAGCCUAUUUGAGUUUAUUUGCACUAGACUGAACAUUACAUCUUUUAUUCAGUAAAGUUUGAAGAAGCUCAGACUUAGAGAUAAAGUCUGAAGGUGCUUAGACUCAAAAGACCAAGAGUUACGACUGUAAGUUAUUUCGGUACUAGUAAUUUAACUUUUGGAUAAAGACUUGAAAAUGUACGAUUACUUAUUAAUCCCUAAUUGAUUGAAAUUAUAUGUCCAAGUUUUUGAAUUUAAAGCAGUUAUUCAUUUUCAAAAAGGCAGUUAUUCUUUUUUGAAAAGGUAUUUUUAUUUUUUCCUUUUAUGACGAUUCAUUUACCUUGCUUCACUUGCUUUAUAUACUAUUGAAAUCCGUCUUCUUUGUUUUUACUCCCAAACCCUAACAUACUAAACUCCCACUUGCUUUCACGUUCACUCUUGUUUAAUCUAAAAAGUUUUCACCUUUUUGAGCAAGUUUGUGAAUUUCUCCCUUGAAGCGACAAUGUCUUCGAGAAUCGCAAGCAGGGGACCACGACACAUGCUUGAGGUAACCUACGCAUUUCGACUUGAUCAAGGAAGAAGAUUCUUCUCCACCACAGCGACCGAGUCAGCAACAUCCUUCUUAGCAGCGUUAGUCUCCUCCACCAACUCAUCCAGAAGAAGAAAUUUUGGAAGAAGUGGAACCUGUAAGAACGUUAAUUCCUAAGGUUGCUUUUAAGCUUUAUUCUAGUUUGAAAAGAGGGGGAACUGCUAUGUCCUUGAUUGAUGAAUACCUGCGAGAGAGAGGUUAUAAAAAUGAGACUCUAUUUUUGCGCGAUAUGGAGAAUAUGGGUAUUGCAGAAAAGGGAUCGGCUGAAAAAGCAUUCGCUAAUUUUCCUAGUGACCCGCGCUUUGGCACUGCUAAUCAAUCACAAGGACAGGACAACGAUGAACGUACGUUUACCCAUUUUCAACCUAGAAUGGGAGUGGCUGCAAAUAUUGUUGGUGAUGGUUCAAGCAUUUUCAGAUCGAAGAACUACUACAGGGUUUAAUUGAAUCUAAUGAAGAGAGGGGUUAUAAACCCUAGGAGUGUCAAUUUUGAUUUCCUUGAUUCGGUGAAAGUAAAUCUGCGAGAGAAGUUUGCUCUACCGUAAUUGGAGCGCUUUUGUUCUGAAUCUACUGCUACUUAUCCUGAACUCACAGCUUACUUUUACUAGAACUUAUCUUUCGUGGAUGCAAACAAUUUCUCUUUCAUAGUGAGGGAUAAUGAGUUUUUGGUGGAUAUGGACACUUUGGCUGACAAAAUUGGGGUGGAAAGAGCGAGUUUCCAACCAAUUAUCGUGUCCGUUACUCAUGCUACUCUAUCAUUGGUGAAAGAUCGGGAUGGUGAAGGCAAGAUUUCCUAUUCUAGGAUGAAUGCCUCCACCAUCUUGCUGCACAAGAUCGUAAUCAACUGCAUCCGUCCAAAGUCGACAUCCAAGACCGAUGUCUCUCAAUCUGAAGAGAAAUUGAUGUAUGCCAUCAAUAUUGGCUACAAAUCCUCUCUGCCUCACACCAUCAUGUUUCACAUGUACAGGACAGUGGUGAAGGAUAAUGGACAACUCCCUUACUCUGCUCUUAUCACGCGCCUUUUUAGACAUUUUAAAAUUCACAUCCCUGCACCAUUAUGUUUGACAAACAUCUCUCUAAUGGUGAUUGGCUUUAAAAUGGUCACAAAGAUGCAUUUGAAAGAGCUGAACAAAGUGUUAGAGCACAUGAAGGAGAAGUCUCCCGUCAAAGCAAAACAAGACUCUGUUGCAGCUAAAAGGAAAGGCAAGGAGCCCAUGGCUGCUCCAGUAAAGAGGAAGAGAAUUCUCAUCUUGUAGGAUGAAGAUGAUGAUGAUGAAAUGACUUUUCCAGUCUUAAGAAAUUUGAAGAGUUUUAUCAGCUUUCAAGAGACACGAGAAGAGCUUGAAGAAGGAGAAAAAGAGAGAGAAGAGAUAGAGAAGGAAAAUGAAGAACAGAGGAGGAUAGAGGAAGAAAGAAGAGAAGAAGAAGAGGAAAGAAGAGAAGAGGAAGAAGAAGCAGAAAGAAGAGAAGAAAGAGGACAAGAAGGAGAAGGAGAGAGAGACCAGGGUUAAGAAGACUCUUUUGAGCUAAUUUUGGUUGUCUCCUUGUCCAGUGAUUCUGAGAUGGCAGGAAUUGGAACCGCUGACGCACAUCACUUUGAAGCUGAAGUUGAUCAAGAAGAAAUCUUACCUGCUCUACCUGAGGCAACCAAUCAGGGGGAGCUGUUGGACAACAAGGUAUUUCUUCACCUAUCUUCACUAGUGAUGUGAGUCGUUCUACAGCGGAUCCAGAGGAUGUAUAUGCCUCUCAUUAUCCAGAAGCAUCCACUCAUAGUCAUGGUGGACAAUCUGCUGAAGUUCCAUUCAUUCUCAAAACCCCUGGAAUCGACUCGGCUGGACCUAGUGCUGCAACAAACCAAACAUCAAACUUUUCAAGACUACUAGAGAUUCUAUUGGAUGUAAGGAAGUAGCAAUAUGCUAUGGGGUAUGAGAUGCAAGAUCUCAAGAACGUUUUCAUGGCUACUUCAGUGUCUUUGUACGAUCAAUUAAAUGCCCUGAAGAAUCAAGUGGAGUCUACUGUGCAGGGUGAAGAUUUCCAGUCACUGAAGUAGAGUUUUGCAAGGCUUGAGAAGAUAGUGAAUUCUAUGAGAGAUUUCAAGUUUGUUCGCCUUCCAAAACAGUCAUGAUUCUGACUUUAUUUUCAACAACUCUUUUUAUUUGCUCUCCACUUUUUGCUGUUGACAAAAAGGGGGAGAAGUUUGAUACAUAUUUGAUUUGAAUUUGGUUUGAAUUGUUUUUGGACUUAUCCUUUGUUUGGUUGUGGUUUGGACUGUUUGAUUUGAUCUUUUGAUGCUUGCAGUAACUAAGCUAUGUUAAUGAUUAUGGAAAGGGUAGUUGUUUUAUAGGACUAACAUGUUUUCUAUGGUUGUAGAAUCGCUACUAUCCAUAUCCUAAUCUACUUAUCUUUUUUGAGAUAUCUCGUUUUGCUUAAGUGUUGUUUUGCAGGUCAAAAGUGUUCAAAUAUAUGAGAAAGUUUUGUCACCAUAAAAAAUGGGGAGAUUGUUGGAGAAAAAUUCUUUAUUUGUUUUGAAGUUGACAAAACGUUUCCAUUAGUCUAGUUUGAAGACUUGCAGACUCUAUCGUCAAAGUCUAAAGAUUUUCAGACUCAAGAUUUAAAGUCUACCCUCACUGAUAGUUUUCAGAUCGACGAAGAAAAGAUUUAUUCAAUGAAGAAGACUUGUCCAGAUGUGAGUAUAUCUUUAAGGAUUUGGUUAGUACGGUUGAAAAAGAUCUCAUGGCUGGAGAUAGCAUCUCGUGAUCAGUUAUUCUUAUUGAAAUCAAUUUGGAUAAUUAGAUCUGUUGAUUGGCAAAGUAUACUUGGAAGGUUCUACUUAUGGAAACCUAGAUCCUGAUUGUAUGUGCAAGUAGGAUUGAUGGGCUAUCAUCACAUUCCUUAAAUAACUCAAGAUCUCCCUAAUUGAUUCUGUCCAACAGGUAGAUUGGAAGAACUCCUUUGGAAGGUGCCAACGGUUUAAAAGGCAUGGAGGAGUAUAUAAGGAAGAUGCUUAAGUUAUUCGAGUGUGUGCGUGAAAGAAAAAUUCCAAAGUCUAAAGCUUCUAAUUUUUUGCUAUUUCAAUUGUUGAGCUUAAUUGUACUCAAAAGAGAGAUUAAAUACUUGUGAGACCUUGAGGAAGUAUAGCAGAGUUUCUACAUUGUAGAAUCAAGGACGUGAGACUGUAAAAUCUCUUUUGGUUCUUAGUGGAAUCCAGCUAGUGAGUUGUCAGUGUAUGAGAGUGGACAUAGGCUUGGUCUAAGCCGAACCACUAUAAACCUUAUGUUUCAAUUCUCUUUCUCUAAUCUCUUUACGUUAAUUCGUAGCUUUAUAUAACUAUUUAUAGUCUAUUAUUCUCAGAAGACGAAUUAAUCUGUUAAGUUUUGGGAAAACCUCUUUGAUCACCUAUUCACCCCCCUCUAGGUGCUUUUACUAACUCUAUCAUGUAUGAAUAUUGUAGUAGUGCUUAGGACUAGUAGCGUGAUCUUUUUGGCUUUAGGUAGAAGUAGCACGAGCUAAAAUGUAACCUCUCAAAGAAUUAUUAGUGAAAUCCAGCCUGUUGAUGCCUAUUAGUCUAGGAGAAUGGAAUAGAUUUGGUCUCAGCCAAAUAACCAUAAGACUUGCAUGCAACUUUUCUUUCUCUAUUUAUUUCCAAAUUUAUUUGAUAAGGGCAUGCUAUACUUGAUAUCAUCUGUUUACUCUCACAUAUAUGAAACUACUCUUAUAUACAUUAAACUUGAUUUUAAAUAAUUCCAAAAAAAUUAUAAGUUUAGUUUAUCAAUCUAUUCACUCCAUACUAGGUUGCAUAUUUAGCUAUAAGAGAGGCUUCCAUGGAUGAACCGUCAUCUGUGGGUGGCGCCUUGCUUGUCCAUGGUGCCAAAUCUGGCACGGGAGCCAUCUACACUCGUGGCCAUUACUCCAAAUCUAGCCAAACACAAGAUGAUGACCCAACAUGACAUUGCAACGAUAGGGGGAGGUGCGAAGGUUGGUUCCGUUGAAACACAGACAAAAUCGUUGAAAUGUCAUCUGAAAAUGUUACAUCAUGGACAGACGAGACUGAUGAUGGCCACGGACGAGCCACGAGCAGAUCUUGGACUAGUUUUCUCAAACGUUGGACCGACGGUCACUGGAGGCCCCAAGCACUAUCAUUCGUUGCAGAUCAGCCAUAAAGAAGAUCCUCGACUUCACCAUGGUCAAGGAUUGUUGGAUUGGUCGUCGAAUCAUCUUCGGCAGCUCCUUUCUUCACCAGCAAGUCAAGGACCGGUCCGAUUGGACGGGUUCUAUGUUGGUGCCAAACCGGCAAUUCAACCAUCUUUAGGCAAUCCUUCGACAAUUCGAUCUACUCCUUGAAGAUUUGAUCAUGCUCCAUUGACGAUCGAUUCGUCUAAUUGUGAUCACAAUCAACGAAAUCACAAAAAGGUAGCUUCUCAAACUUGAAUCCGAUGAAGCGAGGUUGUCAUAUCCAACCAAGGCUAGCAUUUGCACUUAGAACUAUACAAAAUAUUUAGAUAUGUUGUUGAUAGACUUGAUUGAUGAUUUGCUGAGUUUGAAUUUCAUUGAGAUUGAACUUGACGUGGUUUGAAAAUGACUUGUGCUAAUAUGCAAUUUUCAUGCAAUAGAACCUAAGUUACUGUUUAGCUUGAAAUGAGGUGCUAGAGGACCUUAUCAGAUUUAGAAAGUAUGUUCUGAUACCUUCGAUUUGAUAGUCGCACGGCCCGAACAGGCAUCAUUUGACUCUUGAAAAAUACCUCGCAAUCUGCUCGAUUCUACAGAGAUUUUGGUCCACUUUUGGUUUUGUUUUUUCUGCCUUCGAACUUUGUUAUUUUUGUGCUGACUCUUGCGAUUGAUUUUUGAAAAAAAUUUAUUCAUGAGAUUUGUUCCGAAUCGUCUCAUGUAUGGCAUACUUUUUUUUUUUUUUGUAUUUUUUGGAAAUGUUGUAGUAGGUCAAAACUGCCUAGGUAUGAGCUUAAGACAAUCUGCCCUACACUAAUCCAAAGUGCAUUUUAGUGAAAAUGAGCAUAUAAAUGUGUCCAUUUGGUCUUAGGAUCUUCAUGAAACUUGAAAUACACAUCAUGCGCAUUCCAAUGAUGCAUAAUUUGCAUGAUUUGCUAUCAAUUGGUAUGUCAUUUGCAUGUUGAAAUACAUGUAGGUUCUGCUGCAAUUAGACAUUCCAUAGCUUGCAUCUGUUUUUACUAUUUUUGUCAUGACUUGCGUGAUCUCAGUGAGGUUUUGAGUUCUUAACAAGAAAUGUUCAUCACUGUAUGUUCUAUAUGUGAGAUUUUUUGUUAGAUUUUUGCAUGUCUUUAGGUGAUCGUAAUCAUGCUUGUUUUGUAAUGCUAAGAUUAGAUUAGGGGUUUAUCAUAUAUGCACUUUACCAUGCUUGUUUGGGUCUCUUAGAGACCAAAUCUCAUGUUAAUGCCUCCGUGACUUUUGAAGUGUGCAUUACAAGGUUUAUGUUCAUUCAUAGCGCUUCUUGAAUGAGUGUCAUUUGGUAUGUGAAUACUAUGCCUCAAUUAAGCUAGUUGCAUUUUGAAAUCUUCAAACAUGUCAUUAUACUUUUAAGUUAUUUUUGCAAUGUCAUUGACCGCAGGUCUUCUUCGCAUAUCGACUUAGGAUUACAUGUUUACCCUAAUCAUUUGUCGUAUCAAAUUCUUUGUCAUAUGCAUAUUUCAUGCCGUUUGUGCAUUGUCUAAGUGAUUUUAAGACUCAUUUAAUGCAUGCUAUGUUCUAGUUUGUUGAUGAUUGAUGCGCACACCUCCACAAACCUCAGUUUUAGAGCAUCAACUUGACUGCGAUUAGAAUUCUGGCCCAGGAUGAAAUUCGGAAUCCUGUUUUCACCCCUGAUUAGGCAGGCUUUUGUUAUCUUUGUACCAAAUUUUCAGUAAGGAUUCUUGAGCUAGACCCUUAACCAAGUUUGAUUGCCAUCCUUUUAUCCUCAUUGUGGUGCAAUUUAAUGAUUUUUAGACCUCAUUUGAUGGGGGUACAUCUCAUUUGCAACUGCUGUCUUGUCAAUUUCCAGAUGUGAUGAGGUGCAUUAUUAGAUUUUUAUAAAAUCAUGCUUAGCUUUUCUUAGGAAAUUUUCUUCUCAAAAGUUGUUCCGUAUCAUGUUAUGCAUGCUGCGUAAUUUUCUCAGGGACAAAUAAUCAAUCGGUUCUUCUCAAUUUUGUUGAUCAUUUUUGCCCUAUUUGUGAUGCUUUGUUGUAAAUUCCUAUUGUGAAUUCAUGUUAGGAUUUUUUAGGGUAACUCGUGUGUGAAAUUAGGGUUGGACAUCUUCAUGAAAUCCAUUCGAAAUCCUUUGAUCUUCGUUGUCAAGAAUUUUCAAUAGGUGAAAUGGUCUUUUGAUCACACUUUCUCCGAAACUGAUUUGAAACAUCGUUUCUUUGCACAUCAAAGAUGGCUUUGGUUCAUGUGAUUAUUUCCGACAUCAAAUGCUUAAAAUCUUUCAAACACUAUGUUUUGACAUAAGAAUUGUCAUGGUUUUAGACCGUAUCUAAAAUGUUUAUGAAGUCUAUGAGUGCAUGAUAUGCAAGCCCUAGACUGACCUAGACACUUAAGUACGUUCUAUAAUCAAGGCAUUUUUUGUCUUAAAUUUUCCCAAAAUCUUUCCAAUGUUUGAUUUGACAUUGAGAUUAUCAAAGUUUGGAUAGUAUUUAAAAUGCUUGCGAUGUUUGUGUGUGCAUGAUAUGCGUACCAAAUUAGCUUUGGUAAUUAAAUAUGUUUCAUAACUAAGACAAUCCUUUGUCCAAAAAUCUUAUUUUCCUUUCUCAAAAUUUCAAACUCAUUUUGAAGUAUCACAUGGACCACUAUGCCAUUCUUUUGAAAUGUUUGUGUUUGUGAUUGGCACGUGAUCAUUGAGUAAUUGACCCUCCGACGUUUCAUUCAAUUAUUUGAUUGUUUGAGAAAUAAGGCCUAAAGUCCUGCCUGUGUGUUUAAUUUGUAUUGAUGCAUGUGGAUUUUAGAUGUGUAUUAGGUGCGAUGCUUGGUACUGCGGGGUAAAUCUUGGGGAUUCACAUAGAACAUUUUCUUAGAGACUUCUAAGCAUUCUUGGUCAUACGAGAACACAAAUGGUCAUAAUGGCUAUAAGUCAUGAAAAUGAAUUGGGUAGGUGUCUAGAGGGACCUACGCAUGGAUUGCAAAGGCCCACCCCAAGGCCCAAAUUUGAUUAAUUUCAAACCAUGUUUUACUUAAUUGAUUGAUUUUGAUUCCAUGUCUUGCUUUUAACUAUUUUGUCAUAUAUGGAUGUUUCUUUCCAUUAUACAAAGCUAGCUUAGUUUUAGGUUAGGACUGGAUUAGGUCCUUGGAGAAGAGACAGAUCAUCAAAACAUGAAGAUGAUGAAAAUCAAUGUCCUUUCUGACUAUAUUUUGGUACCAAUCGUCCCCGACACAUGUCUCAGAUUCCUUUAUUUGUUGUAUAAACACCCGACAACUUGUGGGUUCUUUCCUUUUCUUUUUUUUCUUCUAAGUUUUCGGAUUACAUGAUAGAUUUAUUGUUUCACUUGAUUGUUAACUUACUGCUUUUUACUUUAAAUUCAAUUGCGUGCUUUAUUUUAUCUUUCUUAAAAAUAGAAGACGAAAAUGAACAUCCACGUGUGAUCACUUAGUUUAGGAUUGUUGACCCAAAAAAGUAAAAAGACAUGCAUGAUCACCAUAGGUAACAUAACAUAUUGUUGGGAACCGAAAGACGCUUAUAGAAAUAUUAGUGUAACCCAAGUCCUCGAACCUAGAUAUUCAGUUUCGUAGAAAUCAAGAGAUAACUCUUGACCAUCAAUUGGAUAUUCUGGCCGAUCCCCAAAAAUGAGGCUAGUGUCGACUCCCGUCUUAUUUUCUAAGUUGUCUUAAACAAUUAUAACUUUUACUAAACCCAUCAUGAGGGGUAUGAACCUUAGGAAAAGCUUCAUGAUCAUGAUUUAGUAUACUUGAUAUGGCAAUACCCUAAAGGAUGAAGUGAUGUAAUCAUUAUGGGUGAAGACAUACUAUCGGGAGGGCUACUUGAUCAAAAUACCCUUAAACUCACAUUUAUAUCUAGUUUCCUUUCAAUCUUAAAACCGUCAAUCAAGAGGGCUAUUAUGCCAUCCUUUUGGUCAUCUAGAUUUUACAUCUGGUUUCCUUUCGACCUUACAGCUAUCGAUCAAGAUGUGUUGCAACGUCGAGGUUGGGUCACGACAAAUUCCUUUGUCACGCAAGGUACGAGCUUGGGAGGGCUUGCGACUGCGAUCGAGCAAACUCACAAAGGUUCAUUCCAAAAGGCGAGGUGAUGACGUGUUAUCUUACAUAGCUUAUAGUUUUUAAAUUUUGUUAGAAAAUUAUUCUAAUAAAUUUAAAACACGAUAAAUAUAUAGAUAAAGAAAAGGAAAAUAAGAUUUUGUGAAAUAUAAUAUAAACUAAAUAAAAAAGACAUACAAAUUUCAACAAAGGAAAACAACAAAAAUUGAAAUAUUGCAACCCUUAUUGCUUGUGGCCAUUAUGGCGACUGCCUCUAGGCAACAUGAAGCGGGUUAGGGACCCAAACGAGAUUUGUCGGGCACAAAUAAUUGUUCCAUAAACUAUUAGGCUACAUUUAGUCAUCUAGAUUUCUAACAAGUAUAGGAUUGGAUAGUAUAGGAUAUGAAAUCUAGAGAUUUUGUUAUAUCCUAUCCACUAUUUGACGAAUUGCAAUAAUAAAGUCGAGUAUAUUCAUAUUAUAUCAUAUACAUUAUUUGAUAUAAAUGACAUAUCAAUGUAAAUGAACAUAAAAGUUCACAAAUAGAGAUGGUAAAAUUCUCUCACGACACUGUUGCCUAUUUUAUUUUUAUUUGUUUUUUUUCCUCUCUUUUUAAAUUAUUUUCCUUUUUAUGUCAUUUUCCCUUCCAUCGUUCUCACAUAAAAUUCAGAAAUACUGUAAUGAAAGGAACAUAGGAGUUUGUUGCUAGGUAUUUGACCAAAUAGGAUCGUCCAUUUAUUAGAUAGUAAACUGUAUUGAUAUGCCUAAAAUACUAAAAUAUGUAUUAAAUAUAAAUAUAUAUUUAUAUAUUUAUAUUGAAUUAAAUUAGAAUACAUAAAUAAUAACAAGAUUAAAUUAAAAACAAUUUUUUAUUAUUUGAUUUAUUAUAUUAGAAUUUAAAUAUUAUUUACAUUGAAAUAUAAUGUUAUUUUAUUAAUUUUAAAAGUUUGUUAUUCGAGAAAAAAAGCUUUCUUAAUAUGGAUAUUAGAAUUUCUAUCUACCCUUAUCCCACCUUCACCAAGGAAUAAUUUUAUUCGGGCUAUAUCCCUAUUAUAUUUGACUUUAUCUUUGCUUGAGUAGACACCAAAUGCAAGAUAAGAUAAUUUUAUCUUAUUCUGAAUUUUAUCCCAACUAUCAAACGAGGCCAUAGUUCUAAGUGAGAGGAUAAAAAAUCAACACUACGACAAAACCACUUAAUAUGAAUAAUGUGGUCUUGUUCUUAUUUAAGCUUUUAGCCGAAAUGGUGUCUGAUGGAGAAUGAGGGAGGAUUUUUCAUUAUGCUUCAAAAAGAAAAAAAAGUAUUAUAGUGUUGCAAUUUCAAGUCAACAUGGCACGCUAGGAAUCCACAUUGUUUUCUCCACCGGCUGUAUUUCAUUUAAAUUAAUUAAAGAAAGGAAGACAUAAACAUAUUAAAAUAUAAAUGGGAUUUAAUUGGACUAAUUAAAAGUUUCGGGAUGGUGGCGGAGAUUACUCAAAAUUGAUUUAAUUGAAUCAACUGAAAGUUCAAAUAUAACACUGCAUAUCAAUAAAAGUUCACAUAUUGCUAGUACUAUUAUCUUUUACAGCAACAGAAACUACAUGUUCUUUACUUCUCAUAUCAGAGAAGGCAAGAGAUGUUGAUCCACUGCAUUUUGAAAAUUCACUUCAUGAUCACUCGGUAAAAGGAUGGAAAUAAUUGUGAAAUGGGAUCUUCCCAGAAGUCUUCCCAUAAUUAUUUCUGGUACCACGACUUCAAACUAUAAACAUCGCAUUAUUCCUAUGAUGGUCAUAGAGAAGCUAGCUCUGCAGUGAAUGAAAAAAAAAAAAACACAUGGCUGGGCUUAGUGAGAAGUAAGAAGAUAUUCAAAAGGCGAUUAUCAUUAUAAUUGAAAACCAAAUAGAAUAGCACAUGAAAACUUCAAAUCUUACCAUCUCCUAAAUUGCUCCCAUUUUUUUGACAUUAAGAUCACGAAGUUGCUCUAAGCUUACAGCAGAGAGUGGCAUAUCCAAGGGUACUUGAAAGCAAAGCUCAUGUGAGACGUGUUGCAUGGUCGGUCGAAGCCUCGGAUUGUCUUGCAAGCACUUGAAUGCUAGCUUAGCAAUCAAGACCACGUCCUGCGCAUCUCGAAGGCCAAGUCUAGAAGGUGAGAGACGUUGAUCCAACACAUCCUUCAACAUCGUUGACUUAGCUUGGGCGGAUGAUGAACAUUCUCGAGAGACAUGGUCUCCUGGAUGCUUUCCCAUGAUUGUCUCUAAUGCAAUGACUCCAAAACUAUACACAUCACACUUUUCGGUAGGAACAGCAGAAUAAGCUAGCUCUGCAAGCGGAGAAUCCACUGUUUUUUUAAUCUCAAUCACAAGUUGUAUUCAAGUCGACAACAUUAAUUCCCAGGACGUGAUGUGUGGCGAUUACAAUUACAGAUUUCCACUUAAUCAACUCCUACAACAUUGAUUUGAGUAUGGGAGUUUAUGCUUUGGCAAAAAUAUAAAAAUUUAGUUCGCCCCUUAAAAUACAGGCAUCUUCUAGGUAAUGCGAACUUAAUAUCCUUGAAAUGGAUCGAUUGUGAUAUUUUUCUCAUUUGCCAAUUCUUACUUAUGAGGAAAAUCGAAAAGCAUUUUCAUCAAGACUGAACUUGAAAGCUCUAAAUAAAUACACCAAAAUUUCCAUGAUACGUUUAAAUAACUAAUGAACUGCACUAAACUAGUAGAAUUUCAAUAAUAGAAGCAUGAGACCUAAUGCCAUUGAAAUUUUAACAAAAGUUUGUGAAUUACCUGGAGCAAUGUACCCGAUGGUACCAGCAAUAGCCGUCCAGUUUGAUGAAUCUGGCCUCAAAAGUCUCGCAGUGCCAAAAUCGGAAACAUGAGCCUCAUAAUCAUGAUCCAAUAAAAUGUUGUUACUAGUCAAGUCUCGAUGAAUCAACGGAGAAGAACAAUCGUGAUGCAUAUAGGACAAUGCAUCCGCAACUCCUCGGACCACACUUAUCCUCUUGUCCCAUUGAAAUUCUAUUGCUCUCUGAUCAUCUUUCAAAGUCGUUCUCAAGCUUCCUCUUUCCAUGUACUCAUACACCAAAAAAUGGCGUUGGGGAUGAGAGUAGAAGCCAUAAAAUUUCACGAUGUUUCGAUGACGUAUAUUUGUUAAGGCUUGAAUUUCCCUUUCAAAUGAUACCAAAUCAACGAUCUCAACAUCUUCUUGGGAUGAAAAGGUUUGCUUGAUAGCAAAUGUUUGACCUUCUGAUAUCUCGGCUUUAUAAACAAUUCCAUAUGCUCCUUCACCCACAUAGUACUUGGAGUCAAAUCCUUCCGUGGCCUCAAUGAUUCGAUCAUAGAAAACUUUGCCAUCAUAACUUAAAAUACUCAUGAAAUCCAAAUAAUUUACCCGUUCAUUAUUUUUUCUCUUGAUAAUCCUUCUUUGAUGAUGAUUGACGAAUACAAAAACAACAACAAUCAAGGUGCAAGAGAGAAAGAGAAACCCCAACAACGAGAUAAUGAGGAUAAUUGUGAUUCUGGCUCUAGCAUGUUGAUUACGUUUCUUGAUCUUGAUAGAAUUGCAGUUCGGUAAACCAAUAACAUUUCCACAAAGCCCUUUGUUAUGUUGAAUUGCCUCAAAUGGAGCCUCAUUGAAAGCUUUGACGUUAGGGAGAGGACCUUCUAGGUCAUUGUAGGAUACAUCAAUAGAAGUCAAGGCCAACAUGUUAUCAAAAGCAUGUGGGAUGUAACCAGAUAGACUAUUGUGGGAGAUAUUUAGAAUUUGCAAGUUUCUCGGUAUCGCAAGCUCUGCCGGUAUAUGUUCUGACAAAAUAUUGUAACUCAGAUCAAGAAUCUCGAGGAAUUGUGUGUUGCCUAUCUCAGGAGGAAUGCUUCUUUGAAAUUUGUUCCUGCUCAAGUUCAAGCUCAACAAGCUUUUGCAUGAGCCUAGCUGCAUCGGUAUCGAUCCACUCAAAUUGUUUGAUGCUAAGUUUAGAUGUGUUAGAUGAGAUAAAAACCCAAUCUCAAUGGGGACAUUUCCCAUGAUGGCGUUGCUGCUUAGAUCGAGUUCUAACAACAUUGAUAGGUUUCCCAUUUCCCUUGAAAUCUCUCCGCUUAAAUUAUUUGAAGAAAGGUCCAGUAACUGUAAUUGAGCCAUCCUUCCAAAUAUUACGGGAAUCGCACCAAAGAGGUUGUUGUUCGAUAUCCUUAAGCUCAUCAAAUUUCGACAACGCUCCCAUUUCCAUGAAAGUUCGCCUCUCAAAUGAUUGUGGCUCAAGUCCAUAUAAUUUAGAUGUGGAUAUAUUCCGAAAGCAUCUAUUAUGUUUCCAGUGAGUUGGUUUUUGUCAAGCCUCAAUCUGAUUAAUGUGCUACAGUUCUUUAGGCUCGUGGGGAUGGGACCCGUGAAAUGAUUAUCAGAGAUGGAAAACUUUUGCAAUGAUCUCCCAAGACAUACAUCUUCUGGCACUUCCCCCUCUAGGUCAUUAUAAUAUAGCGCCAAAUAAGUCAACCGUGUUAACUUAUUGAAUUCGGAAGGCAAGGAACCGAAGAAUUUAUUGUUGCUAAGGUCCAAUUCAGUUAGAUUGGCCAAGCUUCCAAUUGAUGCAGGGAUUGGACCGGUCAAAUUAUUAACCGAAAAAUAUAAAAUUUUAAGAGAAGUGAGCCUCCCGAUCUCUAAAGGUAUGGAUCCUGAAAGUUCAUUUUCAUAUAGGGAAAGAAAAGUUAAACUUGACAAGUUUCUGAUGGAACUAGGAAUUGAGCCAUUGAGAUUGUUGCUUGGUAGGUCAAGUUCAAUAAGAGAAGUGAGCCUCCCGAUUUCUGAAGGUAUGGAUCCCGAAAGUCCAUUUUUAUAAAGGUAAAGAAGAGAUAAACUUGACAAGUUUCCGAUGGAACUAGGAAUUGAGCCGUUGAGAUUGUUUCUUGAUAGCAUAAGUUCAAUAAGAUAAGUGAGUCUCCCAAUUUCAGAAGGUAUGGGUCCCGAAAGUCUAUUUUGGCAGAGGUCAAGAGUAGAUAAACUUGUCAAGUUUCCAAUGGAAUUAGGAAUUGAGCCGAUGAGAUUGUUGGAUGAUAGUUCAAGUUCAAUAAGAGAAGUGAGCCUCCCAAUUUCUGAAGGUAUGGGUCCGAAAAGUCCAUUUUGCCAUAUGUAAAGAAAUUUCAAAUUCCUCAAGUCACCUAUUUCUCUUGGAAUGGAACCGGAAAUAUUAUUGCAUGAAAUGAUUAAUUCAGUUAAAUUGCCUAAUUUUCCAAGAGAAGCAGGAAUGACACCUGAAAGUUGGUUUUCCCAUAGAUAAAGAUGAAUCAGGCUGCUCAAGUUCCCCAAUGAAAUAGGGAUAGGACCGGUGAGCUUGUUUUUGGAAAAAUCAAGUUCCAAAAGAAAAUCCAACUGUCCAAUCUCUCCAGGGAUGUGCCCACUUAGGUUGUUUGCACAUAGCUUCAAAUGAUGAAGACCCUCAAGCAUACCUAAACUUGGAGGAAUGUCACCAGAUAGCUCAUUGAAGCAAAGAUUAAGAGAGUUGAGUUUGGAAAGGUUACCGAUACUUGAGGGAAUGAAGCCAUAGAUCGAGUUGUUGGCAAGUUCCAAGCUAACCACACUGGUUAAGCGUGAGAAGUCGAGGCCUUCUAGAGUUCCUCUCAAGCCAAGAUAGGAAAGAUUUAGAUGGGCAAUGGCUCCAAAGUCAUCACAAGCAACACCAGUAAAGCUGCAAGGAUUGUCAUUGUGCCAUGAAGACAGGAGAGACCGGCUAUGGUUGUCAAGAGUAGAUUUCCAAUUCAGGAGAGCCUCUGCUCCAUCCUUACUCUUAGUCACGUGGAUAGUGGAGAAAGAAGUGGAGGAAGCAGAAAUGCUUGCACCAUGAAAUGAAGUGGUGCCUACCAAAAAGAGCGAGAAGAAGAAGACAGCUAAAGGAGACUGGGUGGACGACAAAAAGGGAGAAACCAUGAUUUGGGGGAUGUUGGGUUUAGGGAGGUGCGAGAUGGUUCAAAUCUGCAUAUUGUUAAAAAGAGCGAUGAGUAUACUUAUAGAUUGAAAGAUCACUCCCCAAGAGCCUCUAUCGAGGACAGCUCCUAUUAUAGUUGGACCGCGUUUUCCGGAGAAUGAGUCCUUCUCAUUGACGACAUAUUUGCAAGAUAAAAACUCUUUCCCCUUUUUCAGCCAGCUUAGCGUGCACCGUGGGGGAUGAUGAGUGAAUUGUGCAGAGCCACAUAGGUCUCAAUCGUGGGUCAUGCUUGACUUACUUUUUCUUGAUUUGAGGAUUACGACGGAAAUUAUAUACGACCGGAAUUGAUUGAUGUAUUUCCCCAAACAAACAAAAAAAAUAGCGAAAUAUGAAACAUAAAUCAUUGAUCAUUUAAGCACGCUUGGGAACUUGUUUAAUAAUAAGAAUGAGGAAAUUUCAUUUAAAUUCCAUAUUAUAAGGUUUUGUUCACGAGGAUUUCCUAAAUAGUCAUUCCAAAAAUAUAAAGUUCGAAACAACUCUUAAUUUGAGGAAUAUGACUCUUGCAUUUUUUUUUUUCAAAUCAACGACAUAUAAGAUCGUUUGUGUAAAUAUUUUUUACUAGCAGAGUUUUCUGUAGUUACUGUUAGUGUGAAUCCAUUUGGAAAAAGCGAAAAAUUGCUGAGGACUCCGUCUUUCUUGCCUCUGAUCAUGUACGAGAAGCUUGUCAAAAACAGAAAAAGGAAAAGAAAACACAAAUGUUGCGGGGCCGAUGCUGUCACCAUGAAAGAUUCCAGCCACUCCUUUCUCCAUGAGCUGCCCCACAUUCUUUUAUGGAUCGGUAACACUUUGGCAAUCAAUCAAGAUUAGAUUAAAGUGUCUGACUAGUAGCUAGAUUAUCAAAGAGAGAAAUUAAUUACACGGGCAAUUAUCAAAUUCGACUUACUUAAUAAGUAAGAUCUAAAAUGUGUUAUUAAACAAGAAAGAAUUGUACGAGAAUGAUUGGCUUUUUUUCUAAAUGUUGGAUUUUCAAAAGAAACACAGCCAAUGCAAAAAGAAACCCUCGACAAACGGAUUUCAAAUGUUGGCAUGUGACGAUUACUUAGUGUAAAAAUAUACACGUGUCGUGAUAGUGAAAAUGCAGUUUAUGUGAUGGAUAAAACUUCAUGGCGGUGAAACACAGUGUGAUUGGUUGAUCAUAAUUGCCCACGUACUAUGAAUCUCGUCUUACUUCUCACCCUGUGUUCAUAUAUUUCACUUUUGAUUGAUUGAUUAUAUUUUAUUUCAUCCCGCUUGAUAUUUUCAUCAUAUAAAACACAUUCUCUAUUAUCAUCCCAGCAAUGGAAAAAAAAAAGGAGAUAUUUUUGCCUGAGGUUUAUGUUAUCAACGUCAAACUAAGUCCAACUUUUGAUCGGGCCUUUCAUUUUCUCAGCCGUGUCUCUCUAGUAAAGUCCAAAAUUUAAUCAGAUCAGCCUCAUCCGCUAGACAAAUCAGAAGUGCGAGAUGGUUCAAAUCUGCAUAUUGUUAAAAAGAUUGAUGAGUAUACUUAUAGAUUGAAGGGCCAAUUCCAUAAAAAAGCACGAACUUUAGGUGUUGUCCCAAAUCUAACUUGAACUUUAUUUUGUCUAAAAAAACAAACUUUCACUUGUGUCCCAAAUAUGGCUCUCCGUUAACCCUCAUUCCAUAGUCAUCCGACGUGGCAUUAAAUUUAAGAACGAGACCCAAAAGAACAAGAAAACAACUUGCCAAUUGUUAAUUGUUAAAUUUAAGUCUGCCCUCCAAUGAGGUGAACUUUUCAGAUGAUUCUCAUGGGAAAAAUAAUUUAGCAGCUUUAGUUCCAAGAGAUGAGGCACAUAGCUAGGGCCGUUAGAUCAAUUAACAAUUGGCAAGCUAUUUUCAAUGUCAAAAGCUGGGUUGGAAGCAGAAGAUUACAUUGCCUUAAAGCAAAAUAUUAAAAGCAUGUGGAUCUUGUAGUUAAAUAGAGAUGUGAAGCCUAUUUGUAAUAGACUUACUUCAUUCAUCUUCAAAUAGACUUUGAGUGGAAAUGCCACGUCGGAUGUCUGUGGAGUGAGGGUUAACGGAGGGCCAGAUUUGGGACACGAGUGAAAGUUGGUGUUUUUUUUUAGAUAAAAUAAAAGUCGGGCUAGAUUUGAGACAACACCUAAAGUUUGUGCUUUUUUAUGGAAUUGGGUCAUAGAUUGAAAGAUCACUCCCCAAAAUCCUCUAUCGAGGACAGCUCCUAUUAUAGUUGGACCGCGUUUUCCAGAGAAUGAGUCCUUCUCAUUGACGACAUAUUUGCAAGAUAAAAACUCUUUCCCUUUUUCAGACAGCUUAGCGUGCACCGUGGGGGAUGAUGAGUGAAUUGUGCAGAGCCACAUAAGUCUCAAUCGUGGGUCAUGCUUGACUUGUCUACUUCGAAAUUGAUGAUAUAUUUGCAAGAUAAAAAGUCUUUCCCCUUUUUCAGUCAGCUUAGCGUGCCUCGUGGGGGAUGAUGAGUGAACUGCGUAGAGCCACAUAAAUCUCAAUCGUUGGUGUGAUGCUUGACUUACUUUUUCAAGUCUUCAUUGAAAUUGACGAUACGUUUGCAAGAUAAAAAGUCUUUCCCCUUUGGGAAAAUGUCACAAAUGGUCCCUAUACUAUUACUUAAUGUGCAAUUUGGCCCUUGAACUUUCGAUCGGCUCAAUUUAGUCCUUGAACUAUUGAUAAAUGUCCGAUUUGGUCCCUGAACUUUCGAUCGGCUCAAUUUGGUCCUUGAAUAAAUGUUCGAUUUAGUCUUUUGUUACUGUUUUUUUUUUUUUUUGCUUCUCCUCUCUUCCCUCUGCCGGCGAGGAUUGCUCUCGCCAGACGCAUGCGAGGGCGGCCCUUGCCAGAUUUGUGAGGGAGCCCCUCGUCGGCAUCGGGUGAGGAGCACCCUAGUGUUAGGCAAGGGGUUCCCUCACCAGAUCUGCGAGGGAGCCCCUCGCCCAAUGCCGGCGAGGGCCGCCCUCACCUGCGUUUGGCGAGGACGGCCCUCGCCCGAUGUUGGCGAGGGCAACCCUCGUCAAACGCCGACGAGGGCAACCCUCGCCGAACGCCAGCUUCCCUCCGUCGGAACCGGCGGAGGGAAGAGAGAAGAAGCAAAAAAGAAAAAGAAAAGAAAAGGAAAAACAGUAAUGAAGGACUAAAUUGGACAUUUAUCAAUAGUUUAUGGACCAAAUUGAGCCGAUCGAAAGUUCAGGGAUCAAAUCGGACAUCUAUAAAUAGUUCAGGGACCAAAUUGAGCCGAUCGAAAGUUUAUGGACCAAAUUGCACAUUAAGUAAUAGUACAUGGACCAUUGUGACAUUUUCCCUUCCCAUUUCUCAGUCAGCUUAGCGUGCUCCGUGGGGGAUGAUGAGUGAAUUGCGCAGACAUGCUUGAUUUACUUUUCCAAGUCUUCUUUGAAACUAACAUGUCAACCAUAUUUGUGGAAAAUGAAGUCCUGAUCGUGGGUUUCGAACCAAAAAAAGAAAAAAAGAAAAAAAGUCCUGAUCAUGGGUGGCUGUAUGGUUCAAAAUUGACACUCAGAUUUUGGGUAGAUGAGUGGGGUAUUGAAGGGGAAUAUAAACUAUGUCGGAUUUUUUUUUCCAAACAAUAAUUUGUAGAAAUUGACCAAAUUUUGAUCGUGCAUAACUUUUCCAUCUAACAUCCGGUUGACUUGGCUCCAAUUCUGGCCAAACGUUCUAUGAUGUGCAUGUGAUAAAGAUUCGAGUGAUUGGUUUGUGUAGAGAGCUUGGAUCCCCUUUUGCAGAGUAAUAUUUAUGCUUCCCUAUAUUGGAGAGAAAACAAAGCAGCAACAAGGAUGUGGAUAGGUUAUUUCAAGAGAACCUAGGCCUCCAAUACCGGAACAAGAAUUUUGAGAAAACUAAUGUGAGUCAUGUCAGCUGUAUGUCAUUAAUCGACAUAGUCCCUUCCAUGUACUAUAACGAUAGCUCUCUGCUUAACAUGAUCCAUGAAUGAAAAGUACAAUAAUGGUUCAACUAAAGAAGAAUGGGCUAAUGUCAAAUUCACAUGGAACAAAAUGGGCAAAAGAUCGCUUCAAGUGUCAUAAGUUGGUAUAGAGGGACACUUAAGCGUCAAAACUCACGAAAGUGACACUUAAGUACCAAAAUUGGAGAGAAAUUAAUCACUUAAGUGCCACUCCAGCCAAAAUCCGGCCAAAACGCUAACGUGUCAAUUUUCCUGCAAAGCGAGUGCAAAACGACGUCUUUUUGCAUGAAUGGACCUAGACUUAGAACCGGGGAAGGAGAGUAAAUUUCCUAUAGGUAUGCAUCCCACAAUGGGCGAACAACUCCCGUUCAAGCCAUUCAGGGACAGCCUUUUAGUAGAAAACCACUCAACCCUGUAGUUCAGAGCCUAGAGACACUCAAAGAUUCCAGGAUGGAAACGUUUCUAACCUACCCAAGCUGCAUUUCUUGGAGGAUCCUACCAAGCUGGAGAAGAAGAGAAAUUUAGAAAGCCAUGGAGAGAUUUUUCACAAAGCACACACUUUACUUUAAGGGACUUUGCCCAACACACUACACCCUCCUCGCCUUUUAUAGACGAUAAGAGGUCACAAAGACACACACAAGGUCUAAGCUCAUGGGUUCGGAUACAAACAAAGGCACCAGAAACUUCUGGGAGGGAAUUAUUUGCACACUAUGAAUAGUGAUCAUACUGUGAACAGUACAUUCCCUAACCUAGUGCUACAGUAAAAGUGAACAGUGACUUGCUACAGUGAAAUUGUAUGGACUCAACGGUCUCGUCCGUCACGAGCAUUGUAGUCAUAGUCAUAGUCAUCCGAGUUGUGUACUGUCGCUAAGCAGUGUUCAUAAUACUUUUGUUCAAGUGCUUCAAGGUCUUCUGGUGAUAGAAUCUGGUUGAGCUGACAGGAUGUGGAUGCAGAGGCUUCGUAAGCCCAGUGGGAUGCUUCUUCUUCUGCCAGUUUGUGUUGUCAUUUUCUUCAGCGUUGGCAGGAAUGCUAGGCUGAGGCCAAUUGGAUGGCUAUACAUAAAAGGAUGUGUCCAUGCUUUGGGAUAAGGACAAAGGUCCUUGUUCGUAGGGAUCCUUGGACAGAGGACCUCCAAAGAGUGCAUAAGGGUCCUGGGUGGAUUGAACAAUGUCAUCUGCUCAUGUCAUUUCAUGAUUUUGAGAUGAUGCAGCUUGUCUGUAUUGCCUGAGUGUUUCCUUAGCUUCUGGUGCUAGGUCAUAAUGAUUCCACGUAGUGGGUACAUUAUUCUAUAUAUCUUCGGGAAUGGUUUUGUUUUCCUGGCACAAGAUUCUCUAGAGUUCUCGGUACUAGUGUUCACAAGAUCUAACAGAUCUGGGAUAAGAUUUGUGAAUUCAAGCUUUUCGGCUGUCCAAGUAAGGUUUAUAGGAUGUGGUUCCUAUUUCCUGUGGGGCAUUAAUGAUGUGGCCAUUAUUUGUGAAAAAAUGCCAUGGACAUUGGAAAAACAGGAUGGUAUGGACUUCAGGAUUUGGGGUCAUGGUUCUCAGUUCUUUUUCCAAGAGAUGUUUCUAGUGAGUAGGAUGUUAGAACCAAUUAAGAAAGUCUAAGAGAUUCUUAUCACUUUCUUUCUCAACAUUUCUUUCGAGUAAAAAUAUCCUGGUGAGGUUGGCAAUGAAUCUUCUGGUUGGAAUUUCAAUAGCUAUUAAGUACUUAUUGGUUAAGUACCAUAAUAACAUCUUGAGUUGAUCCGGGAAAUCAUCUUCCUUCCAGAUAAGAGGAUGAAUGAAUGGAUAAUCCGAAUUUAACCCAAAAGGAUAAAGAAUCGAACCUCCAUUGAAUCUUAACAGAUCUGUGUGGCAUUGCCACAUAAGGUUCUCCAGGUUCUCAGCAAGAUUGUCAUUCUGGAUUUGUUGAAUAAUCUCCUGGGGAUAUUUCCAACUUGGCAAAUCUUUGAUCUUCUCAAUCUUGUAUUUCACGCCAUGAUUGAGCAUAUGGAAAGCAGGCCUCUUGAUAUACAUGUUGAUUUCGGCUGCUGCCUUUGGCCUUGACAAAAAGUCAGCAAGCACAUUCUUCUUUCCAGGAAUAUGUUUGGUUUCAAAAGAGUAUUUCGAAAACCAUUCAGCCCAUCGAAGCAGUUGGGAAUUUGGAAUCUGUUUAUGUUUAAACUUGGUCAUCUAGGGGAAAGAUGCCAAGUCUAAUUCUACCAGGAAGUGAUGGCCGAUGAGAUGAAACUCAAACUUUUUGAUUUCAUUUUUUACUGCUAAGAUUUCUUUGAAAGUGGAAUAAUAAUGCAUUUUAGCUGGAGAAAACUUUCCACUUUUAUGAGCAUAAAGGUGUCUCUUACCAUUAAUUUCUUCGAACAGGAUGGCUGCCCAGUAUUCAUCACUGGUGUCAGUUUGAAGAAUUCUUUUUCCUGUUAAUGGUAUUUGCAACGGUGGGAGAUUCUGCAUAAUCUCCUUAAGCUCAGCGACUGCUUUGGUCUGGGUUUUUCCCUAAGGUAGGGGAUUCUUCUUCAACAUGGAUUGCAAAGGAAUCAGGAGCUUUGCAAUGUUUGGGACAAAAUCCCUGAGAUAGUUGAUUAUCCCAAGAAAUUGCUGAACUUGUUUUGUAGUGAAGUUAUCUUCAGGAAACUUCAAUAAUUCUCGAGCAAUAUGUGGCCCUAGGUAGUACGUACCUUUGUUGAGGUGCAUACCAAGAAAUUCAAUCUUUGUUUGGGCAAUAUUCAUUUUCCUUUGAGAAAGCAUAAUGCCAUGCUUUUUCACGAUUUCUGCAAAUUGCUCAAGGAGUUGACAGUGUGACUGUUCAUCAGGACUGUAGAGCAGAAUGUCGUCAAUGUAUACAGCUGCACUUGACAAGAUUGGUUGGAAAAUACAGCACAUGGCCUUUUGGAAAAGGGAUGGUGCUACCUUUAGGCCAAAAGGAAGAACUUUCCACUGGAAAUACUAGUUUAGGAUACAUAAUCCUGUUUUGGAUCUGUCUUCAGGAUGGAUGCCCAAUUGCCAAAAUUCGGCUUUGAGGUCAAAUUUGGAAUAGAUAUGGGCCUUGGUUAGACCAGUAAAGAGAGAGUCUCUGGAUGGUAAAGGGAAUUUAUCAUCUUGGAGAAAAAUGUUGAGAGGUUGAUAGUUGAUUACUAGUCUAAUUUUUUCCCUGUUUUGCUUAGCACGCUUAUUGACAUAAAAUGCUUCGCAGGCCCAUUGAGAAUCAGAGAUUUCAAUAAGGCCUUGUUGCAAUAAUUCUGAGCAUUCCCUUUGAGCUAAAGCCAGAUGUUUUGGCUUCAUUCCCAUGUGACUCGCCUUAGUUGGAUUUAUAUCUUCAUUCUUCUUAAAAGGAAGGCGAACAAAGAAAUCUGGAUUUUUCCAUAAAGGAUGGGAACACUUCUGAGCAAAUUCCGAAUGGGAUUCCGAACAAGAUUCUAACAACUUUUGCAUGAUUGAAUCUAAUAGACUCAUCUGAAUGGAAAGGAGUCUCUGAAUAUUGACGAACUUAGAGAAUUGGUCUUUAUACCUAAGACCUUUUCUAGGAAUGAUACGGAGUUGAGAGAUUUGAGUCAUGGUGUCCCACCCAAUUAUCAAGUCUUUAUUAGGGAGAUUUGAUCCAAAAAUCUUUGUGGUUAUGGAACACUGAGGAAAGAACUGGACAGUUACUGGAGUGGUCCUGACAUUUGUGGAGAAAGUGUCCCCCAAAGCAGAAUUGAAAUAUCAGACAUAAGGAGUCCAAUAUUCUUCAGGGAGAACUUUGGUGUCCAGUAUUGAACAACUUGCUCCGGUAUUAAUGAGAGUAAUAACAGUGAUCGGUUUGGCAAACUUUGAAGUGAAGAUUUUUACAGGGAAAUUGGGACGGUGAGUUUGACUUGAAAAUAUGUCAAGGCUUAGUUAUGGAGAUGUAGGGGAUAUGUGAAAGAUGUCUUCAGACUCUGAGUCUGAUUCAGUCUCACUGGAAGUUUGGUAAGAGGGAAUGACACAAAGAGUUUGUUCAGAUGGCUCUUCAUCAGCAGAGAAUAAGGAUUCAAUAUCAUCAUUUUCAAGAGAAAUACCCGUUUCAUUCUCAAUGUGAUGAAUUAGACGAUUCUGACCUUUUCUCGGUUGAGGACAAUUUUUGGCAAAAUGUCCUUUCUGAUUGUAGAUGAAGCAACGGUUUGAUUUCUUAUGGCCUGUGCUAUCCUUCCUUUUGCGUAGGUAUCGCCAUUUCUUCUUUUUCCAGAAGUUCUUGGGGCCAUGUUUGGACUUCUUCAUCCAGAACUUCUUGAAGUGUUUCUUCUUCCGAGAAAACUUACACAAGUACCAUCACGGUCUUGUUUUGAACAUUUGAUUUUUAACUUCUGCCGAGAGCAAGUUGUCUCGAGACUUCUGUCAUCUGUGAUGUAGGUACGGACCAUCUGGCGCUUUAAACACAGUUCUUCAAGGCAUAGACGGAUUUCUUAUUGUAUUUCUCCUAAGGAAAUAUCUUGUAUUCUCCUUUGUCUUCCUAAGAAAGAUCUUUCGACCAUCUGGGAUAAUUCUUUAGGGAUGGAAGUAAGGAGAACAUGUUUCAGAUUUGGAUCAGCUCCAAUCUGAUAGAAAAGCUGAAGCAUUAUUCGAUAAAAAAUUCUCUUCUUUUCAAGAUAUUUCUUUUGGAGGGAGCAACAUUUUCUUUCAAAAAAUUCUCUUCUUUUCAUUUCUAUGAGGUCAGUGAGUUUUCCCACAAAGACAUGAUAUAAGAUGGUGAUGGCAUGGCUGAAAUCAGGUGACAUCAGAAAGUGAAUUUGAUCUUGUUCUGAAACUGAUUUCCACCAAAGUUUGAGGCUUCCUGAGAACCUCGUAACAAAGUUGUAAAUGACAUCAUUCAUAUCAUGGUUGGUGAUGGACUGAGUAUUCAACCAAGUAUGAAAUUCUUCAAGUCUUUCUGGCCAUUUGUGAUAAUGAAUAUCAUCAAUGGUGAAAAAUUGUUUUGAUGCCAUGGACACAUGUCUUCUGGGAUUGUCUGUCUGAACAUUUUUUGGCUUAGAAUAGUUUGAUUCCAUCUCAUAAUCUGGAGGAUCAGCCAUGAAUAUUGAUGAAGUGAUUGGCUCAAUAGGGAGAAUCAAUAGUAGGAAUCGAGAAGGAUGAAGAGGACGAAAGGGAUACUGAAUCUGAUUCAGUAUUAAAGAUGCUAGGAGAAGUUUGUUUAGCUGGGAACAGAAUCUGAUUUUCUAGAAUGGCAGGAUCAGGCUGUUGGAUAAUAGGGUCAGGUUCUUGAGUACUCAAAUCCUUUAGAAAAGAUUCUAAUGGAUUGGAUAACAUCAUCUGAUCUGGCUUUUCUCUUAUAACAACCAAACUUGAUUCUAUAGGCAUCUUUUCUUUUCCUUUGUCUUUCUAUAACUUUUUGAUACGAUCUCGUAAUUCUGCCAUAUUUGGUUCUUUUCUGAAAGAAUCUUCUGGGAUGGCAGCAAAGAUGGAUGUCUGGGGGGGUGGUGGAGGCAAAUACCCGUUCUGACAGUAGUUGCAAAAGGAUCAAAAGGUCUGAACCUUCCUUCUUCAAAGAGUUGAAUUUGCCUCUUGAGUUUCUCUAUCUCUGGCUUUGGGCUCUCUAGAUGAUGAUAUCCUAGAUGUUGUCCUGAUUCCAAGGCAUUUAGCCUCUUUUGGAAUUCAGAAAUCAUUUUCUUGGUGGUUUCAUCAUACUUUCGGAGAUCUUGUUGCACAUUUCCAAUCUUGGAAUCAAUUGCCUUGAAGGCAUUGUUUUGUGCUAACAGAGUCUUUGAUUGCCAAUUGAGAACAGCUUCAACAGCAGGAGUUCUUUUCUGUCUUUCAUGCUCAUCCACAUCAGUGGGGGCAGCUAUCUUAGGAACAUGGCGAAAUCUGCCUUGUGGAUUAAUGAAUUCUUCUGAAGUGGGAAACGAGAGUUUAGAACUUUCUCUGACAAGAGGGGGAAAGUCAGUAUCAUGGAACAUAGCAAUGGAAGAAGUGGGCUGCGUUUAUGCUAGGGCUUCGAGUGGGUAAGAAUGCUUCUUAGCCCAUUUUAAGAUUGACUUAUAAAAUGGGGAGAGAGCUUGUUUUUUCUGAGGAGGAGAUGGUGGGGGUGAUCUUGGUGGAUCUGGUGAAGCUUGGGAUGUAGUACUGUACUCUGGUGGUGCAGGUGGUGCAUAAGAAACCAUGAACUGGUAUUUAUCACACUCACCAAGAGUAUCAACGGAGGGAUCUUCGUUUAAGUACAUUCGGGGUGGAGGUUUUGCUAAAGGAUCUACCUCAUCAGGGGAAUUUGUACAAUAGGAACUUUGGCAAAAAGGAUCCCAAAAACAAUGACCAUAGUUGUCUUUGUAGUAAUGGACAGGAUGUCCAUCACUAUUGAAGUGUCGAACAAGCUUUUUUGGAUCUGGCUCGGAAAUUGAUUGAGGAACACAUGGUUCGAUCAUGAAGAGGGUCUGGAAGAUAGAAGGACUUUCUUCCUUUUCCUUGCCAAAUUUGAUGGAAACAGUUCCAUCUUUUUUUCCGAACGAACUCAGAGUCCGUGGACUGGAAAGGCUUGUUAUGCUGAUGUAGCUUUUCGUAGUUGGUAAUCCAAGUCUCUGGAAGGAGCUUGGCCAACGUAUCCUUCGGGAUCUGUCUAGGAACAUGGAUACAGGAUGCCUGGUCAUUCUGCAUAGAGAUAAACAAAGCAUCUUCAUUACCAUUGUUGAAGUUGAGAUCAAGGGCAUGGUUCUGCACUCGAUAAACCAUAUGGUAAUGUAGUGUUGCAGCUACAGAGUUAGCAGUUUGAGGAGCUCCAAUGAGCUGGACUUGAACUUUUAGAAAAGAGAGUAGCUGGGGGUCUGAAAGAGCGAUGUUGAAGUUUGGAUACAAAGUCACAAAGACUGUUCUAGCAUUCAAAGUAGUUUGGACAGUACCGAUGCAAGCAUGCCGGUAUUGUAAAAACCUGGUAUCCAACAACGCUAUUCUUGCCACAAUUGGCAAACCUUUACGACCAUGAAAGGUAAGAGCAAGACAAAUAGUGCCAUAAUGGACAUGAGUAUAUCCCUGUUGAGCCCAUUGUCUGGGGAACUCUGGAGGGAUUUGAAGAGUAACAAAGUACUCUUUUUCAGUAGUAGGAAUGGGAUGCUGGUUGAAUUUGGAGGACUUGACGUACUUCUCUACUUGCUUUGGGGUUUGGUGAAUAAGCUAGCGGAUAGGUGAAAAUGAUGAAUUGGGUUUGGCAAAAGCGGAGUAAGGGUUCAUGAGAGGAAGUUGGGUUUCUGAAAUCUUGGUUUUAUCACUAAGAGAGACUUCAUAAGAUAAUCUAUCUUAGAAGCAUUGGAAACACGGAAUUCUGGAGGAGUUGAAGAGGAAGGAGAAGGAGCAAGAGAAACGGGUGCUUCGAGAAUUUCUGGUUAUGUAGACAUGAUGCAAGAGGAUAUUCUCAGCACUGGAUUUACCUACUAAGCGUAUGGAAUGUAUGACAUCACAAACGAAACCAUGGCUCUGAAGAAGAAUGAAGAUAUAAAUCCAACCAAGGCGAGUCACAUGGGAAUGAAGCCAGAACAUCUGGUUUUAGCUCAAAGGGAAUGCUCAGAAUUAUUGCAACAAGGCGUUAUUGAAAUCUUUGAUUCUCAAUGGGCCUGUGAAGCCUUUUAUGUUAAUAAGCGUGCUGAGCAAAACAGGGGAAGAAUGAGACUGGUAAUCAACUAUCAACCUCUCAACCUUUUUCUCCAAGAUGAUAAAUUCCCUUUAUCAUCCAGAGACUCUCUCUUUGCUGGUCUAACCAAGGCCCAUAUCUAUUCCAAAUUCAACUUCAAAGUCGGAUUUUGGCAAUUUGGCAUCCAUCUUGAAGACAGAUCCGAAACAGGAUUCUGUAUCCCAAAUCAACAUUUCCAGUGGAAAGUUCUUCCUUUUGGCCUAAAGGUAGCACCAUUCCUUUCCCAAAAGGCCAUUUGCCGUAUUUGCCAACCAAUCUUGUCAAGUGCAGCCGUAUACAUUGACGACAUUCUGCUCUACAGUCCUGACGAAUAGUCACACUGUCAACUCCUUGAGCAAUUCGCAGAAAUAGUGAAAAAGCAUGGCAUUAUGCUUUCUCAAAGGAAAAUGAAUAUUGCCCAAACAGAGAUUGAAUUUCUUGGUAUGCACCUCAACAAAGGUACGUACUACCCAGGGCCACAUAUUGCUCAAGAAUUUUUGAAGUUUCCUGAAGAUAACUUCACUACAAAACAAGUUCAGCAAUUUCUUGGGAUAAUAAAUUAUCUCAAGGAUUUUGUCCCAAACAUUGCAAAGCUCCUGAUUCCCUUGCAAUCCAUGUUGAAGAAGAAUCCCCUACCUUGGGGAAAAACCCAAACCAAAGCAGUCGCUGAGCUUAAGGAGAUUAUACAGAAUCUCCCACCGUUGCAAAUACCAUCAACAGGAAAAAGAAUUUUUCAAACUGACGCCAGUGAUGAAUACUGGGCAGCCAUCCUGUUCGAAGAAAUUGAUGGUAAGAGACACCUUUGUGCUCAUAAAAGUGGAAAGUUUUCUCCAGCUGAAAUGCAUUAUCAUUCCACCUUCAAAGAAAUCUUAGCAGUAAAAAAUGGAAUAAAAAAGUUUGAGUUUCAUCUCAUCGGCCAUCAUUUCCUGGUAGAAUUAGACAUGGCAUCUUUUCCCCAGAUGACCAAGUUUAAAUAGAAACAGAUUCCAAAUUCCCAACUGCUUCGAUGGGCUGAAUGGUUUUUGAAAUACUCUUUUGAAACCAAACAUAUUCAUGGAAAGAAGAAUGUGCUUGUUGACUUUUUGUUAAGGCCAAAGGCACCAGCCGAAAUCAACAUGUAUAUUAAGAGGCCUGCUUUCCAUAUGCUCAAUCAUGGCAUGAAAUACAAGAUUGAGAAGAUCAAAUAUUUGCUAAGUUGGAAAUAUCCCCAGGAGAUUAUUCAACAAAUCCAAAAUGACAGUCUUGCUAAGAACCUGGAGAACCUUAUGUGCCACACAGAUCUGUUCAGAUUCAAUGGAGGUUCGAUUCUUUAUCCUUUUGGGUUAAAUUCGGAUUAUCCAUUCAUUCAUCCUCUUAUCUGGAAGGAAGAUGAUUUCCCGGAUCAACUCAAGACGUUAUUAUGGUACUUAACCAAUAAGUACUUAAUAGCUAUUGAAAUUCCAACCAGAAGAUUCAUUGCCAACCUCACUAGGAUAUUUUUACUCGGAAGAAAUGUUGAGAAAGAAAGUGAUAAGGAUCUCUUAGACUUUCUUAAUUGGUUCUACUAUCCUACUCACUGGAAACAUCUCUUGGAAAAAGAACUGAGAACCAUGAUCCCAAAUCCUGAAGUCCAUACCAUCCCGUUUUUCCAACGUCCAUGGCAUUUUUUCACAAAUAAUGGCCACAUCAUUAAUGCCCCACAGGAAAUAGGAACCACAUCCUAUAAACCUCACUUGGACACCCGAAAAGCUUGAAUUCACAAAUCUUAUCCCAGAUCUAUUAGAUCUUGUGAACACUAGUACGGAGAACUCCAGAGAAUCUUGUGCCAGGAAAACAAAACCAUUCACGAAGAUAUAUGGAAUAAUGUAUCAACUACGUGGGAUCAUUAUGACCUAGCACCAGAAGCUAAGGAAGCACUCAGGCAAUACAAACAAGCUGCAUCAUCUCAAGAUCAUGAAAUGACAGGAGCAUAUGACAUUUUCCAAUCCACCCAGGACCCCUAUGCACGCUUUGGAGGUCCUCUGUCCCAGGAUCCCUACGAACAAGGACCUUCGUCCUUAUCCCAAAGCAUGGACACAUCCUUUUAUGCACAACCAUCCAAUUGGCCUCAGCCUUGCAUUCCUGCCGACACUGAAGAAAAUGACAAUACAAACUGGGCAGAAGAAGAAGCAUCCCACUGGGCUUAUGAAGCCUCUGCAUCCAUAUCCCGUCAGCUCAACCAGAUUCUAUCACCAGAAGACCUUGAAGCACUUGAACAAAAGUAUGAUGAACACCGCUUAGCGACAGUACACAGCUCGGAUGACUCUGACUAUGACUACAAUGCUCGUGACGGACGAGACCGCUGAGUCCGUACAAUUUCACUGUAGCAAGUCACUAUUCACUUUAACUGUAGUACUAGACUAGGGAAGGUACUGUUCACAGUACGAUCACUGUUCAUAGUGUGCGAAUAAUUCCCUCCCAGAAGUUUCCGGUGCCUCUGUUUGUAUUCGGACCCAUGAGCUUGGUCCUUGUGUGUCUGUGUGACCUCUUAUCGUCUAUAAAAGGUGAGGAGGGUGUAGUGUGUUGGGCAAAGUCCCUUGAAGUAAAGUGUAUGCUUUGUGAAAAAUCUCUCCAUGGCUUUCUAAAUUUCUCUUCUUCUCCAGCCUGGUAGGAUCCUCUAAGAAAUGCAGCUUGGGUAGGUUAGAAACGUUUCCAUCCUGGAAUCUUUGAGUGUCUCUAGGCUCUGAACUAAAUGGCUGAGUGGUUUUCUGCUAAAAGGCUGUCCUUGAAGGGCUUGAACGGGAGUUGUUUGCCUAUUGUGGGAUGCAUACCUGCAGGAAAUUUACUCUCCUUCCCUAGUUCUAAGUCUAGGUCCAUUCAUGGUAUCAGAGCCAUGGUUUCGUUUGUGAUGUUAUCCAUUCCAUGCGCUUGGUAGGUGAAUCCAGUGCUGAGAAGAUCCUCUUGCAUCAUGUCUACAGAACUAGAAAUUCUCGAAGCACCCAUUUCUCUUGCUCCUUCUCCUUCCUCUUCAACUCCUUCAGAAUUCCGUGUUUCCAAUGCUUCUAAGAUAGAUUAUCUUUAUGAAGUCUCUCUUAGUGAUGAAAUCAAAAUUUCUGAAACCCAACUUCCUCUCAAGAACCCUUACUCCGCUUUUGCCAAACCUAAUUCAUCAUUUUCACCUAUCCGCUCCAUUCACCAGCUUAUUCACCAAACCUCAAAGCAAGUAAAGGAGUACGUCUAGUCCUCCAAAUUCGACCAACAUCCCAUUCCUGCUACUGAAAAAGAGUACUUUGUUACUCUUCAAAUCCCUCCAGAGUUCCCCAGACAAUGGGCUCAACAGGGAUAUACUCAUGUCCAUUAUGACGCUGUUCGUCUUGCUCUCAUCUUUCAUGGUCGUAAAGGUUUGCCAGUUAUGGCAAGAAUAGCGUUGUUGGAUACCAGAUUUUUACAAUACCAACAUGCUUGCAUUGGUACUGUCCAAACUACUUUGAAUGCUGGAACAGUCUUUGUGACUUUGUAUCCAAACUUCAACAUCGCUCUUUCAGACCCCCAGUUACUCUUUUUUCUAAAAGUUCGCUCAUUGUGGGAUGCAUACCUACAGGAGAUUUACUCUCCUUCCCUGGUUCUAAGUCUAAGUCCAUUCAUGCAUAGACAAUGCAAAAACGACGUUGUUUUGGUGCUGACGAGGUAAAAAAUUUAAUAUAAAGAUUAAAUAAAUUUAAUUUUAAACUAAAUUUAUUUAAAACAUUUAAAAAUAAAAAUAUUAAAAUAUUAAAAAUAUUAAAAAAUUACAAAAAUUAAAAGCACAAUUAAAAAAAGGGAUAUAAAUUUUAUUUAAAUUUAAUUUAAACUAUUUUAAAAAUUUAAAUUUUUUUAAAUUAUUUAAAAUUUAAAAAAAAUUAAUAUUUUUAAUAUUUUUAAUAUUAAUAUUUUUAUUUUUAAAAUUUCUACUUCUCUAUUUCUCUAUUUCUUUAUUCCCCGGAACAGGUUUGGAACAUAAAUCAGUUUGGUAACGCAAUUUGAUUUUUCUAUUUCUGAAACAGAUUUCUAUUCCAGAAAUAGAUUUGAAGAAGAAAUCAGAAGUUAAAAUUUUUGAUUUCUCAAUUUCUAACUAUAAAUCAAUUUCUGUUCCAGAAAUUUUGUCAUGCGCACCUUAAGUGUCACUUUCAUAAGUUUUGGUACUUCAGUAUCCAUUUGUGCCAACUUAUGGCACUCCAAGGAUUCACACAUCGAACAAAAUGUAAAUGAGAGAAAUAUCAAUGCAGUUGUGAAGUGCUGCUUCUUAGCUAAGAAGUGAAAGGGAAAUGCUGCUUUUCCAUAUUUAGGAGAAAAUGACUUCUGAUUUGUCCAGCGGAUGAGGCUGAUCUGAUUAAAUUUUGGACUUUACUAGAGAGACACAACUGAGAAAAUGAAAGGCCCGAUCAAAAGUUGGACUUAGUUUGACGUUGAUAACAUAAACCUCAGGCAAAAAUAUCUCCUUUUUUUCUUCCAUUGCUGGGAUGAUAAUAGAGAAUGUGUUUUAUAUGAUGAAAAUAUCAAGCGGGAUGAAAUAAAAUAUAAUCAAUCAAUCAAAAGUGAAAUAUAUGAACACAGGGUGAGAAGUAAGACGAGAUUCAAAGUACGUGGGCAAUUAUGAUCAACCAAUCACACUGUGUUUCACCGCCAUGAAGUUUUAUCCAUCACAUAAACUGCAUUUUCACUAUCACGACACGUGUAUAUUUUUACACUAAGUAAUCGUCACAUGCCAACAUUUGAAAUCCGUUUGUCGAGGGUUUCUUUUUGCAUUGGCUGUGUUUCUUUUGAAAAUCCAACAUUUAGAAAAAAGCCAAUCAUUCUCGUACAAUUCUUUCUUGUUUAAUAACACAUUUUAGAUCUUACUUAUUAAGUAAGUCGAAUUUGAUAAUUGCCCGUGUAAUUAAUUUCUCUCUUUGAUAAUCUAGCUACUAGUCAGACACUUUAAUCUAAUCUUGAUUGAUUGCCAAAGUGUUACCGAUCCGUAAAAGAAUGUGGGGCAGCUCAUGGAGAAAGGAGUGGCUGGAAUCUUUCAUGGUGACAGCAUCGGCCCCGCAACAUUUGUGUUUUCUUUUCCUUUUUCUGUUUUUGACAAGCUUCUCGUACAUGAUCAGAGGCAAGAAAGACGGAGUCCUCAGCAAUUUUUCGCUUUUUCAAAGCCGUAGACCAUGAAAACUUCAAGAAGGCCAUUCUGGGGCGUAAACUCGAUUUCUCAUUGCGGAACGCUAAAAUUCGGGAAAGUGGAAACAUGCCGCGAACGAUGACCCAAGUGGUCUCAAGCCCGCAUUGGACAACCCAAUGGGCCUGGGCCCGCAUUGGACGGCCCAAUAGGGCCCACGCCCAUGUUGGGCAGCCCAAGGUCCCAUGCCCAGGGAGAUGAGCAGCCCACGAGGGCCAUGGAUCUCCAAGCCCACUUUAGCCUUAUGAGAUCUAAGCAUUUAAUGCACCCAUAUGCAUGAAUAGUGCCCAAAUCUCCUUGCAAAGACCAAAUUGACCUCUCUUCAAAGCUAAAGACCAAGGGGCAAGAGUGGAAUUGGCCAAGGAAGGGGGCGGCCACAAGUUUGGAGGAAAUUAGAUGGAGGACAACCUAGCCUAGUCUAAAGCUUAACAUAGACCUAUUAGCCCAUGUGUGAAUAUCUCCUCAUUAAUAGCUUGGAUCUUUCUUCUUCAAGAGGCAAUCCCAUACUUGGAUGAGAGGAUUUCAUAGGAUUGGAUAGUAUUAAACAUUAAUAACCAAAUCUCCCUCAUUCUCUCUCUCUCCCCCAAAACCCACGGUGACCACCACUCUCUCUUUCUUCUCUCAUUUGUUCACUUUGGCACUCACUCUCAUCUUUCCUCUCCCUUUUGAGCUUGGCCGAACCACCACCCUCUCCAUUCCAUCUCGUUUGCGUGCUUUUUCCUCUCAUUCCCUCACCAUUCAUUGUCCACCGCACACACCCAUCGUUGAACCGCAAUUCUCAUCACCAUGCCAAACCGUGGAUUCAAGGAGGAAGCUGUCUAACCUCACCACUGAUAGGGCUAGUAAGAACACCUAGAGGGGGGUGAAUAGGUGUUAAAGAAGUUUCUGCAAGACUUAACAAAUUAAUUCGUCUUCUGAAGAUGUAAAAGACUAUAGAUAGUUAUAUAAAGUUACGAAUUAAAGUAAAGAGUUUAGGGAAAGAGAAUUGAAACACAAAAUUUAUAGUGGUUCGGCUUAGAUCAAGCCUAUAUUCACUCUCCCGCACUGACAGCCCACUGGUUGGAUUUCACUAAGAACCAAAAGAGAUUUUACAGUCUCACGUUCUUGAUUCCAUAGUGUAGAAACUCUACCACACUUUCUCAAGGUCUCACAAGUAUUUAAUCUCUCUUUUGAGUACAACUCAAGCUCAACGAUUGAAAUAGCAAAGAACUAAGAAUUUCAGACUUUGGAAUUUUUCUUUUACGCACACACUCAAAUAACUUGAGCGUCUUUCUUAUAUACUCAUUCAUGCCUUUUAAACCGUUGACACUUUCCAAAGGAGUGCUUCCAAUCUACCUGUUGGCCAGAAUCAAUUAGGGAGAUCUCGAGUUAUUUAAGGAAUGUGAUGAUCGCCCACCAAUUUUGCUCGCCCAUACAAUUAGGAUCUAGGUUUCCAUAAGUAGAACCUUCCAAGUAUACUUCGCCAAUCAACAGAUCCAAUUAUCCGAAUUGAUUUCAAUAAGAAUAACUGAUCACGAGAUGUUAUCUCCAACCGUGAGAUCUUCUUCAACCGUACGGACCAAAUCCUUAAAGAUAUACUCAUAUUUGGACAAGUCUUCUUCAUCGGAUAAAUCUUUUCUUCAUCGAUCUGGAAACUAUUAGUGAGGGUAGACUUUAAGUUUUGAAUCUGGAGGUCUUCAGACUUUGACGAUAGAGUUUGCGAGUCUUCAGACUAGAUUGAUGGAAACGUUUUGUCAACUUCAAAACAAAAAAUGAAGUUUUCUCCAACAAUCUCUCCAUUUUUUAUGGUGACAAAACUUUCCCGCAGAUUUGAACACUUUCGUCCUACAAAACAACACUUAAGCAAAACAAGAUAUCUCAUAAAAGAUAAGUAGAUUAGGAUAUGGAUAGUAACAAUUUUGUAACCACAGAAAACAUGUUAGUCUUGCAAAACAACUAUCCUUUCCAUAAUCAUCAUGGCUUAAGUUACUGCAAGUAUCAAAAGAUCAAAUUAAACAGUCCAAACCACAACCAAACAAAAUAUAAGUCCAAAAAUCCCAAAAAUCCAAACCAAAGUCAAAUCAAAGUCAAAUUUGCAUCAAACUUCUCACCCUUUUCGUCAAUAGCAAAAGGUGGAGAACAAAUAAAAAGAGUUGUUUGAAAAUAGAAUCAGAAUCAUGGCUGUUUUGGAAAGCGAACAAGCUGGAACUCUCCCAUAGAAUUCACUGUCUUCUCAAGCCUUGCAAAACUUUGCUUUAGUGACUGGAAAUCUUCACUCUGCACAAUAGACUGCACUUGAUUCUUCAUGGCGUUUAACUGAUCGUGCAAAGACACUGAAGUUGCCAUGAAAGCAUUCUUGAGAUCCUACAUCUCAUACCCCAUAGCAUAUUGCUAUUUCCUUACAUCCAAUAAGAUGUCUAGCAAUCUCAAAAAGUCUGCCGUUUGUUCUGUUGCAGCAUUAGGUCCAGCCGAGUUGAUUCUAGGAGUUUUGAGAAUGGAUGGAUCUUCAGUAGAUUGUCCAUCAUGACUAUGAGUGGAUGCUUCUGGAUAAUGAAAGGCAUACACAUUCUUUGGAUCUGCAGCGGAGUGACUCACAUCACUAGUAAAGAUAGGUGAAGAAGUACAUUUUUGUUCAACAACUCCCCCUGUUUGUUUGCUUUUAGGAGGAGUAGAAAAAUCUUCUUCUAGUGCAACUUCAACUUCAGAGUGAUGUUUAUCUGCGUCAUGUGCUCCAGUAGUUCCAGUGUUAGCCAUCUCAAAGUCGCUUGAUAAGGAUACAGCCAAAGUUGGCUCAAAAAAGUCUUUGUGAUCCUGUUCUAUCUCAUAUUCUCUUCCUUUUUCUCAUUCUUCUCUUCUUUCUUCUUCUUCUUUCUCUCCUUCUUCUUCUCUUCUUGCUUCCUCUGUCCUCCUCUGUUCUUCAUUCUCUGUCUCUUCUCUCUCUUUUUCUCCUUCUUCUGGCUCUUUUCUUGUCUCUUGAAAGCUGACAAAACUCUUCAGGUUUCUUAAGGCUGAAAGAGUCAUCUCAUCCUCAUCCUCUUCAUCUUACAAGAUGAGAACUCUCUUCCUCUUCACUGGAGCAUCUAUGGGCUCCUUGCGUUUUCUCUUGGCCACAACAGAGUCUUGUUUAGCUUUGACGGGAGAUUUUUCCUUCAUGCACUCAAUCACCUUGUUAAGCUCUUUCAAACGCAUUUUUGAAACCAUUUUGAAUCCAAUCACCAUCGGAGAAAUGUUUGUCAAACACAAGGGUGCCAGAAUGUGAAUUUUAAAGUGUCUGAAAAGGCGCAUGAUAAGAGUAGAAUAAUGAAGUUGUCCCUUAUCUUUCACCACUGUCCUGUACAUGUGAAACAGGAUGGUGUGAGGCAGAGAGAAUCUGUAGCCAGCAUUGAUUGCAAACAUCAACUUUGCUUCUGAUAGAGAGACAUCAGUCUUGGAUGUCGAUUUUGGCCGGAUGCAGUUGAUAACAAUUUUGUGCAGCAAGACAUUUGAGGCAUUCAUCCUAGAGUAGGAUAUUUUGCCUUCAGUAUCUCUGUCUAUAACCAAUGCCAGUGUAGCAUGUGCAACUGACACGCUAAUUGGUUGGAAAUUUGCUCUUUCCACCCCAAUUAGGUCAGCCAAUGUGUCCACAUCCACCAAAAACUCUGUCCCUAACUGUGAAAGAGAAACUAUUUGCAUCCAGAAAAGAUAAAUUUGAGUAAAAGUAGGUGGCGAGUUCCGAAUAGGCAAGUGUAGAUUUAGAACAGAAGUGCUCCAAUAGAAGACAUGCUAACUUCUUUCGUAGAUUGACUUUCACCGAAUCGAGAAAAUCAAAGUCCACACUUCUAGGGUUCAUCACCCCUCUUUUCAACAAUCUCGAAUAGACUUUCUUGUGCUCUUUAGAGCGAAAAAUGCUCCCUCCAUUUCCUCUAGCAUUAAUAGCCACUCCCAUCCUCGGUUGAAAAUGGGUAAACAUCCGUUCAUCAUCGUCCUGUCCUUGUGGUUGAUUUGCAGUGCCAUAGUGUGGGUCACUCGGAAAAUUUGUGAAGGUUCUUUCACCACUGUCCUGUACAUGUGAAACAGGAUGGUGUGAGGCAGAGAGAAUCUGUAGCCAGCAUUGAUUGCAAACAUCAGCUUUGCUUUUGAUCAAGAGACAUCAGUCUUGGAUGUCGAUUUUGGUCGGAUGUAGUUGAUAACAAUUUUGUGCGGCAAGACAUUUAAGGCAUUCAUCCUAGAGUAGGAUAUUUUGCCUUCAGUAUCUCUGUCUUUAACCAAUGCCAGUGUAGCAUGUGCAAUUGACAUGCUAAUUGGUUGGAAAUUUGCUCUUUCCACCCCAAUUAGGUCAGCCAAUGUGUCCACAUCCACCAAACACUCUUUGUCCUUAACUGUGAAAGAGAAACUAUUUGCAUCCAGAAAAGAUUAAUUUGAGUAAAGGUAGGCGGUGAGUUCCGAAUAGGCAAACAUAGAUUUAGAACAGAAGUGCUCCAAUAGAAGACAUGCUAACUUCUCUCACAGAUUGACUUUCACUGAAUCGAGAAAAUCAAAGUCCACACUUCUAGGAUUCAUCACCCCUCUUUUCAACAAUCUCAAAUAGACUUUCUUGUGCUCUUUAGAGCGAAAAAUGCUCCCUCCAUUUCCUCUAGCAUUAACAGCCACUCCCAUCCUCGGCUGAAAAUGGGUAAACAUCCGUUCAUCGUCGUCUUGUCCUUGUGGUUGGUUUGCAGUGCCAUAGUGUGGGUCACUCAGAAAAUUUGCGAAGGUGCUUUUAGCCGUCCCUCUCUCUACAACUCCUAACUUUCCCAUCUCUCGCAAGAAUAAAGUUUCAUUCUUGAAUCCUCUAUCUCUUAAAAAUCCGUUGAUCAAAGACAUCACUAUUCCUCCUUCCUUCAAAUUAGAAUAAAGCUUGAAAGCAAUCUUAGGAGUUGGCAUUCUUUCAGGUUCAACUUCUUCUAAAAUUUCUUCUUCUGGUUGAGUCGGUGGAGGAGACUAACGUUGCUGAGAAGGUUGUUGCUGACUUGGUCGCUGUGGUGGAGAAGAAUCUUCUUCCUCGGUUAGAUUGAAAUGCAUAGGAACCUCAGGCAUGUGUCGUGGUCCCUUGCUUGCAAUCCUCGAAGACUUUCUUGAAGACAUUGUCGCUUCAAGGGAGAAAUUCACAAACUUGCUCGAAAAAGAUGAAAACUUUUUGGACAAAUCGAGAGUGAAAGUGAAAGCAAGUGGGAGUUUUGUAUUCUAGGGUUUGAGAGUAAAAACGAAGAAGACGGAUUUCAACAGUAUAUAAAGCAAGUGAAGCAAGGUAAACAAAUCGUCAUAAAAGGAAAAUAAAAAUACCUUUUUGAAAAUGAAUAGCUGCAUUUUUGAAAAUAAAUAACUACCUUUUUCAAAAUCGAUAACUACCUUUUGAAAAAGAAUAAAUGCUACAAAUUCAAAAACUUGGAAAGAUAAUUUCAAUCAAUUAGCGAUUAAUAAGUAAUCGUAUAUUUUCAAGUCUUUAACCAUAAAUUAAGUUACUAAUACCGAAAUAACUUAUAGUCGUAACUCUUGGUCUUCUAAAUUUGAGCACCUUCAGACUUUAUCUCUAAGUCUGAGCUCCUUCAGAUUUUACUGAAUAAAAGAUGUGAUGUUUAGUCUGGUGCGAAUAGACUCAAAUAGGUUUUUCUCCAGUGGCUUUGUAAAUAUGUCGGCUAAUUGAUUCUUUGAAUCAAUAAACUGAAUCAAAACUUUUCCAUUUUGCACAUGAUCUCUAAUAAAGUAAUGUCGAAUCUCUAUGCGCUUUUCUCUUGAAAGAAGAAUUGGAUUCUUUGUAAGAGUAAUUGCACUAGUUUUGUCACAUUUGAUCUCGGUGUAUGAGUCUUCAAUUCCAAAGUCUCUCAGUUGUUGUUUUAUCCAUAAAAUUUGAGAACAGUAACGUCCAAGGGCCACAUACUUUGCUUCUGCUGUUGAAAGAGCUACAGUACUUUGCUUCCUUGAGAACCGUGAUACUAUCCUAUUUCCCAGCAAUUGACAAGUACCUGAAUUACUCUUUCUAUCAACUCUGUAACCUGCUAGAUCUGCGUCUGAAUAUCCAAGGAGAGUAAAAUCUCAUUCCUUGGGAUACCACAUACCUAACUUUGAGGUAGUUGCAACGUAUUUGAUGAUGCGUUUUGCAACACUUAGAUGAGAUUCUUUGGGAUCAGAUUGAAAUCUAGCACAAAUGCAAACACUAAAAAUGUCAGGUCUAGAAGCAGUAAGAUAAAGAAGUGAACCAAUAAUACUCAUGUAGAGCUUUUGAUCAACUUUCUUUCCUCCUUCAUCUUUGUCCAGCUUCGAAGAACUAAACAUUGGUAUCUCAGUCUUUUUGCAAUUCUGCAAUCCAAACUUUUUAACGAGUUCUUUUGCAUAUUUUUCUUGGUGGAUGAAAAUUCCUUCAUUCAAUUGUUUCACUUGUAAUCCGAGAAAGAAUGAUAGUUCACCCAUCAUGCUCAUUUCAAAUUUAUCUUGCAUGGACUUAGAAAACUUCUUGUACAAGUUUUCGUUAGGUGAUCCAAAUAUAAUAUCAUCAACAUAGAUUUGAACAAGUAGAAAGUUUUUACAUUCUCUUUUAAUAAAUAAGGUAGUAUCCACUUUUCCUUUGACAAAACCAUUUUGAAUUAAAAACUUACUUAACCUGUCGUACCAAGCUUGAGGUGCUUGCUUUAAUCCAUAUAGAGCAUUUUUCAAUUUGAAUACUGAGUCUGGUUUCUUUGGGUCUUCAAAUCCGGGAGGUUGUUCCACAUAAUCUUUUUCUUGGAUAAAUCCAUUUAGGAAUGCACUUUUUACAUCAAUUUGGGAUAAUCUGGAAUUUUUAUAAUAGGCAAAAGCAAGUAAUAAUCUAAUUGCUUCUAACCUUGCUACAGGUGCGUAGGUCUCAUCAUAGUCUAUCCAUUCUUCUUGCGUAUAUUCUUUGGCCACGAGUCUUACUUUGUUCCUAACCACUUUUCAUUUUUUCGUUCGUCUUGUUCCUAAAAACCUAUUUAGCUCAAAUAAUGGAUUUACCUUUUGGUUUAGGAAUUAAUUUCCAAACAUCAUUAAUGCUGAACUGUCUGAGCUCUUCUUGCAUAACUUCAAUCCAGCUUUCAUCAAUUAAAGCUUCUUCUAUGCUUUUUGGGUACUAUUUCAAAAUUAGUGCCACAGCGCUAGACUCUUCUUGCUUUUUAGAUUUGGUGCGAAUCCUUUCAUCAAUGUCAUCAAUGAUGAGUUCUUUGGGAUGACUACACUUGUGCUUCUAGUUACUGGUUUGUCUGACAGUUUGCUGAUCUUCUACUUCAGUUGAUUCUUCAACAUCCGUUUGUUGUUGUUCUUCAGAAGUCUGAGCCGUUUCAGGGGAGGUAGACUUUGUAAAGUCUGGAGCAGGUUCAGAUUCUUCAGAUUAAGUCCGAAUCAGUUGAUUUUGCAAAGAGUCUUGGAAUUUGACGUUCAUAGAUUCUUCCACAGAUUGAGUCUUCUUGUUGAAUACUCUGUAGGCUUUGCCCGUGAUUGAAUAUUCAAGGAAAAUUCCUUCAUCUGCCUUUCUAUAAACUUACUAGUUUUAUCAUUUGCAUUCUCCAUGGUCUGUCUGUAUUUGAAAUAGUAUAUCCUUUCUCAUUAUGAACUUUCUUAGCAAACUUUGAGAAAUGAGAAAAUGUUUUAGACUUACUUGCCAGAAAGUAAACCCAAGUGAAUCGAGAAUAAUCAUCCAUAAUUAUUAGGCAGUAUCUUUUUCCACCAAUGCUUUGCGUUUUGGUUGGUCCAAAGAGAUCCAUAUGCAGAAGCUGCAAAACACGAUUAGUAGAAACUUGAUUUAUAGGUUUAAAAGAACUUCUAACAUGUUUUCCCAAAACACAUGGUGUGCAUAAGUUAGAUUUUUGGUAUUUCAGGUUGGGUAGUCCACGAACAAGCUUCUUGGAGGAGAUCUUAGCAAUCUGCUUCAUGUUGAUAUGGCCAAGUUUUCGAUGCCAAAGAUUUGCUUCAUCUUGAAUUGAUAUUAGACAUUGAGAACUUUCUGGUUUUAUAUCCAGAAGAUAAAUAUUCCCAUGUCUUUGUCCAGUAAAAGAUUGAGAAAGAUCUUUACUAGUUCCCGAACAUAUUUCUUCUUGGAAAUUGAUUUUGAAACUAGUGUCACACAGUUGACUAAUGCUGAGUAGAUUGUAAUUUAGUCCUUCCACCAAGGAGACAUUGUUGAUUGUAAGACUUCCAAUCUUUAUAGUUUCACACCCAACAAUUUUCCUUUGCUAUUUCCACUAAAAGAGACUUUUCCACUAUUUGUUUGAAUAAGUUUUAUAAAACAACUUGAAUCUCUAGUCAUAUGUCUCGACCAGUCACUAUCCAAAUACCAUUUAACAUUUUUCUUGAUAUUGACCUGCAAUUAAAAAAGUGACUCAAGCUUUCUUUGGUACCCAUAUUUUCUUGGGUCCAGUUGUGACAUCCCGAUUUUACAAUUUUGGUUUUAAUUGAAUAAGUCAGGCAUUUCAUCUUCGCGUCUAUAGCUCUCUUCUAUGAGUUGACUACUCACAAGAUAACUAGUCUAUCAGGUGAAGCCGUUAAGGAAUCUAAACGCAAUAGACUUGAGAAUUCGACCAUGAAUUGACUACUCGACCGUAUUAAUCUGCAAGGAUCAUUACAACACUAUCAUAAUGGAACAGAGAUCAGUAAUAGGUCAAUUCAACUGAGAUAUGUGAUUAGAGUGUGGGUGAUUCCACCUGAUCGCAAUAUUCUCGUCGACCGGCACUAGACUUAUUCUUCUGUCGUUUUGGGUACCCUGUGUCCAUAAUCGAAAUCUCGAGAUUUCUACAACAACUGAGAGUCGCCAGUGUGUCGAAGAUUUAUGUCGUGCCUUGAAAAUAAUCAACCACGAGUUAAUUGCACUGAAAAUUCCUAAAAACUAUCCGGUAGAUUAGGUCGCGCUUAAAACGCACCAUAUUGAAAUUAACCGUGAUUUUGAACCUGAUUUCAGAAAUUGGAAGUUCUAUUAUGUCACAAAUCAUUUUAGGAAUGUCGACUCAUCCUCAGAAGAUUUUUCUGCAAACCGAGAUUUUCGGCGAAAAAUCAAAGUAUGGUUAUUUUGAAUCGGGAAAUUAGUAGACCCGCUUUUGAUCUCAAUUUUGAGAUACAAGUUGGUUCAAUGGACAAGGAAAAAUGUGGAGUUAAGUGAUGACACCUUGGAUGAAUUUAUAGGCUUUGAUUUGAGCUCAACUGAGUAAGAAUUGAAGGAAUUGAAGAGGAUUGAAUGGAAAUGAGGGACAAAAGCACAAAAUUCGUAUGCCAUUGGGGGAGCAACAUUUCAGCCAUGAAGAGAGGCUUCUUGAGGAAGAUUUGAGAGAGAGAAUGGCUGAGGAUGACAGCCCAAGUGGUGGGGGCAAGCUCUCAAGUGUUUGGCCAAGUGUUGGAAGGCUAGAGAAGCCAAUUGGGGUCCCCUCUCUUCAGCAGCCUUCUUCCUCCUUGAAGCAUGGCUUUCUACAUGGUUGAGGCUUAGGAAAAGCACAAGAGAACCAGAGGAAACCGAGCUCACCAGCUCCUCCACUGUCGCACGCCCGGAAGGCCAUCAUCGGCCGUUUCCCUCCCCUGUUUUCUCCUCAUUCCAGUUUCCACUUCAGCCGAACUUUCGCCGAAGAUUUGAGUAAAAAAUUAACUUCCCGGAUGAAUCAGUGAACGAGCCACCUAUCAACGUGACGAGGACAUCCAGAACGUUCCAAAGAGUCUGGCCUUGCCCUGAACGGAGCUGUCAUCCGUCCGGUACGCUGACGUGAAGUUACCAGUCACCGAUCCGUCGGUCCGUCUGUCAGUUUGCCCGGUUUCGCCAUUUCAGCAUUUUCUUCCAUUCCAACCCUUCCUCCACCCAUACCAACCACUAUUAGGUCCCCCUCGACCCCCGAGUGCCGCCGGUUGCCGGCCAAUCGCUUGCCAGAGCUCUGGCCAAGCCUGUUCAGCUCUGUCUCUCCUCCGGCAGUCCACUUUUUCAAAGUUGCAGAGGGAAUCCGAGAUUGUGAUUGUUGUUCCAGCCCCGGGACCACCUUGGAUCGCUGUGGUUGAGGCCCCGGCACGUCGCCUCCGUCGUGCACCGCCCUCAAGCUGCUGGAUAGCUGCCGGAGUCGCUGUUUCCACGCCAAACCGCCGCCGGUUCCAGCCUUUUCGGUCCAAGAUCAAAAGAGAAAAUCAGCAAGGGCUUGGAGAAUUUGAGGCCCAUUUUAGGUGUCUUCCCGGCCUCUAUUGGUGUCGCCGCUUUGAGGUUUAUCACCCGUCUUGGCGUCGUGGUCGUGGUCGCCGUGGACUCACCGGAAUGCAAAACCGAUGAGUUUACCUUCUAAUCCUUGCUUAGUAAGUUAAUGACGCUUAAGGGGUGUUUAGAUUAGUCUAAUUAGGUUUACAUGGUUAGAUUAGAUUAUUUUAAUGUAAAUUAGAUUAUUUGUAUGAUUAGUUUAAUGGAUGUUUAAUUAGGGCUAAUUGUAUGUUUAAAUUAGUGUAAUCUAGUUUAAGCCAUAAUUAAUUAUUUCGAAUUUUAUAAAUAUUAUUUUAUUAAAUUAUAUUAUUAUUAUAUAAUAUUUAAUUAUUUAAUUUUCGGAAUUAAAUUUAUUUAUUUAAUAAUUUUGAAAAUUUCGCCGAGAUGGCCGGUCGUUAGAAUUUCGCACUGAUCGCAGCAGUGCGGUCAGUUUGUGCUAAUUGUUUGUUUAAUUUGAGGAAUUGAGUGAUUGAUGAUUAUGGUUAAUUAUUCCAAAAGUGUGGAAUUGAGUGAAAUUGGAGAAGUUUUGGUAUUUAACUUGAAAAUACCCGAUGUUGGCUUUUGGCACCGUAAUUGGUUUGUAGGAUCGGUUCGAGUCAUUGGAUGUUAUUAGAUUGUAUAUCCAGUUCUAUGGUCUAAAUAUAUGUACAGCUUUGGCGAGCAAUUGGUUUAUAUAUGUAUCGGCUUGUGUGAGUACUGUAUGUCAGCUUGUGAGAGCAAUGAUUGUUUAUCAACUUGUGAGAGCAACGAUCUAUAUAUUAGCUUGUGCAAGCUAUCAUCUAUAUAUAUAUCAGCUUGUGCGAGCUACCAUCUAUAUCAGCUUGUGAGAGCAUUGCAUCCAUUUCAGUUUGUGCAAGCCGUAAUUGUAUUGAUGGAUGAAUAGAUGGUAUGGUUUAAUAGAUGGUAUGAAUUGAUAGAUGUGUGGAUCGUAUGAUAUCAAUUGGAUUGACUGAAUUGAUAGACUGAUGGGUGUGUUGGUAGUUUCAGCUUGUGCGAGCAUUGUUGAAUAUGAAUUGUAUUGACGUGCAGGAAUGGAUUGAGGUGAGGUAAGUCCUCUGUCUGAUUUGUGUGGCUAGAGCUCCCUGGGCUGUAUUUUCUUCCUAAUCGAGUCUUAGAGGGUAUGACUCACUGAGACAUUGUCUCACCCCGUUGUAGGCUUAACGUUUUCAGGUCCUUAGAUGGCGAUCGUGAAGGACUCGAAGCCAUGGACAUUUGUGGAGGUGAAGACCGAAGAAUCGGUGAACGUGUUUGACUAGUUGUGUGGCAUCCCAAAAUUCAUGGCAACCUCUAGUCACAUUUAGGUCUAUGAAUAGGAGAUGGAAGUACCAUUAAGUUAUUUUAUGGCUAUUUAAUCCAUAAUUUGCAAUAAGAUUUAUGGCCAAGCUUUUAAUGGAUAAUUAUUUGAUAGGAAAGAAAAUCCUAUAAUUGGCCAUGUGUUUUAUAAAUUGGAAUUUAUGGAUUUAUGAUUUCAAGUUUUAUGGCCAUAUGAAAUCGUAAUUUAGUAUUUAUAUAAAUGGGGAUUUAAGGUAAAUUAUUAAAAGUGAAAUGGACUUAUCUUGGGCUAUUUAAGUUUGGGCUUUAGGCCCAAGUGAGAUGGGCCUAAAGUGGGCCAUAAGCCCGGCCCAUGAAGCCCAUUGGGCCGUCGGUGCAUGAAGGGGGAGGAGGAGUAGCCGCAUGGCCUCCAAGUGUCUUCGGCAAAGGAGACACUUGUCUCCUUCUUAGGGACAAGUGUCCCCCAUGCAAAGAGGGGGUGCAUGCAAUAUAAAUACAACUAAAAAGGAAGAGAGAGAGAGAGAGUGGCUGAUGGUUGAGGGUUGUCGUCCAAGAGAGGUGCCGAGAGAGAGGAGAGAAAGAGAGAAAGAGAGGAAGAGAGGAAGAGAAAAAGGAAGGAGCUCACCCGUUGCCGCCCGCACGCCGUCCGUCCGUCCGCCGUGUUCGCCGCCGUUCGUGUGGUCUAGAGGCAAGUUGGAGUCCUCUAGCUGCUCUUGCAUGUGUGUGUGUUAUAUGUAUGUCGAGUUUUGGGUGAUUAGGAGAGGAAAACCGAAUAUGGAUGGCUUGUUCUUGAGUGGUGUUGCUGUUUUCGCUCGAACAGUUUGAGUCAGAAUGUUGUGUGAGCUUGCAUGCAUGUUUGGAGUCCGAUUUUGACCUUGAUUUCUUCAUGAAAGUUUUAGCUAACAUCUCAAAAUACAACAUACUAAAAUUUUGUGGAAAAUUAUGGAUAUUUGAGGGGUCAAAAUCUCAUCUUACGGAGAUGUCAGAUCUGCAAUGUUUUCGCAUGAAUCCGCUCGAGUCAGAAUGUUGUGUGAGAUUUCAUGCAUGUUUGAAGUCAUAUUUUGGCUUAUAUUUCUUCAUAAAAGUUGUAGCUAACAUAUUAAAAUAAAACAUACUAAAAUUUGGUGGAAAAUGAUGGAGAUUUGAGGGGUCAAACUCUCAUCUUACGGAGAUGUCAGAUCUGGAAUAUUUUCGCAUGAAUCCGCUCGCGUCAGAAUGUUGUGUGAGCUUGCAUGCAUGUUUGGAGCCCGAUUUUAGCUUCUAUUUCUUCAUGAAAGUUGUAGCUAACAUAUUAAAAUAAAACAUAAUAAAAUUUGGUGGAAAAUUAUGGAGAUUUAAGGGGUUACACUCUCAUUCUACGGAGACCUCAGAUCUGGAACAGUUUCACUGACAUCUUGUUGGAUUUGUGGUUGCUUAUUGAUUUGUGCUAAGAAUAUCUCUUCUAUUUCUUCAUGAAAGUUGUAGGGGACAUCGUAAACUACAACAUAAUCAAAUUUGAAGCAAAAUGAACAAGUAUAACCUUGUAAAUCGACUAGAUCUUGAAGACGGUAAUUCUGGAGAUGUAUUACAGGACACCCGAGACUUCAUGGACCUAAAUGAUGACUAUACUCUGGUUAUUUGACUUGGAUCUCUUCAUAAAACUUGUAGAGAACAUCUUUAUGUAGAACAUAUCUAAAUUUCAGAGGAAACGAAGAAGAAAAGGUAGGUGAAAACUCAGUAUUUCGGAGAAGCAUGUACUGGACGAUUCGGUGUUGGAUCCAGAAGCUUCGUGUGACUGUAGAAAAUAAUCUAAAAAGAAUCUGACUUGGAAGUCCGCAUAAAAGAUGUACGUAAAUGUUUUGGCUAUAACUUGGGAAAAUUUCGUAAUUUUUGGAGGUCGUAUGGAUAUUUUAAUGGAAUAUCUUCGGAGACUGUGCAUUCUGGUUUCAUCCGAAAAUUUCAUGCUAUUUUGUGUGAAUUAUGAAUUUGUGUGGAUUUCUCAUUGGCCGUGUAUUUUGCAUGAAAUCAUUAUCCUAUUGUAUUAUUUGCCUUAAUUUUAUGAUUUUUGAGAUUAUAUAAAUAAUUAAAUUUAAUAUUUUUGAAAAUGGCACAAGCUGGAAUUUAAGUAAAUGUAAAAAGGGCAUGAUAAAUGGAUUAUUUUAAUUGGCAUAAAUUCCAUGAAUUUUAUUUUAUAAAUAAUCGCACCAUGUAGUAUGUGUGAUGAGGUCUUGAUGUAUGCGUUGAGAUGCAUGUGUGAAUUCAAUGUUGAACAUGAUUUUUGGUUGCUAUUGCAUCAUAUGCCAUACUAAAUUAAGAUCGAAAUUGGUGAACAUGGAUAAUGAAAAAUGAGGAGAUUGUUGUGGCGGAUGAUAAUGCCCCGGGAGUGUCAGGAUGCCCGGUGGCCUAGUGGCGUAAUUUCGGAGGGCAGGGGAAACCAUUUUCAUGGCGAGUCCCGGAGAUUCCCCGAGAGUGUCGGGAUGCCCGGUGGUAUACGAUACGUAAUUCCAGGGGAGGCCUGGUGGUAUGUCGGUACAUAAUUCCGGAAGCCCUGGAGGUUUGUGCCCAGGGGGAUGCCUUGCGAUGCCAGUAGGGGUGUGGGAUGCCCGGCCAGGGAGUGUAAAUGCCGGAAGCCCUGUCGGAGGUCUUUGCUCGAGGGGAAUGCCUCGCGAUGCCAGUUGGGAUGCGAGAUGCCCAGAAUGUGGGGGGCCGGAUGCCCGGUGGCCUGGAAUGGCUGAAUGCCGGAGGUUUUUCUCGCAUGGGAUGCGAGUGUAAAAUAUGAGAUGAAAUUGAUGAUCCGAGGAAGGGUGAUAUGGUGAUCAAAUUGAAAGCUAAAAGUGGAAAUUGAACCAUGCAUGAUAUGAUAUGACACGAUGAUGAUAACCCAUGGCAUGAUGAUAUGCAUGAUGAUGAUGAUAUAUGACAUGAUAUGAUGAUGAUAUAUGAUAUGGCAUGAUGAUAUGCUUGAUGAUGAUGAUAUAUGACAUGAUAUGAUGAUGAUAUAUGAUAUGACAUGAUGAUGUCAUGAAGAUGAUGACAUGUGUGAUAUGAUGAUGUCAUGAUGAUGAUGACAUGUGUGAUAUGAUGAUGUCAUGAUGAUGAUGACAUGUGUAUGGUAUGAUGGUGUCAUGUAUAUGAUGAUGAUAACAUGUGUGUGAUAUAAUAAUGUCAUGAUUGCGAUGAUAUGAGAAUGACAUCAUGAUACACAUGUAUGUGUUAUGAUUGUGGUGAUGAUGCAUGAUGAUAUACGCAUGGCUUCAAGGUAAGUAAUGCCUGCAAUGCAUGUAUGACUUGUAUGAUGCAUUGAGUGGUUAUUGGAUUCCUUUACCUGCUGAGUGGUUGUACUCACCCCUUUUGGGGACCAACAUUUCAGAUUAGUAGAUGGUUUGAGCGGUUGGAUAUGACCGCGAGGAGAUGGAUAGCAAAGGAGGGAACCUUUGGACACCGACACUGGUUGAUGGACCUUAAGUAUUCAACUGUUGGAGAAGAUGUCGGUCAUCCUUUGAAGUGUAGCCGAGUAUAGAAAACUACGGCAUUUUGAUGUACCGACUAAAGAUGUCCAUCUGCUCUAUGUAAAUAAAUGUGUUCAGUUUUAACUUAUAUAAGAUAUUUAGUAGGUGUGCAUCGUUUUCUGUAUAUAGGGAAGGGAGUUAAUGGAUGUGCUUCUACUAUAUGAACUGCGCAAGGGACCGAUAAAAAAAAAAAAAUGUAAACCCCAAGGUUGUAUGGACCCGCUGCAAUUGAAAUGGUAUCAGAGUGACAUGUUAGUAAGGAAAGUGAAAGAUAAGCGAACUGUGGCGACCCUAAUCGGAUCGGGGGCCGUCGAGGGGUGCCACAAGUUGGUCAUAGGAUAGUUCCCUUUUUGUUUAGCCGAUUUAUUUUGUAGACAAUCCAGUGUUGUAUAUAAACCUAUGUGUUUAUAAGAAAGCUUGUUUGGUUGUGAUUGAUUGUCUGUUUUUCUAUCCCAAGUUAAAUGUUGUUAGGGGAUUGGAUUUGUUUCGCUUCCGCAUGCGUAAUAAAAUGAAUGGGUCGGCGACGUGUCCUAGGAAGUCGCACAUUUGUAUCGACCAGAGUGGAAUGUUCGCACGCUCGGGGGAUCGAGGUGUGACACCAGUGGAGUUAAUGCAAUAUACAGUCUUUGCCCAUUCAUUCUUAACAUGUCUCCAAACCAUAGGACAUUCUUUCUCAAAGUGUUCUGAGCUAUUGCACUUUGAACAUUUGAGAGCACUUUGGCCAACAGCUUUCGCAAAGACUUUUUGAAAAUGAUUUAUAUAAAAAGUUUUUAUAGGUCUUUGUUUGAUUCUUUCCUUUACUUUUGGAAAAUCAAUUAGAGGGACAGUUUUUGAAAUCAUUCCCAAGCUUGAUUUGUUGAAAUAAGGUCUUUGUACUGAAAGAAUUUUUUUCAACUUUUCAGAUCCUAUUGAAAACUUUUUUGAGAUAUUUGAAAUGUCCUCUUUCAAAAUUGUAUUUUCUUUUGAAAGAGAGUCUACAUUUUCUUUUAAAACAACAAAAUUUUUGUCUAAAUUUUCAAACUUUUCUUUUCAAGAAUUUUCCUAUUGCUUAAGUGUAGAAUUCUCCCUUUUUAGCUCGGAAAUUCUUUUAAGAGAGGUUUUGAGACUAAGACAAAGUUCAUCAAUAUAUUUCGAGACUUUAGCAGGAAUAUUUAAUUACUAACCUCGAUUUCACUGUUUGAGUUUGAAUCUUUUCCAAAAUCUGAGUCUGAUUCAUAAUUCGCCCUAAGACAUAUGUUGGCAUAUUCUUCAUUACUUUCCUCACAUUCUGUAUCACUCCAUGUUUAUGCUUUGAGAGCUUUCUUGAGCUUUUCAGUUCUUGCUUUAUUUUUCUUCAACAGAGGACAGUUGGGUCUGAUGUGUCAUUUUUUCUUGCAUUCAAAACAGACCACAUUUUUGUUGAUCUCGUCAUCCUCAUUUGAUGUGUUUUGGAAUUUUUGAGAACCAUGCUUCUUCCACUUAAAUCUUCUUCCCUUUCUGUUCAGUUUCCUGAACUUCCUUAUCAUAAGUGCUAGCUCUUCGUCAUCCAUGUUAUCUUCAGAAUAUGUAUCAUUAGAAUCAUCGUGAGAUUUUAAAGCAAUUGACUUCUUACCUUUGGGAUCUUCUUCCUCAUUGAGCUGUUCCACUUCGUAUGACUGAAGUGUGUGCACAAGCUCAUCAACUGUAAGAGGCAUGAUCCUUUGGGUUUCCCUUAUUGAAGUCUUCACGUGAUUCCAAUAUUUGGAUAAUCCACGCAGCAGUUUAUUGACCUUCAGUGGUCCUGAGAUUGGCUGUCCUUGAUAAGAUAGACCGUUUACAAUUUCUAUAAAAUGACUAAACAUGUCAGUAAUUGAUUCUCCUAGUUUCAUCUUAAAUGCUUCAUACUGUCCGAGUAAAAUAUUGAUCUUUGUUUCUUUAACUCGAUUAGUUCCUUCAUAGGUAACGUGCAACCCAUCCCAGACUUCUUUUGCUAUUUCACAAGAUUGAAAUUUUGUUAUAUUUAGUAGGAGAUAAAGCAUAGUAUAAAGAGUAGAUUGCUUAAGCAUCAAGUGCUUGUCUCUUGGUUAUUUCUUCUUGUGCCAUAUCAUCAGCAUCUACAACUUUUUUUCCUCUUUUUGAGACUGAUGCAGCUUUGGGAAUGAUUCCCUUUCCUACCACAUCCCAUUCCAAGGGAUCUUUCGAUCUUAAGAAUGCCUUCAUCUUAUUUUUCCAAAAAUUGUAUUCAUUUCCAUCAAAAUAAGGCGGCCUGGUGUUGCUUUGGCCUUCAAUCAAACUUGGAGCCAAAAUACUAGCCAUAGAUCUUUAGCUCAGAAAUAAAACACUUUAAUAAAACGAGCACACAGGCUCUGAUACCAAUUGAUAAGGCUAGUAAGAACACCUAGAGGGGGUGAAUAGGUGUUAAAGAAGUUUUGGCAAGACUUAACAAAUUAAUUUGUCUUCUGAAGAUGUAAAAGACUAUAGACAGUUAUAUAAAGCUACGAAUUAAAGUAAAGAGUUUAGGGAAAGAGAAUUGAAACACAAAGUUUAUAGUGGUUCUGCUUAGACCAAGCCUACGUCCACUCUCCCGUUCUGACAGCCCACUGGCUGGAUUUCACUAAGAACUAAUAGAGAUUUUACAGUCUCACGUCCUUGAUUCUACAGUGUAAAAACUAUACCACACUUCCUCAAGGUCUCACAAGUAUUUAAUCUCUCUUUUGAGUAUAACUUAAGCUCAACGAUUAAAAUAGCAAAGAACUAAGAGCUUCAAACUUUCGAAUUUUUCUUUCACGCACACACUCGAAUAACUUGAGCAUCUUCCUUAUAUAUUCCUCCAUGCCUUUUAAACCGUUGACACCUUCCAAAGGAGUUCUUCCAAUCUAUCCAUUGAACAUAAUCAAAUAGGGAGAUCUCAAGUUAUUUAAGGAAUGUGAUGAUAGCUUACCAAUCCUGCUUGCCCAUACAAUCAAGAUCUAGGUUUUCAUAAGUAGAACAUUCCAAGUAUACUUCGCCAAUUAACAGAUCCAAUUAUCCGAAUUGAUUUCAAUAAGAAUAACUGAUCACGAGAUGCUAUAUCCAGUUGUGAGAUCUUCUUCAACCGUACGAACCAAAUCCUUAAAGAUAUACUCACAUUUGGACAAGUCUUCUUCGUCGGUUUGGAAACUAUCAGUGAGGGUAGACUUUAAGUCUUAAGUUUGGAGGUCUUCAGACUUUGACGAUAGAGUCUGCGAGUCUUCAGAUUAGACUGAUGGAAACGUUUUGUCAACUUCAAAAUAAAAUAAAAAAGAAGUUUUCUCCAACAACCGCAACCUCCCUCUCCUAUUUUCUCUCUCAGUUUGGUUCCCCUACGAAGCCCGGAGGUCGUUCACCCACCUUACCACCACAGUACCUCCUUCGUGAUGCCAUCUAGCCCUUCAUCGAGAGUUGUAGAGGUGUGAUCAACCAUCGUUGACGCCUGUCUAGCCUUGUCGUUCCUCCCUCAUAGCUUGUUGAGCUUGGAUUUGGGUGUGAGUGGCUUUCUAGCCUUGAUUAGGGUUGUUAUUGUACUUAGGACUUAGUUUAUGACUAGAUUAAGGUUGAAUGAUACUUAAAUGAUGUGAUAAGUGGGUUUAAUCGAUAGGUUAUCAUGGACUUCCGAUAAGUUAUCAUGAGAGGUUAUGGUUGGUUUCCGAUAGGUUAUCAUAAGUUAUUGAUAUGUUACCAUGUUUUAAUCGAUAAGUUAUCAUGAUAGGUUAUCAUGUUUAUUGAUAGGUUAUCGUGAUAGGAUAUCGUGUUUACUGAUAGAUUAUCGCAAUAGGCUAUCAUAUUUUCCAAUAAGUUAUCACGANNNNNNNNNNNNNNNNNNNNNNNNNNNNNNNNNNNNNNNNNNNNNNNNNNNNNNNNNNNNNNNNNNNNNNNNNNNNNNNNNNNNNNNNNNNNNNNNNNNNNNNNNNNNNNNNNNNNNNNNNNNNNNNNNNNNNNNNNNNNNNNNNNNNNNNNNNNNNNNNNNNNNNNNNNNNNNNNNNNNNNNNNNNNNNNNNNNNNNNNNNNNNNNNNNNNNNNNNNNNNNNNNNNNNNNNNNNNNNNNNNNNNNNNNNNNNNNNNNNNNNNNNNNNNNNNNNNNNNNNNNNNNNNNNNNNNNNNNNNNNNNNNNNNNNNNNNNNNNNNNNNNNNNNNNNNNNNNNNNNNNNNNNNNNNNNNNNNNNNNNNNNNNNNNNNNNNNNNNNNNNNNNNNNNNNNNNNNNNNNNNNNNNNNNNNNNNNNNNNNNNNNNNNNNNNNNNNNNNNNNNNNNNNNNNNNNNNNNNNNNNNNNNNNNNNNNNNNNNNNNNNNNNNNNNNNNNNNNNNNNNNNNNNNNNNNNNNNNNNNNNNNNNNNNNNNNNNNNNNNNNNNNNNNNNNNNNNNNNNNNNNNNNNNNNNNNNNNNNNNNNNNNNNNNNNNNNNNNNNNNNNNNNNNNNNNNNNNNNNNNNNNNNNNNNNNNNNNNNNNNNNNNNNNNNNNNNNNNNNNNNNNNNNNNNNNNNNNNNNNNNNNNNNNNNNNNNNNNNNNNNNNNNNNNNNNNNNNNNNNNNNNNNNNNNNNNNNNNNNNNNNNNNNNNNNNNNNNNNNNNNNNNNNNNNNNNNNNNNNNNNNNNNNNNNNNNNNNNNNNNNNNNNNNNNNNNNNNNNNNNNNNNNNNNNNNNNNNNNNNNNNNNNNNNNNNNNNNNNNNNNNNNNNNNNNNNNNNNNNNNNNNNNNNNNNNNNNNNNNNNNNNNNNNNNNNNNNNNNNNNNNNNNNNNNNNNNNNNNNNNNNNNNNNNNNNNNNNNNNNNNNNNNNNNNNNNNNNNNNNNNNNNNNNNNNNNNNNNNNNNNNNNNNNNNNNNNNNNNNNNNNNNNNNNNNNNNNNNNNNNNNNNNNNNNNNNNNNNNNNNNNNNNNNNNNNNNNNNNNNNNNNNNNNNNNNNNNNNNNNNNNNNNNNNNNNNNNNNNNNNNNNNNNNNNNNNNNNNNNNNNNNNNNNNNNNNNNNNNNNNNNNNNNNNNNNNNNNNNNNNNNNNNNNNNNNNNNNNNNNNNNNNNNNNNNNNNNNNNNNNNNNNNNNNNNNNNNNNNNNNNNNNNNNNNNNNNNNNNNNNNNNNNNNNNNNNNNNNNNNNNNNNNNNNNNNNNNNNNNNNCAUGUUAUAUUAAUGGAAUAAGUAUGUUAUAUUAAUGAAAUAAGUUGUCAAAUAGGUAAUUGCAAUAAUUUAGACUUUAGGCAAUGACUUAACUAAUCCUUAAUAAGUAUUCUAUGCUUGAGUCCCUAUGAUAAGAUGCAUCGUUAGUUGCUUAAUUUGAUUGUAGUGCAUAUGUAUAGAAUGGGAAUUGAUAAGUGUUCAUGGUACUCGAGCAUUGAAAUCUUUUGUUAUGCAUGUAAAGUUAUGAGAAAAGAUAAAACGUGGGUAUGUUUAAUUGGUACGUUGGUGUGAAACGAUAAGGUGAUAUGAAGUGUAAGCAUGACAUGACUGCAUGUGACAUACAUUAUUAUAUAUCCUAUGAGCAUCACACUCUUGCAUUGAUUAAUAUGGAAGAUGAGAAAUGAGCUUGAGUGAUGGUAUGCUUAUGUAAUCACCUAAAUACCUUGAUGCAUUUACGUUGGGUGAUAGAUUCGUUCUAAUGUGUUUACGCGGGAUGAUACCCAAUUUAGUUCGGAUGCCCCCAAGUUAACAGGAUGCGGUUAACAAAUGGAUUUCGGAACAAAGCCAUCUUGAUGCAUUUAUACAAGACAUUGCCAUGUUCGAUGGGGCGAGACGAUGCCCAAUUAUGUCGGAAGAUUACCGACCUUCAGUUUACCCAUGGCUUUGAGCAAUCAUAAUAAUCUGAAUAUAUAUGUGUGUGAAAUGUGCAUGAGAUUGAUAUAUGAUUAUGUCUAGAUUAUUGCAUGGCAUGGGUGCAUGAUUAUAAUAUAUUGCACGUUCUUAUGUUUGACUCCCGGGUAUGGAAAUUAUAGUAAUUGCUUAUGUGCUUAUGUUAUGAUGGCUUGAGAAGAUGAGAUAACCGUUCCUGUUUAUGAUUUAGGCAAAGCAAGAGUUACUUUGCUAUUAAUCUAUCAUCGAUAGAUAACUUGUACAUUUAGGCAGUUUUCGAGGUGAACAACCUCCCUACUCGAGGUCUAGAAAGUUCACUCAUUGAGUUUUAUUUCAUUGUUGUUUGUUAAAUGUUUACUGGCCCCUAAGAAUGUUUGAGCCCUUCCGUCAUAUCAGGUUUGAGCUCCCAAUCGAGCAUAGCCAAGAAGUGACUGAUUAUCUGAUUAAGCAAACUGAUGCACAUUAUAUGCGCUACGUCAUGACUAUUUAGGUCAAUGAGAGCUCCCUAACUUGGUGGCUCACCACUUUACGGCAUGGCAUUUUUGGAUAGAGGACAAUGUCCACAGGCUCAUCCAAGGUUUCGAUGGAACCUUGGUUGCAGGAAGAUCAAGGGGUAUUAGUUGGGAUGCUAUGGAUGUGGAUGUACUCGAUAGGGCUGUGUCCAAUCUAGAGAUCGACCCCAAUGUGAUCGCCCCACUAGAGCCUUGGUAUAUGGAGCCCUUAGCAAGUUAAGUGGUAAUGGGGUUAGUAUCACUUUUUGGAAACGCUCUCAUAGUACUAGAGGUGUUAGGCUUACCCUGAGACCCUUUUUGGAGAAGGUCAUGGCCACGCUUUUGGACUGAUUCGAUGUGGUGAAGUGAGUUAUGUUUGAGCAUGUGUGUUUAAGCUAUGUGUAUAUGGUUUGUAUGAUGCGAUGACUAUAUGAUGCAUAUGUAUAUAUAUAAGUGUGGUUUGAACUGUCCCUAUUUGUUGGUUGGGUGAUCUGCUAAUGCUUCCACUUGUGUAUAUAGUCAAUAAUACGAAUGUGGCGCCCCCUGACGGCCCCCGAUCCGUUAGGGUCACCACAACUUUUUCCUUAUCCUGGAUGUCCUUUAUUCUGAUGCCAUUGGAUUUUAAUGAAUCCGCAAGUUGGGGGGUCAAUCACAUUUUUCCAUUGGUCCCUACGCAAUUUUACUACGGAAGCAGAUCCAUCAACCCAUUUCCUAAACUUUGAAAUGAUGCACACUAGAUAUAUACAUAUCAACCAGGCACUUUUAUUUUCAUAUAUAUUUUGUUAGACGAUGUUUAUCGACACACAAAAGCCAAAGUUUUCUAUAUUGUCUAUAUCCAAAAAUUUACCGACUUUUACGUUAGCUAUUUACAACGUCAUCUAUCUUCAAGUGCCAGUGUCCAAAAAUUCACUAUUGUCCUCUUGUCCCCUGUUACUCUACCCCACUCAUGUGACAUCCUGGAUUUUUACUUCUGCUUUCAAUUAAAUUAAUCGAGCCUUUCAUAAACGUGCCUAUAGUGUUAUUCUCAGAGCUGAUCACUCCGAGAUAACUAGACGAUCUAGGCAAUCCAUUAAGGAAUUUUAAUUCAAUAGACUUGAGGAUUCGAUUAGGAAUCGACUACUCGACCAUGCUCAUUUGCAGAGAUCAUUAUGGCACAAUUAAAAAUAGCUUAGAGAUCAGGGAUAAGUCGGUUUGACUGAGAUGUGUAACUAAACGUGCGUGAUUCCACUAAAUUGUGAAAUUCUCAUCGAUCGGCACUAGACUGAUUUUUCUAUCGUUUUGGUACCCUGUAUCUGUAUUUGAAACCUCAAGAUUUUCAUAACAACCGAGAGUCGCCAAUGUGUCGAAUAGGUUCAUUGUGCCUCGAAGAAAAUUGACCACGGGUUAUUUGCACUAAAAUUUUUUGAAAGCUACUGGGUCGCCUAGGUCACGCUAAAAUCGCGCCAGAUUGAAAUUAACAGUGAAUUUGAAUUUGAUUUCAAAAAUUGAAAGUUCUUUCAUGUCACAAGUUAUUUUAGGAACGUUGACUUGCCUUUCGAAGAUUUUUCUGCAAACCAAGACUUUUUGGGAAAAAGUCGAGAUAUGACCAUUUUUGUCCAAAAAAUCAGAGGACCGUUUUUUAUCGCGAAAUUGGGAUACAAGUAGGUUCAAUUGGUGAUGAAAAAUACCAUUUUGAUCAAGAACUUGAUGUUGGAAUUUUUAGAAGCCAAAUUAAAUUGAUUCAAGAAGCAUUUGAAGUCCAAUUUAAGGGAAAGCAAUGCAAAAUUCAUAGCCCCCUCCCUUGCCCAUAACUUUUGGACCUCUUCAAGGCUUUUAGAAGAGGUGUGACUGCUGGGAAUUUGGCUGUGGAAGACAACUUGGUGGUGGGACACACCAAGGGGACCAAAGAGAUGAGAUAAAGACCAAGUGGGCCCCCUUGUUGCUACAGGUCUCCUUCCUCUCCCUCAACCCGUCAAUCUCCAUUGCAGUGUGGGAGAGAGAGCUUCACAAGCCCAGAAAAACUAAACCAACUGUCCCUCUUGCCUGUCGAAGCUGUCCGACUACCCGGAGCCCCACCGUGACGUCGUCUCGCCUUGCUCGCCAAUUGCACUAGACCUGCGCCACCUAGCCCGCCGUUCUGCUUCCGCCGUGACCGAAGGACGCCCCAAGAGCUACUCGAGCUAGUCUCACCAUCGCCGAAGCUCCCUCCACCACCACAGGCCACCGCCCUUUCCCGCCUAGGUUGCUGUAGCCUUCCCUCACCACUUUCGAGCAAACCACAGCCACUGGCCAGUCGUUUAACCACCAAACAGAACCGAAGCUUGUGGGUCUCGCAGCCGCUAUUCAGCCCAUUUUCAAGCCGUUCUCGACCCCGCUUGGCAAGCCUACUUUAGAGUAUAUUGUCCCUCGCCAUGUCCCCAUCGUUUUGAUCCGAGCAGAUCGCUUAACAAGUGAGUUUAACUCAUUAAUCCCUGCUUAGUAAGUUAAUGCUGCUUAAGGGUUGAUUACUUUAGACUAAGUAUGGAUUAGGUGGUUAGUUAGAUUAGAUUAGUGAUUUAAUUAGCCGAUAUUGCAUAUUAGGUGGAUAGUUUAGUGUAAUUAGAGUCUAGACAACCUCUAGUAUUUAUCUAGAGUGGUAUGGAAAUUUUCCGGGCCCGUCUCGGCUUUUAUUUAGGCUUUUCCGGCCUAAGUCGCAUUUAUUGGCAUUUAAUAAUUAUUUUCUGUAAUUAUUUAUCUAUUUAUUUAUUUUCCAAAAAUUAGACCGGGAUAGCGAGUGACCGGAAUUUCGUGCUAAUUGUAGUGGUGUGAUAUGUUUAUUUAAUUGACUGUUAUUUUGUGCAAUUGAGUGUGAUUUGUAAUUUUGCUGUAUUUAUCCCAAAAAUUAUUUAUUUCAGUAAUUAAUUAGAAAAUUAUCGAGCGUUGGUUUACAGUGCCAAAAAUGUUUUUAUCGAUUAUAUAAAUGGUGAAAGUUUUUAAAGUAAAGAUAUUAUAUUUUUAACCUAGUUCCACUAGGAGAUCGCCCAAUCUGGAUUAGGCUGUGCCGUGAAUGGUCGUGGUUAUUAAUUGGAGGAGUACUUGAUGUGAUUGGUUUUUAUAGCUAUUAUUGAUUGGCUUGACCGAUAGAAGGUCCAGAUGACGUGGAAUUGACUAGUUCGAUCGAUUGAUGAUUCGAUCGGCUUGAUGAUUUGAUUGAGUGAAAUGAUCUGGUGAAUAUAUAUAAAUUGUAUUGACUUGCAAGACAGAUCUGAGGCAAAGGUAAGUCCUCUAUCUCGUGAUUGUGCAUAGGCAACCUUUGUGGGCGUAUUUUCUUCCUAGUCAGGGUUUAGGGGGUUGAAUUUGCUAAGACGUCGUCUCAUAACAUUUUUUAGUCCCUAGAUAACAGUCAUGGAGGACCGGAAGCCUUGGAGUUUGGAAGGUGGAGACUGAAGAAUCGGCGAACGGGUCUGACUAGUGAGUGUUAGGACAGUUCCCUUUUUGUUAAGCCGAUAUUUUUGUAAACAGCCUGUUUUUGUAAAUAAACCUGUUUGUCUAUAAAAGGCUUGUUUUGGUUGUGAAUUGUGGUCCUACUUUUCUAUCCCAUCUUGUUGUUGUCUGAGGAUUGUAUAUCUGCUUCCACAUGCGAAUAUUAAAAUGAAUGGGUCGGCAAUGCGUCAUGGGACGUCAUUACUUAAUCCACUAGAGUGGGAUAGGCACAUGCUCAGAGGAUCGGGGCGUGACAACAUGAGCCUCCAUCAUCGUCCUCUGGUAGCGGUGGCAACGGCCCCAUGGUGUGUCUAUCCCUCCGGACAUAUAGGACCACAAACUCCUGAUACAUGGGACCCAAAGGGAGGCCGGUGUCAACUGUCAGUAUCACCCGUACCCAACGAGUCCUAGCAGAUCAGGGUCAGGAUGCUCCGAUAGUUCCCAUUGCAGAUCGAUGGGAAUGCCAUAGAAGGUACUGGAAGACACAGGAACAAUGGCAUCUUUAUCACUUUAUAAUAUGUUAGCCCCACGAGGGGUGAGUAUGAUUACCCAGCAGUUAAUGUUCUACUAAACUAUAUUACGUAAAACUAUUAUCAUCUACUUCCAUGCAAUCCAAAAUAGAGCACACGGGCAAAGUAAUGAGUGUGCAUAAGUUCAAAAGAAUCUUAAACGGCACAGUACAAUAAAACAUGUAGAUGUUUGUCGCGACCUAAAAUUCAGGUACACCACCUAAAACUAGGUUAAUGGACUACUAAGUCUUUAAAUUUAGCUCAGGUUGUCCCAAACCCAUAGCAAUUCGCGACUUAAGGUUCAAAUAUUUAACAUACAAAUGAUUAUUAUCUAGGAGUCACCACUAAUCAGUUUUCGGUAGGUCGAUUAGACACCUAAGUAAAAUAAUGAGAGGAUUAUCUUACUCCUACGAACUAGAGACUAUGGGUACGGGGGCUUUGUUGCACUAGAUUUCUCUAAUGCCAUUUCGGUACCAUUUCUUUUUAAUUUCAAAAAUGUUUUUGUAGGCAGUUUGGAUUUAUUUUAACCUAAAUUACUAUCACGCAAUAAGGUGAUCACAUAGAUGCUUAGUCACAAUUAAAAGACUUCCAUUAAAAGAAAUGAAAACACAAACUUUUUUUUUGGGUUUUCUUUUAUCUUGAAAGACGUGCAUUUUAACUACAUAACCUGAUUUUACCAAAAUUAUCCUAUUAUGCAAAUUAAUUAACAUGCACCUAAUAUUUUUGUAUUUUCUAUUGAAAUUUGGAGUUAAUGAAAACCCUAAUUAAACUAUCUAAAUAAAUAAUUUUCUAAUUUAUUUUAGGGAUUAAUUUGACUUAAACCCUAUCCUAUCUUAGAAAAGUAUUUUUUUAAAAAGAAAUUAUUAAAAUGUGCAAACAUUAUUUAAAAAGUUUGUCUAUAAAAAAAUUAAUUUAUUACAAAAAUUAUCUAUCUAAAAAAUGCAAUCCUAAUUUACUAAACCUACAUGCUCUAAUGCAAGAUUUUGAUUUUUUUGAUUUUUAUAUUUUUUAGUGUUUUUCCAAAACAAGUAAUUAUCAAAUAAACCUUACAUCUACACAAUCAAGAUAUUCAACAAAUAAAGAAUUAAAAUAAUCGAAAAAAUAAUUUGUUGUCUCACAGGUUAAAUUAAUGAUUACUCUAACCCCGAAUAUCACGGCACAUAAAAAGGUUCAAAAUAAUUAAAAAUCUGAUCCGAAGUCUCACGGAUCAAAUUAAUAAUUAUAAUGAUUUAACAAUUGAAAUACUAUCAAAAAUACCCAAAAAUUAAUAUAAUUAAAAAAAUGAUCCGAUGUCUUACAAAUAAAAUUAAUAAUUAUGAUAAUUUUGGUAAAACCCCACGAAUAACGCCUAUAAUACUUAUAAAUAAAAAGUAAUAUCCAAUGUUACAAUUUAAAUAACUAAACUACAAAAUAAAUAAAAUAAAAUAAAAUAAAUGAAAAUAAAUAAAUAAAAACUACCUAAAAGGGGACUUCACGGGCUGCACGACGGAAGAAGGAGUGGCGAAGGACGGAUCGCUACAGUGGCGCAGUCGUGGGCGGAGGAGCACGGUCGUCGGAAUGAAGGCUAGUGGGCAACGAUGGUGUCGGGGCUCGGAGAGCAGUGGUGGCAGGCGAACAACGACAGCAACGCGUGGUCACGGGUCGUCAGGUGGAGGCCAACGAUGGACAGAGACGCUCAGGUGUGGGUUGUUAGAGCAGGGGCGUCGCGGCGUUUGGCUCUGGUGGUGUUGCUGGGCGUCAACGCUGGGUCGAGGUCCGGCUCAGGUGGAGGCAAAGCUGCUGCGGAUCGCGUCAAACGGAGUCGGCAAUUGGCUGCUACAGCGUCGCGGAUGGGGCUCUUGUGGUAUAGCAACGUCGGUGGUGCGGGUUCGCUGGAAGGAGAGAGGCAGGGGCGUCGGGCACCAGGUGCAGCAGCAGUGUUGGUGCGGUGGUCGCUGGGUCGUCGCAGGUCGCCGAUACGAAGCAUCAAAGCGAGCUCGCGGGUGCAAAGGUGCAGCGGCGUCGAUUGUUGUAGAGGCAGAGAUGGACAGGAAAAAUGCAGAGCAGGUGCAAAGGCGAGGGGAGUGUGUUGCUGGAGUAGUGGACGGAGACCAGCAAGUGCUAGGCUGAGGCGAGCGUCGGCGGGAGGGGCGAGUGACGGUGCCGUGCUACGUCCGAUGCAGGAGUGAUCCGCAGAUCGCUGGUUAAGCGGUAUUGGACAUCGAAGAGGGUGCUACACGAAGGAGAAGAACAAUGCACUGUUUUGUUUUUGUUUUUGUUUUUCUUUUUCCUUUCCCUCUCUCACCUCUCAUGUCACUUCCCUCUCUCUUUUCUCUGUUCUACAGCUGACUUUUCUCUUUUCUUGUCAGAGAAAGAAAAGAGAAGAGGCUUUCUCUUUGACCAAGACAGUAGUAAGGCCUUCUUCUUGCAAAAUAUUUUUCUUCGAAUUUUCUCCUCUAUACGAAUUUUUCGCACGAAUUUCUCCGAAAUUUUUUUUGCUCUGAAUUUUUCGAAUUCGCCUCCCCUUUUUGCUCGAAAAUUUUUGGUCUCCUUUUAUAAUGAUUCCGACCGCUCUCUUCUAUGGCAAUUUUCGAGCUUCCUUUUUCUGUUGCCUUAAUUCAUGUAAAUUGGAGCAAAAUCUUGCAAUCGAUUUGAUUUUUCCUUGGAUGUUUCGAUUCCUUCCCUUUUAUCAAACUCCUUAAUUUUUUAUUCAUCUGAUUUCUUUGAUUGAGAAUUUGCUUCCAUAUUUACUAUGAUUUAAAUAUUCACCGGAGCAAGGAUAGCUAAUCAGAAUUUCAACGUUCCAUUCAUAAUCAAAUCAAAUUGAUCCUUCCCUUAUUUUUAUUUUUUUUAUGCUAUGCAAUUUUUAUUUUAUUUAUUUAAGGUCACCAAAAUUUAGGUGUCAACAGCUGCCCCUUUUUAAAGGUGAGCUUGUAAAGAUUGCCUUCAAAGAUAAAUUGAGACCUAAAUUUUGAUCAUGCACAUGCACUGAAUGAUCUUCAAAGGUUUUUUUUUUUUUUUUGGGAAAAUGAAUCCCAUUUUGAAAUGCAAGUCAUAUGAUGAAUGGAAAUGCUAAUGAUAAAGAAACUUACCUGGAAUUACUUACCUUCGAGGAGUGUAGAGUAAAUCAAGAUAGAUUGGCGUUACAUGUUCAAGAUACGUACCAUUCUAUGGUUGCCUAUAAUAGUAACAUGGUUUCACAAAGAGAUUGCUUUCCUAAGACCCGUACCAUUCUACGGUCGCCUAGUAUGGCAUUGUUUGGUUGUGUCUAAGACCCAUACCAUUCUACAGUCGCCUAAACGGGGAUUCACUUUUCAGGACUCGUACCAUUCUACGAUCGCCUGAAUAGAGAAAUAGAUGUUGUCUAGGACCUGUAUCAUUCUACAGUCGCCUAAACGGGGAUUCAUUUUCUAGGAUCCGUACCAUUUUACGGUCGCCUAAAUAGGUGUUGCCUAGGACCCGUACCAUUCUACGAUUGCCUAAACUGGGAUUCAUUUUCCAGGACCCGUACCAUUCUACAGUCACCUAAAUUGGAAUUCAUUUUCAGGACCGGUACCAUUCUACAGUCGCCUGAAUAGGUGUUGCCUAGGACCCGUACCAUUCUACGGUCACCUAAACUGGGAUUCAUUUUCAGAACCCGUACCAUUCUACGGUUGCCUGAUUAGAAUGAAUCUGGAAAAAUCUUUGGGGGGCAACUAUAUCGAGUGCCAGUGCUUGAAAAGGAAUACCUGUAUGAUGACAAGUAUUUAAGGUAUGGAUAGAGAUAUACUUACCUAGUGGCAUCUUUGAUCCUUAGAGAUAUGUCUCCCAAAUUAAUGAGGUGACUUUGGGAUACGAAAGCACACCAUGUUGAAGAAAGGGAACUUUGGGUUACGGAAGUUGUGGCAUCCUAAAAUUUCAUGACAACCCUUGGAUACGCUAUGAACCAUCAAUAGGUGAUGGAAGUACCAUUGGGUUAUGAAUCAGCCGUUGAAUCAAUGAAUUUCAACUAAUUUAAGGCCGAGCAUUGUAAUGGACAAUUGUUUGGAUGGAGAUGUGUCUACAAGUGACCCAACGAUUUUAUUAAGGUGCAAAUUGAUAUAGAAAUCUUAUUCAUGGGGGUGCACUUUAUAAGUAGAAUUUUAUUAAUUUAAAUUACAAAUUUUUGUGACCUUAUAAGCUGAAAUUAUGUGUUUAUUUAAUUGGGGAUUAAAUGGAAUAGGAAUAGGAUAGGGUGGGCUGAUUUUUUAGGCCCAAAGCCCAUCCAACCAGCCCACGCAGCCCCCCAUUCGACUGCCCCAUGAAGGCCCAAGACCGGCACAAAAACUGAAGCCCAUUAACCUUGCAUGAGAGAAUUGACAAGUGGCUUAGGAGACUUACCAAGUGUCGUCUUGCAUGGGAAAAAUGUCAAGUGGCUAAGGGGUUUGGCCAAGUGGCAUUUGCAUGCAAUCUAAUGAUUUCAAAUCAUUGCAAGAGGAAAGAAAAGAGAGGGAGAGUGGGCGGAGUGAGCGAGAGAAAGAGAAAGGGAGAGAGAGUGGUCGUCUGAGAGAAAGAAAGGAAGAGAGAAAGAGAGCGAGCGUGCGAGAGAAGAAGAGGAAGAAGGAAGAGCUCAUUCGCCACCGUUCCUUCACCGCCUUGCCCGCCAUUUUGUCGCUGUUUGUGCUUGAGUUUAAGCCAAGUGAACUCCUAAAACCUACCCUUUGCAUUACUCUGUGUAUGUGUAGUAGAUGGCAAGUCUUGGUUGUGGUAGAUGGGAUGAAAUUUCGGAGCUUUGGAGAGAGAUUUGUUGGCCAUGCAUGCUGUUUCUGGAAAGACCAGUCCAACCAUCCAUGAGUUUGUAUGCUGCAUGUGACUUUUUAGUCGGAAUCUUGCUUCGAUUCCUUCAUGAAAGUUGUAGAGAACAGCUUGAAGAACAACAUAAUAAAAUUUGAGGCAAAAAUAACAAGAAAUGGUCAGUGAAAUGAUUUUUCUUUGGAGAGACUAGAUCUGGAUUUCGUUGUGCUGACCUCAGUGGUUUCGUGGUCUGUAAAGUAACCUUCUUGUGAAAAUAUCACUUUAAUCUCUUAACGAAAGUUGUAGUAUACUUCUUGAGGUAGAACAUAUCAAAAAUUUAGAGGAAAUGAACAAAAAUAGGUCGGUGAAAUCGUUGUCUUUUGAAGAAACUGGAUCUGGGAAAAAAUGCUGCUUCGACCUAGUAUGAUUUCGGGAUUUUUAUAAAAUCAUACAGUUAAAAUUUGAUCAUUUGUCCUUAUCAAAAGUUGUAGGUAAUAUUAUUAGGAACGACAUACUGAAAUUUCAGAGUAAAUGGACCAUUAAUGACCAAGGAAAAAAACUUUUCUUCAACACGGGUAGAUCUGGAAAAUGAUACCGAGAAUAGGAAAAUUAAAUCGAUUUUAUCUUUUAAUCCAGAACGAAUUGGACUACGAUUUCUUCAUGAAACUUGUACUUAUAGGUCUUAAAUAUAGUGUGUCCAAAUUUCAGAAUUUUCUGAGUUUAUUUAAGGUUUUAUUGGAAUUUUGUUUCAAAACUGUGCAUGGAUGAUGUUAAAAUCCUUUUUCGGUGAUGCAUGGACCUGUACAUAUUCUGUGAAGCCUUGUUUGAUAUGGUGUUCUUCAUGAAAUGUGUUUUCUUAGAUCUUAUCUACAAUGUGUUAAAUUUCCAGAAUUAAUUUCCAUCGUUUACUAAUUUUCCAGAAAUUUUCAUAAACAACACACAUUCUGUUUAAGCUGAAAAACUGUUCUAUUUACAGGUUAUUGAUUUGCUAUAUAAAUUGUGAUAUCUUGGAUUAUCAUUCGUGCAAUGAUGUGGUGAAAUUCAUGCAUAUCAAAUGACAUCAAAAGAUUUAUGGAUUUUCAUGAAUUCAAUGAAGUUUCUCAAAACCAUUGCAUCAAAUAAUAUUUUUCCCAAUGCAUACUAUAUGAUUUUGAAAAGGCUUAUUCCAAUCAUUGGCAUUAUUGCAUCAAAUGCCAUAUUGAAAUUGAGAUACAUGUGUGAAUAUAAAUUGUGAUAAUAACAAGACUGUCGGAGGUGUGAGCCGACGAUGCCUCAGGAGUGUCGGGAUGCUCGGAAUGUGGGGGUGCGGAUGCCCGUGUAUUACGAUACAUGCCCGGAUGUCCUCGGGAGUUCGAGAUGCCCGGUGGUAUACGGUAUGUAAUUCCAGGGGGAAUGCCUGGUGGUAUGUCGGUACGUAAUUCCGGAAGCCUCGGAGGUGUGUGCCGAGAAGAUACCUCGUGAUGCCAGUUGGGAUAUGAGAUGCCCGGAAUGUGGGGGUGCCGGAUGCCCAGAGGUGUGUGCCGGAGGUUCCUCGCGAUGCCAGGUUGGGUGCGAGCGAUAAAUUAUGGGAUGCAAACAUUGGUCCCUGGAAAGAAAAACUGAUGAGAUCCUUGUGAAAGAUAAGAAUUGAAAAUGAAUCAUGUGCAUGGGUGUAUGCAUAUGGCAUGAUGCAUGAUCUGCUUAUGAAAGUAAAUUAAUGUUAUUUGAUAUUGAAAAUGCGAUCGUGAACGCAUGAAUAGAUCUCAUGGUGAUGUAUGCUUGAUAGCAUGGAUGAUAUGAAUCAUGGUGGUAUAUGCACGAUGGCAUGGUGAGAUAUGCAUGAUUGCAUGGUGGUUCUGCAUAUGGCAUGGAUAUGCAUGAAUGCUUGAUGAUGAGUGCAUGGUAGUAUAUGUACAUAUGGCAUGGUGAUAUAUGCAUGAAUGCUUGAUGAUGAGUGCAUGAUGGUAUAUGCACAUAUGGUAUAAUGACAUAUGCAUGGCUGCAAGGUAAGUUAUGCUUGAAUGCAUGAAUGAUAUGUGCUCUCUGUUAUGAUGCCUUGAUUGUCUUGUUUGACGCAAUGAGUAGUUUGGUGGAUCUUUAUUGCUGAGUGGUUAUACUCACCCCUUUUGGGGAUUAACAUUUCAGACUAGAUAAGAUUCAUCCGCUGCCAUUGCCACCAGUAGAUGGAUCAAGUGGUUGGAUAUGACCGCGAGGAGGAGGAUAGCAAAAGAAGAAACUUUUGGAUGCCGACACUGAUCGAUGGACUUUAAGUAUAUGAUUGUUGGAGGAGAUGUCGGUCAUUAUUUGAAGUAUAGCCAAGUAUAGAAAAUCAUGGCAUUUUGAUGUAUCGAUGAAUGAUGUCCAUCUGGUUUAAGUAAAUAAAAAUGUUCGGCUUUUACCUAUAAAUGUUUAGUUGGUGUGCAUCGUUUUCUGAAUAUAGGGAAGGGAGUUGAUGGAUGUGCUUCCGCUAUAUGAAUUGCGCAAGGGACCGAUCAAAAAAAUAUAAACCCCCAGGUUGUAUGGACCUACUGCAAUUGAAAUGGUAUGGACCCCCAGGUUGUAUGGACCCGCUGUAAGCGAACUAUGGUGACCCUAACGGAUCAGGGGCCGUCAAGGGGUGCCACAGAAGUACGCCGAUUUGAUAGGGGGACUUUGGUCUACAGAAGCACGCCAGGUCAUAUCAAGGGACUCCGGGCUAUGGAAGCACGCUAGGUCAAUAAAUAGGACACUAGGCUAUGAAAGCACGCCGGAUCGAUGAAAGGGACUCUAGGCUACGAAAGCACACCAAGUCAAUAUAAAUGACACUGGGUUACGAAAGCACGUCGGGUCUAUGUAAGGGACUCUAGGCUACGAAAGCACACCAGGCCAAUAUAAAGGACACCAGGCUACGGAAGCACAUUGGGUCGAUGAAAGGGACUCUGGGCUAUGAAAGCACGCCAGGUCAAUAUAAAGAACACUAGGCUAUGGAAGCACGCCGAGUCGAUGAAAGGGACUCUGGGCUACGAAAGCACGCCAGGUCAAUUUAAAGGACACCGAGCUACGGAAGCACGCCGGGUCGAUGAAAUGGACUCUGGGCUACGAAAGCACGCCAGGUCAAUAUAAAGGAUACCGGGCUAUGAAAGCAUGCCGGGUCAAUAAAAGAGACUCUGGGCUACGAAAGCACGCCAGGUUAAUAUAAAGGACACCAGGCUACGGAAGUACGCCAAGUCGAUAAAUAGGGACAUCGGGCUAUGGAAGCACGCUGAGUCGAUUAAAGGGCACUAGGCUACGAAAGCACGCUGGGUCGAUGAAAGGAACCCUGGGCUACAAAAGCAUGCCAGGUCAAUAUAGAAGACAGCUUGACCGAGUCAAGUGUUGAUGCACUUGGGAGAGAAUAGCUACACAAUGACAAGUAUUUAGAGUAUAGGUAGAGAUAUACUUACUUGGUGAUAUCUCUGAUUCUUGGGGAUAUUUCUUCUGGAAUUUAGAUAUCAUGUGGAGGUCUUUCACCUCCUGGUAAAAUUUUGGAACAUCAAGGAUGGACCUUGAAUGUUCAUGAUGAUUCCUCAUCUCCUAAUAUCAUGAGGCAUUUUGAAAGGAACUUCAAUGUCAAGAGCUCUUGGGUCUUUGAGAAAACAUUACCUGUCAGACAUGAUUAAAGCAAAAGUGCAUUCACCAAAGAAAUAAGCAAUUAAUGCUAUUCUGGAACGCACAUUUCAAAAUCUGCUGAAGUUUUUAUCAAUUCAAUCAGGGUUCAUGCAUAAUGACCUUUGCAUUAUCCAAAUUUCCACUAAAGAGAAUUACCGUUCAAGAUAAUUUUCACUCAUGACAUGGAUUUCUUAAGAAUACUAAAUGAGAGACUUUCGGUUAGAAAUGACUUUCACUCACUCUCAUUUAAAAGAGAAUCACUCCAUCUCACCAUAUCGACAAGGGUUCGAGUAUUCUCGCAAGCGGUACAACCUUACCAAUCUGAAGGUCUUUAACAUGGACCAUAUUGUGAGUUUGGUCAACGGCUUAACAAAGGGACUCUUUGAGUCAAGGCUAUUGAAAGAACAGCUUCGCAAUCAUCUCCGGGUUGCUUGCACAAUGAGAAAGAAAUAAUCUUGCUUGCACUUCUUCAAGCGAUGCUUAAAACAUGUGAACCCCUAGGUUAAUUAAAGUGUCAUAAUCUGAAGAGACUUUGCAAGGGACAUAACAUAGGCUUGGCUCAUGGGUUGAGAAAUGAAAGGAUCAUUAGGCUCAAAAAAUUGUUUAGGGGGUCAAAGUUGGUGAUCAUCUUAACAUUUCCACCACUUUCCGUCUCCACUGCCGAAGAUUUCAUAUCACAACUCCAUUGAUUGUAACAACAUUUGAGUUUUUUAGUAUCGCCUUGUUGGGGAUACAACUCACUAUAUUAAGAGUUUGAUUUCUUUCUCUUUUCUGGGCAUUAGCCUUGCUCUUACCAGGCACACUGUUUUUUCAUGCCCCUUAGUUCUAUUUUGAUUUCAAUCCUUGCGCACAAUGCAUGCGUCAAGCAACACUUUGAAUGACACUCAAACUUUCAAGAGUCUUCAUUUGUCUUUUGCCUUGCCCCAAUGUGGGGGAUGAUCACCAACUAUGUUUAAAGAAAUGAAAUUGCAGGCUUAAGUGGGCUAUGCAAAUGGUAUAAGUAUGUAGGAUAGAGAAAGAAAUGCUCUUCGUCAUCCUAAGGCACUUAAAUUAACACAUGAAUUCAAUGCAAUAGCACGACUUGAAAAUUGAUGCAAGUGAGAGCAAGAAAAUUUCAAUUCAUUUUCCUCACCUCAUGAUGCCAUUUUAUCUCCCAGUUGGCCCGAUGUGAGGUGAUCCUUAACAGGGGUAAUUUGAAAAGAAUAUCAAUAAGUGUAUGGGCUCAAAAGGGUUAAGCAAUGGAUUACUUGUAGUGUUUGGGAUAGAGAAAUGAAUUGCCUAUCUUCACUUUGGUUGUCGUACCUUUUGUGAGAAAACUCUUUACCUUGUAUAUAUGAACCUUACUACACUCAUCUCACAAGUGUAUGAGUAGGGGACUGUAUAUAAGAUAAGGUUUGCCUUUCAUCAUCCCAACUCGUCUCAUUUAGUAUGCUUAAUUCAUUCUACAUCAUUCAUUAAAUUAGUCAAUCUUGAUGUUCUUUAGUGGAAUUGAUAGAUAAAAUAUGUAAGAGUUAUCAUGCAAAAUCCUUUUUUAGGCAUAAAAAACAGUUUUCCACACUGCAAAAUGGUUUUAAGCAUUCAUUCAAGGAUUCCUCUACAAUGGGAUUGCCUCAACAGUUGAUGUCUUUAGAUUGUCCCUAUCAUUUAAGACUAAAAAUCCACUUUUGCCCCAAAAUCUGUCAUGCCCCCAAUUUGUCAUCUGCAAGGAAAAGAAUAGAGUGUCAUUUCCCAAAAUCAAUUAUGUUCAAGGACGAGACAUACCUCUUCCACCAGGGAAUGAUGGUUCUCUUCUACUUGACCCUCAUUUUAUUAAGUCUUUAGAGAUGUGUUAUUAACAGUUGGGCCAAUUGUAACCUGGUAUGCCUUUUUCAGAUGCUUUCUCAUCAGACCGAUAAAGUAAUGCUCUGAAACAUGAAGUAAAUGAGUUAGAAAAUUAAACAUAACUAACCUAAUGCAUCCUUUUGGAAAUGGCUUCAAAAAUGAUUUUUUUUUAAAUUUAAAUUUUUUUAUUCUCUUUUUUUUGGAAAUUUUUUUUAUGAGGAAGCAUGAAUAAGCCCAGUCCUUGAGAUUUCUCCGUGAAUGGUAUUUUCUUUUCAUGAUUGGAUAUCGUCAUUGGACUGGUUUGGCAUACCCCAUCAUGUCCUCAAAACUUGUAAUUUUAUUGAUAUUCAUCAAUCGAAUUACAUUUAUUAAAUGGUAAAUGCAAUGUUCAAUCCCUAAAUGAAAAAUGAAAAAGAAUGAAUUGAAAACAUUCCCUAGAAAGUAAUAAAAAUUCCCACGCAGUGGAGUGUGCGAAAGCAAUAAAUGAGUCACUCUCAUGGGCUAGGGCCAAGUUCUAAUGGUCAUUUGUCAACGGCACUUAUAGGGAGGUCAUUAAACAAAUUGGUGAUUCCUUCCAGUGCAUCAUCAGGGUUCUCUAUUUUUGGAGGUGUUGGGUCGUCCAUGCCCCUCCAUCCAUCCGCGACAAUUUCUCGAGGGUCAAUGUAGAAGCUGAGAGGAGCCGAGCACUUCACAUAAUAGUCGAAUUUUCCACUUGGCUGCCUCAAGGUGUCCAUCACUUCCACUCCAGCUUACGUCAUUCUUGGAGGGCCAGGGAACAUCUCUUGAUUGUUGGGAGGUAACAAGCUUUGCCUCCCUCGCCUUUACUCAAGUGGCAAGUUUUGCCUUUCUUGUCUUUGUCCUCCAGAAUUUUCUUCACAUCUUCCAUGGUGUCCUAAUCCAGUAGAAUGGGACCUUCGAGAGGCUUCAGUGGGGUUUCGAAUGCCUUGACCCCUUCUUCCAAGACCAUAUGACAUCAUUUUAAACCUUAAAAGUGGAAAUGAACAGUAUGACGGCUUUCCCAAAAGGGGGUAUAAGACAAUACGAGGGACUAAACAUUGUCAUGGACCGACGAAAAUUGCAGCGACGUAAGUGAAUUGAAAAGUGAGAGUUCAGACAACUUACUUUCAGCGGGAAGGGAUGUCAAUCACAUAAACACACGCAUGAAGUGUGAGGCUCGAUUUCUAUCUAAAUGGCUUAACAAAGUGGAGCUAAGAGGAUGAUCUAACCGUUGCAGUCUUGCAUUAACAUGUCAGGUCCCCCUAACUCCGGCUCAAUCGAAUAGAAUGCCCAAUAAUCACGCAGUCUCGCGAAUAUGGACAAACACAUUCGACACCAUGAAAGAAAUUUCGGGGAAGAGAAAGUUAACCUCUACAUAGCCGUCUUACUUUGGAAAAAAGUAUCCUUCUCAACACUAUCCUAUAAAUCCUAUCGCAGCCCAGGUCCGACCACAGGUUGUGUGCAAAUAGUGUAGUGCUAAAAGCAAUAAAAACACGCACAAUAGUUUAAAUGCAAACAAAACUUUUAAUCAGGAAAAAUAAAUUAUUCAUCCGACACCUUCCUGCAAGAAAAGGGUUACCAAAGACUACUCCCCUUAUGCAUCCCAUCUGCAAGAACAUUUAACACCUUAGAAAUGUUAGGAACAUACCUGGGAUCCUUACUACCAAACAAAAACAUUUUAAAAAAAAUGAAAAAUUGGCCUGAGUCCACUAAGUGUUUUAACACAAGUCCCCAGUGGAGUCGCCAAGCUGUCGCAACCUAAAAUUCGGGUGCACCACCUAAAACUAGGUUAAUGGACUGUUAAGUCUUUAAACUUAGCUCAGGCUCUCCCAAGCCCAUACCAAUUCGCGACUUAAGGUUCAAAUAUUUAACAUACAAAUGAUUAUUAUCUAGGAGUCGUCACUAAUCAGUUUUCGAUAGGUUAAUUAGACACCUAAGUAAAAUAAUGGGAGGAUUAUCUUACUCCUAUGAACCAGAGACUAUGGGUACGGGGACUUGGUUACACUAGAUUUCUCUAAUGCCCUUUCGGUACCAUUUCUUUUUAAUUUCAAAAAUGUUUUUGCAGGCAGUUUGGAUUUAUUUUAACCUAAAUUAUUAUCACGCAAUAAGGUGAUCACACAGAUGCUCAAUCACAAUUAAAGGACUUCCAUUAAAAGAAAUGAACACACAAAGCAUUUUUUGGGUUUUCUUGUAUCUUGAAAUUGAGACGUGCAUUUUAACUACAUAACCUGAUUUUACUAAAAUUAUCCUAUUAUGUGNNNNNNNNNNNNNNNNNNNNNNNNNNNNNNNNNNNNNNNNNNNNNNNNNNNNNNNNNNNNNNNNNNNNNNNNNNNNNNNNNNNNNNNNNNNNNNNNNNNNNNNNNNNNNNNNNNNNNNNNNNNNNNNNNNNNNNNNNNNNNNNNNNNNNNNNNNNNNNNNNNNNNNNNNNNNNNNNNNNNNNNNNNNNNNNNNNNNNNNNNNNNNNNNNNNNNNNNNNNNNNNNNNNNNNNNNNNNNNNNNNNNNNNNNNNNNNNNAUCCUAAUUUACUAAACUACAUGCUUAAUGCAAGACUUGAUUUUUUAUUUUUUUAUUUUUAGUGUUUUCCAAAACAAGUAAUUAUCAAAUAAACCUUACAUCUACACAAUCGAGAUAUUCAACAAAUAAAGAAUUAAAAUAAUUGAAAAAAUAACAUGUUGUCUCACAGGUUAAAUUAACGAUUACUCUAACCCCGAACAUCACAACACAAAAAAAGGUUCAAAAUAAUUAAAAAUCUGAUCCGAAGUCUCACUGAUCAAAUUAAUAAUUAUAAUGAUUUAACAAUUGAAAUACUAUAAAAAAAAUACCCAAAAAUUAAUAUAAUUAAAAAAAUAAUCCGACGUCUUACGGAUCAAAUUAAUAAUUACAAUAAUUUUGGGUAAAACCUCGCGAAUAACGCCUAUAAUAUUUAUAAAAGAAAAGUAAUAUCCAAUGUUACAAUUCAAAUAACUAAACUACAAUAUAAAUAUAAUAAAUAAAUAAAUAAAAACGACCUAAAAGGGGACUUCAUGGGCUGCAUGAUGGAAGAAGGCAUGGCGAAGGACGGAUCGCUACAGCGGCGCAGCCGCGGGCGGAGGAGCACGGUCGUUGGAACGAAGGCUAGUGGGCAACAACGGGUGCCGAAGAGCGGAGAGCAGCGGUGGCAAGCGAACGACGACAGUAGCACAUAGUCACAGGUCGUCAGGUGGAGGCCGGCGAUGGAUAGAGACACUUGGGUGUGGGUUGCUCGAGUAGGGGCGUCGCGGCAUCUGGCUCUGGUUGUGUUGCUAGGCGUCAGCGCUGGGUCGAGGUCCGACUCGGGUGGAGGCGGAGUUGUUGCGGAUUGCAUCGAACAGAGUUGGCAAUUGGCUGCCACAGUGUCGCGGACGGGGCUCCUGUGGUACAGCAACAUCGAUGGUGCGGGUUCGUUGGAAGGAGAGAGGCAGGGGUGUCAGCACUAGGCGCAGCAGCAGUGUUAGCACGAUGGUCGCUAGGUCGUCGCAGGUCACCGGUGCGGGGCGUCGGAGCGAGCUCAUGGGUGCAGAGGCACAGUGGCGUCGAUUGAUGUAGAGGCAAAGAUGGACGGGCAAAAUGCAGAGCAAGUGCAGAGGCGAGGGGAGUGUGUUGCUGGAGCAGUGGACGAAGACCGGCAAGCGCUGGCUGAGNNNNNNNNNNNNNNNNNNNNNNNNNNNNNNNNNNNNNNNNNNNNNNNNNNNNNNNNNNNNNNNNNNNNNNNNNNNNNNNNNNNNNNNNNNNNNNNNNNNNAUGCGCUUCCUGCUCCGACAUGCUACACGAAUGAGAAGAACAAUGCACUGUUCUGUUUUUCUUUUUUUCUUUUUUUUUUUCCUUUCCCUCUCUCACCUCUCAUGUCACUUCCCACUAUCUUUUCUUUGUUCUGCAGCUGACUUUUCUCUUUUCUUGUCAGAGAAAGAAAAGAGAAGAGGCUUUCUCUUUGACCAAGACAGUAAGGCCUUCUUCUUGCAAAAAAAUUUCUUCGAAUUUUCUCCUCUGUGUGAAUUUUUCGCACGAACUUCUCCGAAAAUUUUUUUGCUCUGAAUUUUUCGAAUUUGCCUCCCCUUUUUGGUCUCCUUUUAUAGUGAUUCCGACCGCUCUCUUCUAUGGCAAUUUUCGAGCUUCCUUUUUCCGUUGCCUUAAUUCAUGUAAAUUGGAGCAAAAUCUUGCAAUCGAUUUGAUUUUUCCUUGGAUGUUUUGAUUCAUUCCCUUUUAUUAAACUCAUUACUUUAUUAUUCAUCUGAUUUCUUUGAUUGAGAAUUUGCUUCCAUAUUUACUAUGAUUUAAAUAUUCACCGGAGCAAGGAUGGCUGAUCAGAAUUUCAACGUUCCAUUCAUAAUCAAAUCAAAUUGAUCCUUCACUUAUUUUUUUUAUGCUAUGCAAUUUUUAUUUUAUUUCUUUAAGGUCGCCAAAAUUUAGGUGUCAACAAUGUUUAAAACUCAAUGUAUCACGACUCACUACCAUGAUCUUCCGGAGGACCAUUGUUUACGUCCCUCCAGGCAUAUCGCACCCUACCUGGAAUCACAAAGUCCUCUGGUUCCAUAAUUCAAUCAUCAAGCAUCUGGAGCGUGUUACGUCAUACCCAUAGGCAUCUCGCAACCCACCUAGCAUCACAAGGAACCUCCGAGGCUCACCAUGUCAAUGAUGUCCCCAGGCAUCCGAAACGUGUUGCAUUACACUUCCAAGCAUCCCGCAUCACACCCCGAUCCUCGAGCGCACGCCGAUCCCUCAAUCGUCGAUACGGAUGCGAUGUUCCCAGGUCUUGUCACCGACCUAAUUCAUUUUAAUAUGCAUGCGGAAGCGAAACAUUAAACCCCUGAAUACAAACAACAUGGGAUAGAAAUAACAGGACACAAAUUUCCAUAAAACACCUUUUAUAAACACACUGGUUUAGGUACAAAAAGAGUCCAGGUAAAAGUCUAUAAAAUAUCGGCUCUCAAAAAGAUACCGUCCUACGACAAACUAGUCAAACACAUACACCGAUCCUUCAGACUCCACCUCCUCAGACUCCGAGCUUCGGGUCCUCUAUCAACACCAUCUAAGGACCUGAAAAGUUAAGUCCACGACGCGGUGAGACAUUAUCUCAGCAAGUUCACCCACUAAACCCCUAUUAGGAAGAAAAUACACCCAAAAGUGGCCUAGCCAGAUAAUGCAGAGAACUUACCUCGCAUCAUUACCUUUUGCACGUUAGCACAGUUCAUAACACAAAUUGCAUAUAAUCAAGGUACACAACAAUUGAAACGCCUCACUCAACUCAAUCAAACAUAAGAGGUCAUGAUUAUAAGGCCAAAUCGUAAUGACACAUUACAUACCAUGCCACACGGUUUUGUCUCAUAAUCAGGCACAUCUAACUCAACCAUUCAUACUUUCCAAUUGUUAAUUACAUCCCUCAAGGGUACGGCAAACUCUAAGUUUGGCAGUCUACUAGCGUAGCCAGGCAUCGUCUCACCCCAUUGAGCACGACUACGUCUCUCAAAGACAACUUUCCCAAAGAAGCGUUGGUCUAGAAUCUACUGUGACCCGAGACCUAAUGAAUGGGUAAUGUCCGACGUAAACGCUUGCGAUGGGUUCUCUUAACCAACACACGACCACUCAAUCUCGAUCCAAGACACCGUGCUUUUCACUCAAAUGCCUUAAUUAAAAUAGUGUUCCUGGCCUAUUUUCUUCAUAUUAAAAACACUCGGUGAAAAUAGUCAUGUGUAGGUACACGAUCAGAUCGAAUAGAAAAACUGAUAUACUUCAUUUUUAAAAUCCCACUAUUUUAUAUAGUAUGUAAAACCAUUUUCAAUGGUAAAAUCCGACACCUGGAAUUUUCUGAAUAAUUAUUGAAAUUUCCCAAAUUUUGGAAUAAAUCAUCAAAAAUUCAAUCAAUACUCAAUUUGCACAAAUUAACACACAAUUGCAUAAACUGAACACACCAUUGCAAUCAGCACGAAAUUCCAAUCACCGACUAUCCCGGUCUAAUUUUCGGAAAUUAAUAAAUAAUUAAAUAAUUACCAAAAUUAAUUAAAUAAAUACAAUUAAAUGCUAUAAAUAGGAACCUAGGCCGAAAAAACCUAAUUAAAUACCAAGACGGGCCCGGGAAAUUUCCGAACCAAUCUACAUAAUUAAUACAACAUGUUUAGUCUCUCAUUAAUCUAAUCUAACCACCUAACAUGCAAAAUUGGAUAAUUAAAUCACUAAUCUAAUCUAACUAAACAUUUAAUCCUUAAUUAACUUAAACUAAUCCCCACUAAGCAUAAUUAACCUCCUAAGCGAGGUUUAGUGAGUAAACUCACCGGAUUUGUGAGCCAGUGAGUCCACGGCGAUGGCGACGGCGACGGCGACGCAGAGACGAGUGAUAAACUCCGAAGCGGUGAAGCCAAGCAAGGCCGAGAAAGGCUCGGAAAUGGGCCACAAAGUCUUAGGGCCCUUGCUGGCCUUCAGUUCCGUCCUUGGACCGAAGGGGCUGGGCCGAACAGCUGGAAUAGUGAAGGAGGACCGGUGGAGCUACUGCAGGGCUAGGCGGAGGCAAGCAGAGCUUUGACGGGGCUUCAGUGGCUUGGAAGGCAGACAGGGGCUAGGCUGAGGCAGACAGAGCUGGACGACUAGAGACAAUGACGGACAGGGGCUCAGGAUCGCACGAGCAGGCGUGCAAGCAAGCUAGGCACACAGGCGAGCGGCGGCGUGAGCGGUGAUUCCGACAUGCUUCAGACGGGCAUGCGACACAGGAGGGGGCUGCUGCUCUGUUCCUCUAGUUCUCUAAGCUUCUCAACUCACUCAACAAUGGGGAAAGUGGCCACUGAAGGUAGAAAAAGGUUGUUGGUCAAGGAAGGGGCCACCAAAAUAUCUAAAUACUCAAGUUCAUGGCCAUACCAAGCUUGGCUAUCAUCCUUAGCCAUUUGCAAAUCCUUGGCUUCUCAAACAAGCCACCAAAAUGGUCCAAAUGUUGCACACCAUGGGGGGCUACGAAUUUGAAACAUCUUCCCUCAAUUUGGAUUUAAUUCUCCUCCAAAUCUCCUCCAAUUGGACCUAAAUUGGAGUCCAUAAAUCCCACCAAGGUGUCCACCCUCCAAUUCACUUUUUUCCUCACCAAUUCAUCCAACUCGAAUCCCAAAAACGCGACCAAAAACGGUCCUCGGAUUUUUCCGGUCCAAACUACCCUUACUUUGAAAAUUCGCCAAAAAUCUCGAUUUGACGAAAAAUCUUUGAAAGGUGAGCUGACAGUCCUAAAAUGACUCAUGACAUGGCAAAACUUUUAAUUUCUAAAAUUGAGUUCAAUUUCGUGGUUAAUUUUAAUUUGGCUCGAUUUUAGCAUGACCUAACCUACUAGGUAGCUUAUAGGAAUUUUUGGUACAACUGACCCGUGAUUAAUUAUUUUCAAGCGACAUUGUACAUCUUCGACACGUUAGCAACUCUCGGUUAUCGUAAAAAUCUCGAGAUUUCAAAUACGUACACAGGGUACGAAAAUGACAGAAACAUCGGUCUAAUGUCGUUCGACAGAAAUUUUGCAAUUAGGUGGAAUCACUUACAUACUAAUCACAUACCUCCAUCGAAUCGACCUAUCUCCAGUCUUUGAUCGAUUUUGACAGUGUCGUAAUGACCCUUGUAGAUGAGCAUGGUUGAGUAGUCGAUUCUUGAUUGAAUUCUCAAGUAUAUUGCGUUAAAAUCCCUUACUGUCUUUACCUGAUAGGCUAGUUAUCUCCUGAGUGGCCAACUCAAAGAAAAAGGCUAUAGGCGCAUCGAUGAAAAUCUCAUUUCAUCUCAUCAAAAACAGAGUUAAAAAUUAAGAUGUCACAUCCCACCUUCCGAGGAACCUCCGAGGCUCACCAGUCCUUAGACUCCCAAAGGCAUCGUCACCAUGAUCCUCCAGGCAACCCGACACCUAGGGCAUCGUCGUCCCAGGGGUUCAACGGCAUUCAUAACUCACGCACCAUGAUGUAGCAGUCUCAUGAUUUAAAACCAAUGCAUUCUAACAUCAUUAAUAGAAAAGUUGCUUUGAUUUCUAAAUCUCAAACCCGGAAUUUAAGCCAAAACAAAAUGGACUUGAGAGGGAUAUCGGUUAUAUGACAAUCAAAACACUUAUGAAAUAUAGAGUUUACAAAUUCUGGAAUGGAUCGAGGUUUAAGUCAAAUCCUCUCCAUUUCUUUCUUUCUUCGGGAGAUUACAAGCGUAGACUUAUAGCAUUCUCCACGCCUCAAGACUCAAAAUGAAACAAGUUUAUCAAAACGGUAAAUAAAUUUUGAAAUCGGCACAUCGGCGAAUCCAAAUGUCGGUUCAACCUUGAGGUUUUCAAAAAGAUUUACAAGUAAGGUCUCAAAUUUCGAAAGUACCAAAUCUUUCUUGAAACAUUGCUAGUGACACAUCAAAAAUUAGAAAUCCCACCAAGUUCUCCAAACUUUUAUAAAUAGUUCACGAGUAGUGUUGCCAAAAUUCCGUAAACACUAAGAUUCGAUGCAUAAACCGAUGUUAAAAUUGCAUUUAAUUAUAAGCCAAUGUAAAAUCCUCCAAAUCACAUAAUCCAAUAUCAACUCAACCAUCCUAAUUUCAUCAUUCAGCAUAAGAAUUCGAAGAACACUAAUUUUUGGACGCAUUUCAUUGGACAAAUGAUAGAAUUACACGAUACAGGUUAGUAGAUAUCAAUUUGCCUUUGAUUUGUUGGUGUCAACGGCAAGUGGACCGUGAAUUGCGACUGCAAGCACAGUUGAGGAGAGACGGCACGCUUUCUAGGCCAGCGGCGCUGAGGAACGGUGGCGAAAGAGGCUGGUGGCUGACGAUGAGAAGCGGCAAGAUGGUGAGAUAAUUCUCACUAAAGCUACUGAAGAUUUCGUUGAACAAGGGAGGCCUAAGCUACCAAAAGAGAGAGAGAACCGGCCUCCAACAAAUUGACAAUUUAAGUCAAAGAAAUUCACGGUGGCAACAAGAAUCGGCGACAGCUCAAGGGCCAUUCAUGCAAGGGGACACCUAGCAUUUCUCAUGCAAGGACGUGUCUCCUUGCAUGUGGUGAUUUGCGUUGAUCGGCCACGAAGGAGAGAGGAAACGUGGCCGUGUGUGGCUGCCUCUCAGUCAACUCCUCCUUUGGUUGACAAUUAAGGGCACAUGGCAAUCGCCGCAUGGCCGAAAAAUGUGGCCAUUGGUGAGGCCGUUCGCAUGGCUGUCUAAGGAAAAAAAAUUCGUGCAUGAAGCUGUGUUGGUCCGCGGUCUUUUGCAGGGGACGAUUGGGAGUUGGCGUGAGGGAACGAGAGAGGUCUUCGAUUCUUUCUUCAUCAACUUUCACGUAUGCAAGGAGUCGAAAACGACUUGUAUCAAAAGACAACUUGACGACGUACCGUUGAGAGUAGAUGUUGGUCUUGCUUGCUGCGUUGAGCAAGAAAAUUUUAGAAGAGGAGCUAUCACGAGAACGUGACGAAACAUGACGUUUCGGUAUGGUGAGAGUGGUGACGAAACGGGGUCGUAAGUGGUGCCAAUGACGUAGUCCGACGACAAACUGGUCGACCCGUCACGAAUUGUUACGUACUCGAGGUUCAGCAAAAUCCAGAUAUCACAAUUCUCCCCUCCUUAGAGAAUUUCGUCCUCGAAAUUAAACGUCACUUAUGUCUCCUUGAAAAUGUGAGGAUACCUUUGCCUCAUUUCCUUUUCGCUUUCCCACGUAGCCUCUUCCACGUUGUGGCGUCGCCCUAAGACCUUAACUAGCAGAAUUUUCUUCGUUCGAAGAACUUGCUCCUUCCAAUCCAGUACCUGGAUCGGCUCUUCCAUGUACCUCACUUUCUCAUCCACCUCGAUAGCUUCAUGAUCGAGUAUAUGAGCAGGGUCGGGCUGAUACUUCCUCAACAUCGACACCUGAAAAACGUCAAGCAAAUUUGUCAAUUUAGGAGGCAAUGCCAGCCGGCAUGCUACAUCCCUAUCUUUUCAGGGAUCUCGAAAGGUCCGACAAAUCUAAAGCUUAACUUACCCUUUAUCCCAAAUUGCGAUAUUCCCUUCAUCAGGGAUACCUUUAGGAAUACGUGAUCUCCUAUGCCAAAUUCUAAGGGUCUUCUACGCUUAUCCGCAUAGCUUUUCUUUCACCCACUUCAUUCAAGCAAACAGGAGUUUUACAAGCCUCACGAUACUUCCGCUACGCUACUUUGAUAAAAUUGUCCCAAAAACACUGCCCUCCUAUUCAGUGCAUAGUUCAGUUCAUUCCUACUCCCUUUUGUCAUCCUAGAAGCCUGCCAGGAGCCGCUCCUUGCUUAGGCGCUCUGGCCUUGACGUCCACUCAUCGCCCUCAUCGAACCAGGUCGUUACAUGUAACACCCCGAUCCUCAAGCGCGCGCCCAUCCUUCUCUGGUCGAUAAAAUUUGCGCUUCCCAGGACGCAUCGCCGACCCAUUCAUUUUUAAUACGCAUGAAGAACCGAAAUAAUAACAAAACCCCCGACAACAAACAUCAUGGGAUAGAAAAGUAAGGCAACAUUUCUCAAAAUGCAACUUUUAUAAACAAUGGGGUUUAGUUACAAAACGAGUAUGGUCAAAAGGUUACAAUAGGUCAACUCUCGAGAAGAAGCUAUCCUACAACAUACUAGUCAAACACAUAUGCCGAUCCUUCAGACUCCACCUCCACAGAACCCUGGGUUUCGGUCCUCCACAAUCACCAUCUAUGGACCUCAAAAUGGUUAUACAAUAAUCAGUGAGACAAUGUCUCAGCAAGUUCACCCCCUAAACCCCUAUUAGGAAGGAAAUACACUUAGGGGUGGCCUAGCCACGCAACACAAGGGACUUACCUUACCUCAGUUCCUUCCUGCAUGUUAGCAUAAUUCAUAACUCAUACACGUGCAAUCAUCACUCAACAAUUGGAAUGCAUCAUACUUAACUCAAUCAGUUUCCUGUUCCAAAUUAUUAAUCACGGCCACUCAUGGGCACGACCUACUCUAACCUAGGCGGUCUACUAGUGUAAUCAAUUUAAUCACAGCCCAAAUGGCACAGCUUACUAAAUGUUCGGCGGUAAAUCAUGGCUCAACGAGCACAGCCUACUUCCAGGUUCGGCGGCUAAUCGCGGCCAAAUAGGCAUAGCCAUAUUUCGGUGGUUGAUCACGGCCACUUCGGCAUAGCCCUACUUCGGUGGUUAAUCAUGGCCACAAAGGCACAACCAUACUUCGGCGAUUGAUUAUGGCUACAUAGGCACAGCCAUACUUCGGCAGUUGAUUAUGGCUACAUAGGCACAGUCAUACUUCGGCGGUUGAUGUUAAUCACAGCUCGAGGGAAUAGCCUAUUCCAAGUUAGGCGAUUCUCUGGCUUAGUCAGGUGUUGUAAUCAAUUACUUAGAACUCCCAAUUUCCACAAAAUCGCACAAAACAACAUUCAACUAAACAAUAAACAACCAACUGCACAUUCCAUCCAAUUCACAAUUACGACACGCAAUUGCAUAAAUCACCAUUCAAUUGAACAAUCCAGCACUCAAUUAAAAAAUCCAACCAUACCAUAGCAGUCAGCACGAACUUCUAACGACCAGUCAUCCUGGUUGAAUUUCUAGAAAAUUUAAUUAAAUAAAUAAUUAAAUAAAUUCCGAAAAUUAAAUUAAUUAAAUACUAAAUAAUAUAAUUUAAUAAUAUUUAAAUUUUAAAUAAUUAAAUAAUUAAAAGUCUAAUUAGGAUUACACUAAUCUAAUCGCAUAAUUAGACUAAUUAAUCCAUUCGCUAAACUAAUCCAUCCCUUAAUCUAAUCCAUAUUUAAUUAAGCUAAUCUAACCACAUAAUCAUCAUUAGCCUAAUCUAAACACCCCUUAAGCAUGAUUAACCUCCUAAUCAAGGUUUAGUGAGUAAACUCACAAGUUUUGCAUUUCGGUGAGACCACGGCGAUGGCAAGGCGGGUGAUAAUCAAGCUUGUGGCGACACCAAGCGAGGCCAGGAAGGGCUUGAAAAUGGGUGACGAAGACUGAAGACCCUUACUGGUUUUAGCUUCUGUUCUAGACUAAACUGCAGAGAGGAAACCAGCAGCUGCAAUAGCAAAAACAGGUUGAUCGGAAUUCCGGUGAGCGGGUGGUCGACAACCAAUGGCUUACAGGGGUUAAGGGGGACUUGCUGGUGGUUGAUAUGGGUGGAGGUAGGGUCGAAAUGGGGAGAAAACGGCUGAAAGUCGUGAAAUAGGCGAAAUAGUGCAGGUGGGUGGCUUAUAAAUGGUUCGACAACCGGUUUCUUGUCGCCGUCGUACAGGACGGAAGGCGGCUCCGUCCAGCACGAGGUUGGGCUCCUUUGAACGGUUUGGAUGUACUGAGCACAACGGUGGGUGGCACGAAGGCUAAUUCGUCCGGGAAGACCACUUUUAACUCAGAUCUUCGGUGAAAGGUCAAUUGGAGCAGAAAUCGGCAGGAGAGAAAACAGAGGAGGAAAAUGGGGUCUACGGGCAAGCGACAGUUGAGGGGCUAGUGUGCUCGGUUUUCUCUGGUUCUCUUGAGCUUCCAAGGAACCUCAACAAUGGAGAAAGCCACAAUGGAGGAAGAAGGGCUACUGAAGAGAGGGGUCCCUUUGGUGGCUUCUAAGGGCUCAACACUUGUCUUUAUUUCCUCACUCUUGCCCCCACCAGCCAUUAGCCCCUACAGCGCUUUCUCUCACUUCAAUCUUCCUCAACAAGCUUGUCAAUAGGUCCAAAAUAUUCCUCCCCCCAUAGCAUACGAAUUUUGUGACUUUGCCCUUCAAUUUCAUUCAAUUUCUCAUCCAAUCAAUCCAAAUUGAAGCCCACAAAUCCAACUAACGUGUCUUCACUUGAUUCCAUAUUUUUCCUUGUCUAUUGAACCAUCUUGGAUGUCAAAAGUUCGAUAAAAAACGGGCCAACGAAUUUCCCAAUCCAAUUCCACCAAAUCUUGAUUUUUCACUGAAAAUCUCAGUUUGUAGAAAAAUCUUCGAAAGAUGAGUUGGCGCUCCUAAAAUGACUUUUGACAUAACAAAACUCUCAAUUUCUGAAUUCGGGUUUGAUUUCGCGGUUAAUUUCAAUCUUGCAUAAUUUUAGCGCAUUCCAAUCUACCAAGUAGCUUUUAGGAAUUUUUUGUACAAUUGAUUCGUGGUCGAUUGUUUUCAAGCCACACGUACAUCGUCUACACAUUAGCGACUCUCGGUUGUCAUAAAAAUCUUGAGAUUUCAAAUACGAACACAGGGUAUCAAAGCGAUAGAGAAGUCAGUCUAGUGCCGAUCAACAACAAUUAUAUAAUUAGAUGGAAUCACCCACACUUAAUCACAUGGCUCUAUCAAGUCGACCUUUCUCCAGUCUCUAAUCAGUUUGUGCCGUAAUGACCCUUGCAGAUUAGUACGGUCGAGCAAUGAAUUCCUGGUCGAAUUCUCGAGUCUAUUGCGUUUAGAUUCCUUAACAGAGGCGUUGGAAUUCCUCCAUCUUCCGCUCUCAGGUGCUAUCAGAGUAAUACUUGUCGUUGAAUGUUCUGAGGAAGGCUGUGGCGCCCCUCGACAUGGCCCCCCGAUCCGUUAGGGUCGCUACAGUUCGCUUACCUUUCACUUUCCCUAAUAACAUGUCACUCGGAUACCAUUUCAAUUGUAGCGGAUCCAUACAACCUAGGGGUUUACAUAUUUUAGAUCGGUCCCUUGCGCAAUUCAUAUAAAGGAAGCAUAUCCAAAAACUCCUUUCCCUAUAUUCAUAAAACGAUGCACACCAACUAAAUAUUUAUAGGUAAAAGCCGAACACUUUUAUUUACUUAAACCAGAUGAACAUCAUUCAUCGGUACAUCAAAAUGCCAUAGUUUUCUAUACUUGGCUAUACUUCAAAAGAUAACCGACAUCUCCUCCAACAGUCGUAUACUUAAAGUCCAUCGAUCAAUGUCGACGUCCAAAAGUUCCUUCCUUUGCUAUCCUCCUCCUCGCGGUCAUAUCCAACCACUUGAUCCAUCUACUGGUGGCAGUGGUAGCAGAGGUAUCUUGUCUAAUCUGAAAUGUAAGUCCCCAAACGGGGUGAGUACAACUACUCAACAGUAAAUAUCCACCAAACUACUCAAUGCGUCAAACAGAACAAUCAAGGUAUCAUGAACAAAGCACAUAUCAUUCAUGCAUUAAAGCAUACCUUACCUUGCAGUUGUGCAUAUAUCACCAUUCAGUCAUGCAUAUCUCGCCAUGCCAUCAUGCAUAUACCACCAUGCACUUAUGCAUAUCUCACCAUGCCAUCGUGCAUAUACCACUAUGCACUCAUAUCAUCCAUGUUAUCAAGCAUACAUCACCAUGAGAUCCAUUCACGCCUUCGUGAUUGCAUUUUCAAUAUCAAAUAGCAUCAAUUUAUUUUCAUAAGCAGAUCAUGCAUCAUGCCAUAUGCAUACACCCAUGCACACGAUUCAAUUUCAAUUCUUAUCUUUGAUAAGGAUCCCAUCAUUUUUCAUUCAGGGACCAAUGUUUGCAUCCCUCAUUUAUUGCUCGCACCCAACCUGGCAUCACGAGAAACCUCCAAUCAUGCAUCAUAAUACAACCCCUCACCCUCCGGGCAUGUAUCAUAAUACAACUAGGCAUCCAAAGGGCAUCGACUCAUUCGAACCUCUGGGCAUCUCGCAUCCCACUUGGUAUCGCGAGGAAUCUCCGGGGCUCGCCAUGAAAAUGGUUACCCCUACCCUCUGGGCAUGCAUCAUAAUACAACCCCUCACCCUUCGGGCAUGUAUCAUAAUACAACCGGGCAUCCCGACACUCCUGGGGAAAACCUCUGGGCAUGUAUUCAUAAUACAACCAGGCAUCCAAAGAGCAUCAACUCAUUCGAACCUCUAGGCAUCCCAACUCCCGGGGCAUCGUCAGCUCACACCUCUGACGGUAUCAUCAUUAUCACAAUUUAUAUUCACACAUGUAUCUCAAUUUCAACAAUGGCAUUUGAUGCAACAAUAUCAAGGGUCUCAACCAGCUUUUGAUGCCAUAUAACAUGCCAUAUGUCAGCACAUAUAUAGCAAAAUCAACCACUCAAAGCAUUACAUCACAUGGAAAAAUUCAUUUAUUUUUGAAAGCGCAUCAAUUUUCGAAUAAAAACAUAAUACACUCCUUUAGUUAAAACUCUAGGAAAAUUAGUGAAUGGUAUAAAUAAAUUCUGAAAACUUGACACAUUAUAGACGAGACCUAAAGGCAGAUAUCUCAUGAAUAACACCAUACCAAAAGAACUUCACACAAAACAGCACGGUCCAUGCAUCACAGUUUUCAGGACUUCAAUAUUUCAGCUUGCAAAGUCUCGGAAAGAAUUUAAAUUAAAUAUCCAAAUGAACUCCAAAAAGUCUGAGAUUUUUACAUGUUAUAGACAAGUCCUAAAGGUAAAUAUAUCAUGAAGAAAUCGAAACCCAAAUCAUUCUAGAUUAAUAGAUAUAUGAUUUAUUCCUCCUGUUCCCGGUGUCGUCUUUUUCCAGACUAUCAUCUUUCAAAAGAAACUCGUUUCACUGACCUACAUAUAUUCGUUCCUUCUACAUUUUCAAUAUGUUAUUCCUCAGAAUAUUACCUACAAAUUGCAUUAAGGACACAUGAUCAAAUUUUAACUGUAUGAUUUUAUAAAAAAAAAUCACAGAAUCAUACUAGGUCGAAGUAGCAUUUUCCCAGAUCCAGUUUCUUCAAAGAACAACGAUUUCACCGAUCUAUUUUUGUUCAUUUCCUAUAAAUUUUUUAUAUGUUCUACCUCAAGAAGUACACUAAAACUUUCAUUAAGAGAUCAAAGUGAUAUUUUCACAAGAAAGCUACUUUACAGACCACGAAAUGACUAAAGGUCAGCACAACAAAUUCCAGUUCUAGUCUCUCCAAAGGAAAAUCGUUUCACCAGGAAAUCCUUGUCCUUUUUGUCUCAAAUUUUAGUAUGUUAUCCCUUAAGAUGUUCUCUACAACUUUCAUGAAGAGGUCAAAGUGAGAUUCCAAAUAAAAAGUCGCAUGCAGCUCACAAACUCGUGAAGGGUUGGACUGAUUUUUCCAGAAAACAGCAUGCUAGGCCAACGAAUUUCUCCUCAUAGCUUCGACCUUUCAUCACAUCUACCACAACCAAAAUUCACCAUCUUCUACACACACAUCACAACAAGAAAAUGGUAGAUUUUAGGACUCUACUUGCCUCUAAUCCAAAGAAAACACAGCAAGACAACGGCGGGGCGAGGCAGGCUCGACAGCGGCAGCACGGUCUCAGCGGAAGGCAGUCCUCCUUCUCGCGGCUCACGUCCAAACGUCCGUUCACCCUCUCUCUCAGUCUCUCUCUCUCUCUCUCUCUCUCUCUCUCUCUCUCUCUCUCUCACUUCCGAAACCCCCCUCCCUUUUUGCUCCUUGAUUAACAAUUAAUCUCUAUUUUUGCAUGUAAGGGACAAGUGUUCUCAUGAGGAGAACAAGUGGAAAAUUAAUGGGGCAAUCCAAGGACAAGUGUUCUUGUGAGAUCGACAAGUGGCUUCAUGAUGAUUACAAGUGGAGAGGGUUGCAUAGUCUUCUCUCCAUCCGGUUCCUUCCUCUCCCCCUUCUCUUUUGGUCGACACUCUUGGGGGCUCUUUGGGCCUGCUUGGGCCCAAAAUUCUGAGGCCAAAAGUCCAAACUAAAAUGACCCAUGGUCCCCAAAAAUAUAGGCCCAUAAUUAUGAAGCAUAAAUAUAUAACCAAAGAAAUAAAUCUAUACUCUUAUAUAUAUAUAUAUAACCAAAAUCUUUACAUGAAACAUUUUCGAUCAAGUGACAAGGUUUCUUUUCCUUUCUCGUCAAAUCGCACAAACAAGAGACAUUACACGAUUUUUCAAGCAAAAACCGAAUUCCACUCCUUCGGUACAAAAUUUAAUUUGACCAAUGUCAAUGUUCCUCUCUUGUUCCAUAUAUACUUAAUUGGUGUAGUUGAAUUCUCGGAUGCCACAAAGGCGUCCCACAUUGGAACCACGCCUUCAGGAAAUACCGUACCUCUGGUGGCUCUCCACCAAGUAUUAGUGUUACCUUGCAGCUGGUAUAUUACAAAGACAACCUUUUCCCUUUCAGUGCAUAUCAGGAGCUCAAAGGCUUUCUCCAGAUCUUGGAUCCAAAGCAACGCAGCUUCAGGAUCUCCUGCGCCAUUGAACCUUGGCGGGUUCAGCUUCAAGAACUGCUCCACGAGCUUAUGAGUCGAUCUAUCUCCCGAUACCACUACAUUCUUAGUUGGGACUUUGGCAGGUGCGGCCUUAGCAGCGGCAGCAAUGGCAGUAGUAGCAGCGACGGCGGCUUGAUUUUGGGCCUGUUGCCCCAUCAUGUUUCUCAUGGCCUCAAGUGCCUACAUAAUCCCUUCGAUUAUGGGAUCACUAGGGGCUGCUACCCCAGCACCUACAGGAAGCAAUGCUACUCCACUAGCGUUGGCCUCAGCCUGCACUCUACCACAGCCACCUUAGGUACCGACCCUAGCCGACUUGCUACCCCGAGUGACUGGACCCACGGUCCUCUUUCUAGGAGUCCGCUCCUGAUCACUCAUCUACAGGAUCUUUAGAGAUACAUGUUUUCCAAUUCCAAUACUAUAUUAGAAUUUGAGUGAUCUCACAAAACAAUUUAUCAAACAACUAUCACUGACAUGCAUCAGCAUAAUCAAAGGCCUUUCCUACUAACUAUUCCAUGACCCAUCACACCUUAUCACUCCAUUCAUAGACUCGCUCUGAUACCACUUAAACAGGGAUGUCACGCCCCGAUCCUCGAGCGCGCACCCAUCCCUCACUGGUUGACAAAAUUUGUGACUUCCCAGGACACGUCGCCGACCUAUUCAUUUUUAAUAUGCAUGCGGAAGCAAAACAAUAACAAAACCCCUGACAAUAAAUAGCAUGGGAUAGAAAAGCAAGGCAACAGUUCUCAAAAAGCAACUUUUAUAAACAAUGGGGUUUAGUUACAAAACGAGUCUGGUCAAAAGGUUACAACAAGUCGGCUCUCAAAAAGAAGCUAUCCUACGACAUACUAGUCGGACACAGACGCCGAUCCUUCAGACUCCACCUCCACAGACCCCAAGGCUUCAGUCCUCCACAAUCACCAUCUACGGACCUCAAAAUGGUUAUACAAUAACCAGUGAGACAAUAUCUUAGCAAGUUCACCCUCUAAACCCCUAUUAGGAAGGAAAUACACUCAGGGUGGCCUAGUCACACAACACAAAGGACUUACCUUGCCUCAGUUCCUUCUUGCACGUUAGCACAAUUCAUAACUCAUACACAUGCAAUCAUCACUCAACAAUUGGAACGCAUCAUACUAUAACUCAAUCAGCUUCCCGUUCCAAAUUAUUAAUCACGGCCACUCAUGGGUACGACCUACUCCAAGCUAGGCGGUCUACUGGUGUGAUCAGGUUAAUCACGGCCUAAAUGGCACAACCUACUAAAUGUUCGGCGGUAAAUCACAGCUCAAUGAGCACAGCCUACUUCCAGGUUCAGCGGCUAAUCGCAACCAAAUAGGCACAUCCAUAUUUCGGCGGUUAAUCACGACCACUUUGGCACAUCCCCACUUCGGCGGUUAAUCCUAGCCACAUAGGCACAGCCAUACUUCGGCGGUUGAUCACGGCCACAUAGGCACAACCAUAUUACGGUGGUUGAUGUUAAUCAUGGCUCAAGGGCACAACCUAUUCCAAGUUAGGCGGUUCUCUGGCUUAGCCAGAUGUCGUAAUCAAUUACUUACAACUCCUAAUUUCCACACAAUUGCACAAAACAGCAUUCAACUAAACAAAAAACAACCAACCGCACACAUUCCAUCCAAUUCACAAUUACGACACACAAUUGCAUAAAUCACCAUUCAAUUGAACAAUCCAGCACUCAAUUACAAAAUCCAGCCAAACCAUAGCAGUUAGCACGAACUUCUAACGACAGGUCAUCUCGGUCGAAUUUCCAGAAAAUUUAAUUAAGUAAAUAAUUAAAUAAAUUCCAAAAAUUAAAUUAAUUAAAUACUAAAUAAUAUAAUUUAAUAAUAUUUAAAUUUUAAAUAAAAAAUUAAUUAAAAAAUUAAAAGUCUAAUUAGGAUUACACUAAUCUAAUCGCAUAAUUAGACUAAUUAAUCCAUCUGCUAAACUAAUCCAGCCCUUAAUCUAAUCCAUAUUAAAUUAAGCUAAUCUAACCACAUAAUCAUCAUUAGCCUAAUCUAAACACCCCUUAAGCAUGAUUAACCUCCUAAUCAAGGUUUAAUGAGUAAACUCAUCGGUUUUGCGUUCCGGUGAGUCCACGGCGACGGCAAGGCAGGCGACAAUCAAGCUUGUGGCGACACCAAGCGAGGCUGGAAAGGGCUUGAAAACGGGCGAUGAAGACUAAAGACCCUUGCUGGUUUCAGCUUCUAUUCUAGGCUGAACUACAGAGAGGAAAUCAGCAGCUGCAAUGGCGAAAGCAGGCUAAUCAGAGCUCCGGUGAGCAGGUGGUCAGCAACCGGUGGCUCUCGGGGGUCAAGGGGGACUUACUAGUGGUUGGUAUGAGUCAAGGUAUGGUCAAAAUGGGGAGAAAACGGCUGAAAGUCGCAAAACAGGCGAAACAGUGCAGGCAGGUGGCUCCCAGACGGUCCGGCGACCGGUUUCUUCUCGCCGGCGUAUAGGAUGACUAGCGGCUCCGUUUAGCACGAGGUCGAGCUCCUUUGAACGGUUUGGAUGUGCUAAGCACAACGGUGGGUGGCACGAAGGCUAAUUCGUCCGAGAAGACCACUUUUAACUCAGAUCUUUGGCGAAAAGUUAGCUGGAGUAGAAACCGGCAUGAGAGAAAACAGAGGACAAAAAUGGGGUCUAUGGGCAAGCGACGGUGGAGGAGCUGGUGUGCUCGGUUUUCUCUGUUCUCUUGAGCUUCCAAGGAACCUCAACAAUGGAGAAAGCCACACAUUAAGGAGGAAGAAGGGCUGCUAAAGAGAGGGGUCCCCUUGGUGGCUUAUAAGGGCUCAACACUUGUCUUUCUCUCCUCACUCUUGCCUCCACCAGCCAUUAGCCCCUACGGCAGCUUUCUCUCACUUCAAUCUUCCUCAACAAGCUUGUCAAUAGGUCCACAAUGUUCCUCCCCCCAUGGCAUACGAAUUUUGUGACUUUGCCCUUCAAUUUCAAUCAAUUUCUCAUCCAAUCAAUCCAAAUUGAAGCCCACAAAUCCAACCAAGGUAUCUUCACUUGAUUCCACAGUUUUCCUUGUCCAUUGAAUCAUCUUGGAUGUCAAAAGCACAACCAAAAAUGAGCAAAUGAAUUUUCUAAUCCAAUUCCGCCAAAUCUUGAUUUUUCGCCGAAAAUCUCGGUUUGUAGAAAAAUUUUCGGAGGAUGAGUCAACGCUCCUAAAAUGACUUGUGACAUACAGAACUCUCAAUGUCUGAAUUCAGGUUCGAUUUCGUGGUUAAUUUCAAUAUGACGCGAUUUUAGUACGUCCUAAUCUACUGGGUAGCUUUUAGGAAUUUUUCCUGCAAUUGGCCCGUGGUCGAUUGUUUUCGAGCCACAUGUAUAUCUUCGACACAUUAGUAACUCUCGGUUGUUGUAGAAAUCUCAAGAUUUCAAAUACAGACACAGGGUACCAAAGCGACAGAGAAAUUGGUCUAGUGCCGAUCGAUAAGAAUUGUGCAAUUAGAUGGAAUCACCCACACUUAAUCACAUGGCUCUAUUGAGUCGACCUAUCUCCGGUCUCUAAUCGAUUUGUGCCGUAAUGACCCUUGCAGAUUAGUACGGUCGAUCAGUCGAUUCCUGGUCGAAUUCUCAAGUCUAUUGCAUUUAGAUUCCUUAACGGCUUCACCUGAUAGACUAGUUAUCCCAUGAGUGAUCAGCUCAGGGAAAAGGAUUAUAUGCACGUUGAUAAAAAGCCCAACUUAUUCAAUCGAAAUCAGAACCUGAAAUUCAGGAUGUCACAUUACAGGUCCACCAACUUUCGCCUGGUUCAAACCCGAACUACACAUCUACUAGAGGGGUCUCGUUUCGAUAGGGACUAACUUACAGAGAUAUUAUCUACUUGGCCUAUCCCAUACUAAGCCUUAUGGUUUUGUUCUUUGUCGCAAAAGUAAUCACUAUCCCAAGAGAUCAUCCAUCCUAGUCCAUUGCUUACGGAUCUAGUCCAUUCCCACUACCAAGUCCAUUUCUAAAAUUUGUCCCCCUAUGGUUAUCUUACACUUCUCACCUACUAACGUGGACAACACCAUGUUCUUCAGCGGUGUAGAAAUAUGAAGAGGCAUAUCUAAAGAUUUGGUUCCUAUUUCUCCAAAUCGUCUAUAUCUCUCAGACACAAAUGAAUGCGUGUCACUCAAGUCAAAUAAUGCAUAUGCCUUUUAUCAUUUAUAGAAAUCAUACCUGGGUUAACUUUUUUGGAAGCUUCCACUUCCUCUUGGGUGAUUGCAUACACCUUUCCUUGUGUUGAUGGUCUCUAUGAUUUCCCUUGUGGAGGUGGUCCGCCUACACAUAGUUGCACUUGUCGCAUCGAGUUGACAUUUAGUUGCAAUCCUUCUUGUGGACAAUUUCUCUUAAAGUGACCUCUCUGUCCACAACCAAAACACUUCAGUUGAUCAUUACAGGGUCCUAGUCCAUGUUGUCUACCACACCUUGGGCAAAAAUUGUUUUGAUAUGGCACUUUACCUAGAGCCUAACCACUCUGGGUCUUUUCGAAAUUUCCAAAAUUUCGCUUUUUCUUAGAAUCCCAAUGUAGCUCUUGGGCUAGAUAAGGUCUCUUGCCUUGUCAGGCAUCACUCAAUGUUAAUUGCCUCCCUGAUUCCAUUCGCUCCCUUAUCACUUCCUGUUCCACAAGAUGUGCCAUUUCAUUAUAAUCCCUCAUAUUCAGAGGCACUAGUUGCCUCUGAAUAUCCGUUCUCAGGCACUUCAUAAAUCUCUUAGCCUUUUCCUCUCGAUCCUCUAUCAAUCUAGGGGCAUGCCUAGACAGCUCAAAAAAUUUCGCUUCAUGCUGGUCUACCAUCUUAUUUACAGUUGAUUAGUUUGUUAGACUAACUAGGUUAGAGCUGAAAUUAUUGGAAAUGAUCCUCAGUAUCUCCACCCUUAUGAAAGAUAAGGUGUUAUUUGUUCUAGGUUGUUACGGGUGUAAGAUAGUUGUUAAUGGGUGAAAGGAAUUAAUAGAUCUAGCCGGUUGAUGUAUGACUUUGAUGUCAUAAUUGGAAUAGAUUGGCUCAAAAAGCAAUGAGCCACUGUUGAUUGAUUUAGUAGGGCCAUACAGUUUAACCCUAUUGGUAGUUUUAGUUAUGAGUUUAUAAGAAACAAAUGUGAACCGUCUACACCCUUAAUUUCUUCGCUUGAGGUAGAAUAGUUGCUAGAGGAAGGUUGCCAAGGCUUUCUGGCAAUGGUUGAAGAUCUGACGAUAGAAGAGCCACAUUUAGAGGAUAUCAUUAUGGUACAAGAAUUGGCGGAUGUCUUUUUGAAGUAAUUACAAGGAUUGCCUCCAGAAAGAGAGAUAAAGUCCGUUAUUAAAUUGGCCCCAAGAACGUAACCAAUCUCUAAGGCACUAUAUCGUAUGUUACUAUCCGAAUUGAAGGAACUGAAGGUACAAAUGCGAGAAUUCCUUGAUAAGGGAUUCAUUCGUCUUAGCAUAUCGCCUUAGGGAGCGCCUGUCUUGUUCAUCAAGAAGAAGGAUGGAUCACUACGACUAUGCAUCGAUUACCAACAACUCAAUCAGGUGACGAUCAAGAACAAGUACCCUUUGCCGAGGAUAGACGACCUAUUUGAUCAAUUUCAAGGAGCUUCAAUGUUCUCGAAAAUAGACGUGAGGAUAGGCUAUCAUCAGCUGAGGAUCAGAAAAGAAGAUAUCCUUAAAACCGCAUCUCAGAUGCAACACAGCCACUAUUAGUUUACACCGAUGCCGUUUGGGUUAAUCAAUGCCCCAACUACUUUAAUAGACUUAACAAACUAAGUUUUCAAGGCGUACUUAGAUCAGUUCAUCAUAGUUUUCAUCAAUGACAUAUUGGUGUAUUCAAAAAGCUCAGAGGAGCACAAAUAACAUUUGAAGAUGGUGUUGCUAACUCUUCAAGAAUAUGCAUUUUACGCCAACUUUAGCAAGUGCAAAUUUUGGCUCAACCAAGUGGCGUUUCUAGGACAUGUAAUAUCAGGCAAAGGGACCUCAGUGGAUUCAACAAAGAUCAAACGGUUGUGAAUUGGCUAAGACCUAUAAAGGUGAAAGAAGUUCAAAGCUUUCUAGGAUUGGCUAGCUAUUAUCGGCAAUUUGUGGGAAGGUUCUCUAGAAUAGCCACAUCUUUCAUGAGAUUGCUAAAGAAAGAAGUGAAGUUUGAAUGGACGGAUAAGUGCGAGAAGAGGUUUCAAGAACUUAAGCACAAGUUGACGAAUGCCCCAGUGUUAACUAUUCCGUCUAGUCUCGGUCAGUAUGAGAUCCAAAGUGCCGCCUUGUUUAAAAGAUUAGGUUGCGUUCUGAUGCAACAUAGACAAGUAGUGACCUAUGUGUUUAGGCAACUGAGGCCGCACAAGAAAAAUUAUCUAACACACGACUUGGAAUUGGCAGCAAUUAUCUUCCCCUUAAAGAUUUGAAGAUGUUGAUAUUUGAUUUUUAGUUGAUGUAUCGGAAAAAAAAAAUCGAGAUUUGGAUUUUUUAUUGCAACAUAACUUGUUCCUCAGCAAAAAAAAAAAAAGUGUCAUUUUUUGUUUCUUUCUAUGGCAUUGUCACUUUUAAGUAAUUUUCAAUUCAUUUUAUGGCAAAAACCUAAAAAGUCAAAAGGCUUUUGACUUUUUAGGUUGACAUUUUAGUCAACUUUUUGACCAAAAGUCAACUUGAUGUAAAAAAAUUGUAUUUUUGCCCAAAAAGAUGCCAUUUAGCCUUAGUUUCACCUUUGUCAAAUCAAUUUUUCAAAAAUUCAAAUAUUUGACCAAGAAAUCAACCUUUUAGAAAAUGGUUAACUUUUAGCUAAACUUUUGACCAAAAAAAUUGGAAAAACCAAAAAUCUCCAAGACGUGUUCUUUAGUGUCAAUUUGAUUUGUGUUGAAAAUUUCACAAAAUUCGAUUAAGAACCUACUUUUCUAACUGUUCCAAAUUGACCAAAAAUAAAAUUACUUUCAUUUUGUCAUAAUUAGGUGUGAUUCAUUUUUUGACAUUUGGUUUAGGGACUAUUCUAUAUCCACUCACGCAUUCGAUUUUGUGAAUGGCCGAGUCAAAACCAAAUUGUCACUUUAAGCCCUAAUUAAGGGGAUCAAAAUCGAUUCUUCAUAAUUUGCGAAUUGACAAUUGUUUUCCAUUCAUUUUUCUCAAGAUAAGUCCAAAUUCGAAAUCAAUUUUGAGAAGUUCACAUUAGAAAUUCUUGAUUUGAGGGAUUUCACUCUCUUAAAGGUAAGAAAACCAAGCCAACAUGAUUCAAUCGAAAAAAUUCAAAUUGACCCAUUUAAGAUUAAGGUCUGAUUGCAUGAAUCUAAGUUCAAUUUUAAUAUUAGACCUUGAUUUAGUUUUGGCUUGAAUCUCAGCACUUUAAUUCAUAGUCAAUUUGAAUACUCUAAGUGAUCUUACAAAUGGCUAGCUAAGUAGAUAGGGAAAUUGCAACAUCAAUUGGGCUCAAUUAUCAUCAAUUUGCAAUUUUACCCAAUGAAUUGCAAAAUUAUUCAUUUUAGCCCUUUAAGGACAACUUUAAGUACCCAUGGUUUUGGUCCAUUGUCAUUUAUAACAAUCACUAAAUAAAGUCAAUAAAAGACCCUUAGAACACAUUUAUGAAGGUUAAUUGGCUUGAUUGAAUUAAGAAUUUCCUCUUUAAUCAAGUAAGUUUUCCUUUCAAUUUGGUCCUUGAGGGACCAAAUUACAUAAAUUUUGAACUCACGAGGGCCAUAAGUGUGUGAACCAAUUAGAACCGGGUCAAACCAGUCGAAAAAUCAAUCAAGAACCAAGCAAAUCGGCGUGACCCAAUCUGACCAAUCUGAUCACCCUCCAACGAGGUCGGCCAAUUCAGCCUCUUACCAUUCGGUUCUAGACCUCUGGCAAUCAAUUAUGAGACCUUUACCGUGCCAAUUUCAGUUGUGCAUUCUCAAUUUUCCAUAAUUUUGCAAAUUGACCCUUGAAUUUCCUAAAAUUACAAUUUGACCCAUAAUUAGGUUUGUUAACGUAGUUCUCGAUUUAGUCUUGGCUUUUUGCGAAUCAAACCCAUUGGAUCAAUUACCUGACACCUCUAGAUGAUAAUCAAGCUUUCAAAAUUAAAUUUUGCUCGUUAGAUUAAGAUUUGACCAUCGGAUCAAACUAAUGGCCGAGAUCGUUAAAUUUGGGAUUGGUAUAAAUACCAAGUUUCCCUCCAAUAUGGGGGGCUCAUUUUUCUGCAAUUCUCUCUCUCUAAAAUAUAUUUUCUCUUUCUUCUCUCUCUCACAUUUUCUCGCCGACCUCCCAUCUCCAUCACUCCGAAUGCGCCAGCUGCGCCCCUCACCAGCAGCCACUUGAUUAGCGUCACUACCCAUUGUAAUCCCCAUCCCUCUCUCUCCUUAGUCGUAAAGCUCAGUUGUUAAUUAGUUGGUCGAAGUCUCUUGCUACAGCCUCUUCUCUGAUGUGUCUAAAGACUAGCAUCCAUACCGAUUCUAACUUCAUCCGAGCGAAUUGGCUGAACCAAACACCAUGCGGUGGCCCCCGACACCUGACCGUUGCCGAUCUGAUAGUAAUGGAGACCCCGACCCUCCGGUGGAUCAUCUUUGGUUGUCGUUUGUUCUGCCAAAAGCUCUGAAGGCCAAUCUAGGUGGACUGGUUCUGUUUGAAGCCGGUUUGGUUAUUCAGCAGUUUUAUUAGGCAAUCCGAUCGUCACUGACCAAGCGGUUAGAGACAACAAGAAAAGUCAUUGGAAUCGAGCUGGCGACCUCAAGUUCUUCCAGUAAACCCAAACUGAUCUAGGUGGGACUGGUUUUGCUCCUGAAGUAAACCAGCGGCUUAAUCUUCCUAUGGCAAUUCAUAGCGGUUUGGUUCGACCCUUAAAGAACUGAUCGAACUCUUAUCAAACUUCAGCAAGUGCUCAUUCGUCCAAUUGCAUUUGGAAUCACCAAAACCGAAACGAAGGUAAAUCUCUAGAUCUUAAAUCCCGUGAAGCGAGACCAAAUUAGCUAGUUAGGGCUAGGAUUCAAACCUAGGGUUUUGUAAAAUGCUUGGAUAUUUGAUUGAUAGACUUGAACAUUGAUUUGUUGUGAUUGAUUGUUCAUCAAUUAUGAACUUGAGAUGGUUGAACUUGAUUUGCUUCAAAUCAGUGAUUUUUGUGCUUCUAAAACUAACUAGCUAUUUUGGCUAAAUCGAGGUCUUAGAUGGCCUCUUUUCUAUGCAAGCUCUCUUAGACAUAGGAAGUAGACUCUAUGAGCUUCAAAUCGAUAGGUCCCACGCCUCAAUUGAGCGACAUUUGACCCCCCAAAAAACAUGUCACAAUCUGCUCGAUUUUUGUAGAUUCUUGGUGCUCUUUAAGUGUAGUCCUUAGUCCACUCAAUGUUUUGUUAUUUUUGCUCUACUCUUUGUGACGAUUUUUGGACAAACUUGUCUUCAUUGCUAGGUCAAAACUACUUAGAUUUAAGUAUUACUCAGUCUGCCCUGUUUUGAUUCAAGAUGAACUUAGGUAAAUUUGAGCAUAAAAUUGACCUUGUUCAACCUUAAGGCCUUCAUGAAGAAUGAACUGUAUGCUUUCCAUUGAUGCAAAAUUUUGAGGUUAUGCAAUGUGUCAAUUGCAUGCAUAAAGGUGCUCAGGUGCUGCUUUAAUAAAAAAGAUUAACCAUGCAAGUCUAUUUUGUCAUUUUUAUCAUAACUCGUGUAAUCAUAAUUAGGAUUUGAGUCCUUAAUGAAAAUGUUCAUCAUCGCUCAUUCUAUAUGGCUUAUUUUUAGUAGAAUUUAUACACAUCCUUAAGUAGUCAAAAUUUGGCAUGUUCUCAGCCCUCACUAUAGGAUUACAACUUUACCAUGUGCAUACCUUCGCGUGUGUAUUUAGGUCUUUUAGAGACCAAAUUUCGCGUUAGCGCCUUCUUGACAUUUGAACUACAUGUUACAAGCUUUGUAUUCAUGAAUAGUUCAUCAUAUUUAAAUGUCAUUUCGCAUGUUAAACUUGAGCCACAAUAAUGCUUGUUGCACUUAAGAAAAAUUUAAGUGUCAUUAUAAGCACUUAAUCAUGUUGUAGUGAAAUCAAAUCACUAAGCUAUCAUUAUGUGAUAAGUAACUUGUGAUAAGUAGUUAUGUGAUAAGUUAUUAUGUAGUGAUAAGUGUUGUGUGAGAAGUUGUUAUGGCAUGUUAUAUUAAUGUCAAAAGUUAAUAUGUGGUGAUAUGUGGCAUGUAAUAUGAUGUCGUGGUAUGUUAUAUUAAUGAAAUAAGUCGUAGGAUAGGUAAUUGCAAUAAUUUGAACUUUAGGCAACGACUUAACUUAUCUUUAAUAAGUAUUCUAUACUUGAGUCCCUAUGAUAAGAUGCAUCGUUUGUGACAUCCUGAAAUUCCAGCCCUCUGAGGGAUGAUUGAAUGUGAAUUUUGUCAAUGCAUUAUUGGUUGAUCUCACUCGGAAUUGAUCACUCCUGAGAUACUGACCUUGAGGGGAAAGGCUAAUGAGCACAGAACUUGUACGAUUAAAGAACUUGACCUAGGAAAACGACUUGACCAUGAGACUUGCGUGAGGACGAUCCUGUAGAUAGGCAGACCGAUUUCAAGGAUGACUAGAAGUUGAUUCGCAGACAAAACAUAAUGGAACGAUGGGUGAUUCUGUUUACUGUUAUCGAGCCCGUGAAUGACCCUAGGUCGAUCCUCAGUAAUUGUGUACUUUGAAAUAAGAAUCUAUCCUCCGCAAAUUCAUAUAGUCAAUGAUGUCCAUGUGGAGAUGUCUUGAACGUGGUUUGGCACGAGUCGGUUACGCGUGAAUCCUCGAAGCCGCCUAUCAGUCUGAGUUGUACCCAAAAUGGCACUGGGGCAAAAUUGACAUGGCACAACAACCCAAGAUUGGACUUCGAAUUAUCGGGAAUGUCUGAGAUGGACUUUGGAUGUGCUAUUUUGACCGGCGGCACAGCCAGUUAAGUCGAGUAUUUGGAAAAGGGAUUUUCGGACCGAGGAAUCUAGCCUAUAAGGACAUGGACUGGGCAAGGCCAGUGUGGGCCUUAGGCCCAAGGUGGGAUAGCCACCAUGGUGGGCCUAAAGCAAGCAAGUGAGCCCAUUGGGCCCAACCCACCAACUCACCUUCAAAACCCAUUGUCUAAGCCUCGAACCAUUUCAAGCCCAAUCAAUUCCCAAGCCCAUUCCUAUUCAUUUCCAAGCCCAUUUCUUAGGGCCGCCCAUCAUUUUUGGCCUGAGGACAGAUUGGGAAUUUGUGCAAGGUGGAAAUGACCAUUUUGAAAUAGCUAGUAUAAGCACCUAGAGGGGGGUGAAUAGGUGUAAAAAUAAUUCUUCGAGAUAUAAGAGCAAUACUAAGCAGACAAUAUAAAGGAAGUUCUUCUUGGGUUAACAAAGUGAAUUAUGAUCAAAGUAAAGCAGAGAGUAGGGAAGAGAAAAUUGAACACGAGGUUUAUAGUGGUUCGGCUUAUUUCAAGCCUACGUCCACUCUUCCGCACUAACAGCCCACCGGCUGGAUUUCACUAUGAACAAAAGAGAUGUUACAUCAAGUCUCUUCCUUGAUUCCACAGUGUGGAAACUCUACCACACUUCCUCAAGGUCUCUUAACGAAAUAGACUCUCUUUUGUGUACAAGAUUUCGCUUAACAAAUGAUUUGACUAAGAACAAAGAGCUUUAGACUUUGGAAUUCUUCUAUCGUGCACACACUCAAACAACUGGAACGUCUUCCUUUUAUACUCCUUUAUGCCAUCAUACCCGUUGGCACUUACCAAAGGAAUUCCUCCAAUCUACCUGUUGGACGGAAUCAAUUAGGAAGAUCAUUCGAGCUAUUAAAGGAACAUGUCGAUAGCCCAUCAAUCAUGCUCGCACAUACAAUCAGGAUCUCGGUUUCCAUAAGUAGAACCUUCCAAGUAUACUUCGCCAAUCAUCAGAUCCUUAAUCUCUUAAUCAAGCAUGAUCAAAUAAAGGAUUCCGUUAUGUCAUAUCCAGCCAAGAGAUCUUAUCCAGUCGAUAAGGUCAAAUCCUUAAUGAAACACCCAGUUCUGGAUAACCCUUCUUCGACGGUCUAGAAACUGUCAAUGAGAAUAGACUUUUAGUCUUGAGUCUAGCAGUCCGGAGGUCUUCAGACUUUGAAUAGUAGAGUCUGCAAAUCUUCAGACUAGACUGAUGGAAACGUUUUGUCAGCUUCAAAAUAUUCCAGGAAGAUUUCUCCAACACAUUUUACCCCUAAAAGCAUGUGGAUAAGGCAAAGGAAGAGAGAGAAGAUGAGGUCACCUUGCAUGGGGACUUGAAGCAAGCUUUCAAGGGCUUAAUGAGGUUUGACAACCAGCCAUCACAUCACUCUCUCUCCCUUCCUUCAGCCCUCUCUCGACCGAACUCUCUCUCCCCUUGUUUCUCCUUUCUUAUUUCUUCUUUCUUCUACUCUAACAAACCGUCCUUUAGAAACAGGAGUUGAUUAUUCGCUUCUUGUGCGAAGCAGCUCCCAUGCCACCCACCACCAUGCUCAGGACACCCAGACCGUCCGCCUGGACCCGACCGUUCAUCGAUCGAAGCCACCAGCUGACCUGCUGGCCGGCCAGAAGCUGCCACUCGCCGGACUGCUUGGCAGCUGCCCGGUCUGCACUAUUUCGCCUUUGCAGCCUGUUUCCUCCCAUUUCGACAAAGCCUCCACCCAACCCAACCACCAACAGGUCCCCCUCGACCCCCAGGUGCCGCCGGUCGCUGGCCAAGCCCUUGUUGGAGCUCCAGCCAAGCCGCCCAGCUCAUUUUCUCCUCCUGUAGUUCAGUUCUUCAAGGUUGCAGUGGGAGGCAGUGUUUAUUGUUGCUGUUUCAACCACAGGAUCGCGUUGGAUUGUCGUGGUUGAGGUCCCUGAGCAUAACCCCCGUCGUCGCCACCGCGUCCGUGUCUCUAGCCUACUUAACGGGUGCGUUUAGCUCAUAAUCCUUCUAUUAGUGCCUAAACUUGCUUAGGAUUGGUUUAAUUAGUAUUAAUUCUACUUUAUGAGGUUUGAUUAAGUUAUAUUAGCCCUAAGAUAGGUGGUUAGAUAGAUGAUUAAGAUUAGUUUAGGUUAAUCUUGCUUAAUGUUGCUUAAUUGUGGUUUGUGUGUUAUUAAGCAUGUUUAGCCUUAAUUGAUUGAUUUAAUUAAAUUAAUUAUUGUUUUAAUGAUUUUUGGAUUUGAUUUAUUAUUUCUUUAAUUCUGGAAAUUUAUUGUUCAUGCGACACUAUUCACAAGUAUUGUUCAAGUGCACUGUUCACAUGUACUGUUCACUUGCACUGUUCAUCCAAAAUGCAAAAAGUUGUCUAAUUUCAUGUGUGUUGAUUUUAUGAGGUGAAUUUGAUGUGUCAUUGCAUAGGCAUGCACAUGAAUUGUGUGGUUUCCACAAAAAGGGGAAAAUGGGUUGUCCAAGGGACAUUUGAGAUGGACCAUUUUUAUGAGAAAAUGAUGUGAGGGGGUAUGUUUGCGUGAUCACUAACUCGAACCCGUCACUGAUGUGCGUCGGUAUAUCAGCUUAUGCGAGCAGUAAUCGAAUUGGAACACCACCCAACGAGAGUUUGAGGGCGAUACCUGAUGGGAGUUGGAAGUUGGUCGCAGUAGAUUCUGGACCAAUGUCCCUCUUUGGGAUACCAUCUAGGCGGGAGUUCUAGACGUUGCCAUGAUUGACAGGGUGGGACGAAGCCCAAUUUUUUAUCGAUAGCCCGGCGGGAGUCAAAUGAUCGCUGACUGGAAAGUUACCCAUGGCCAGGAGGUCAUUAAUAACUGGGAUGACAGUUCGUCUACGCCAGUGGAACACGCGUGAGUGUUGAGAUUGUUACACAUUAUUAUGGGGUGAGACAAGGCCCGACUAUGCCGGAAGACCGCCAAACAUGGAGUAUGCCGUGCCUGUUGGGCUGUAAUUAUUUGAAACGCUUAAGUGAGUGAGAUAGUUGCGCUUUAUUAUGGGGUAAAAUUGUGCGGCACGGUAUGGGACAUGUCACAACGAUUUUACCUUAUAAUCGGAUGCGUGUGAUGGAUUGAUGUGGGAUAUGUGGCGCACUAAUGUGCGAGAGCGUAUGAGAAUCAUGGCAUCAUCGGUUCCAGUUAUGCAUGAGUGUAUCACAUCAUUUAUGGCACACACACAUGAAUCGAUAACGUAGAGGGUGUGGCAAUGGCCAGGUGAGAUCGUUUGUGACACAAUUCGUAUGUGAUUGAUGAACUGCAUCAUCUAAUGGCCAUGUGCAUUGCGUGUAUUGUGCUGAGAUUCGACGUGCAGGGUAUGGCAUACCAGGUAAGGUUACAUGCGAACCAAUUAUUGUUUUGUUAGUUGUGGACUUAUUUGUGGGGUGGUUCUGAAGAGAUACCCCAAGUUGAGUUGGUGUCCUAAUCGGGGGACUAAGGGGAGGACUCACUAAGAUUUAGUCUCACUGGUCAUUGUAUAACCACUUUUAGGUCUUUAGAAUGGUGCUUCCGCCAAUGAGAUUUGGGAUCCCCAAGGACUGGGAGAUCGUUGUGACGCACCACUGCUUCCUAGGUCGGGUGCAUCUUUACGAGAAGUAUUUCUCCAUCAUCUGGGUGGAUGAGGGACUGGGUCAAUAGAUACCCCAUCGGUUCCAAGCAUGGUUCAUUCGGGAUGGCGAGAUGCUAAUCGGUCCUCUACAUGGUUUUAACAGGCCUCCCGGUAGGGGCCCCAAGAACGCUGACUGGGAUCCAAUGGAGCUGGACCUUCCUGAUAGUGCUGUGGAGGAUGCUGCCCCUACUCCGCCAGUGAUCGACCCAUACACCUCCGACUAUGACUCGACGAAGUCUGAGUCCACUGGGUCCAAGUGACUGUAGUGCUGAACCCGUGGGUUCCUUUUGUGUAUAGUUGGAUUAGCCUAGCCUAGUUUCUUUUUGGUUUGGCUUAGAGGAUGGAUCAGCCCCUCUAUUAGGCUUGUAGAUCGAGAAUGAUCCUCCAUAAGUUAAUCCAAUAUGAAAAUGUAUAAAUGAGUAGAUGUUGUGUUUUUGUUGUUCAUCUCACUAUAUCAGUUUGAUUGUUUGUUUGAUGGGGAGAUGGUUCGUUUUCCGCUUGCGCAUAAUGAAAAAUAAAAAUGAAGGGUCAGCGACGAGUCAUGGGACAUCGCUUUCUAUCGACCAACAAAGGGGUUGUUGCGUGCUCGGAGUUCGGCAUGUGACAUCCCUACCCAAAGUGGUAUCAGAGCAAGGUUAGCGUUUGGGGUGAUAAGGUGCAAUGGGUUUUGGGAUAGUUAGUAGGAAAGGCUUUUUCCUUAUGCAGACGCCUGUGAUUGGUUAGCUAAUUGGUAGUUUGUUUCGUGAGGGUCACUCAGUUUUCCUAAUUCUGUGCGGAAUUGGAAAGCAGGCUCUAUAGGGAUCCUAUAGAAUGAGUGAUCCGGAUUUGAGGACUCCUAGGAAGAGGUAUGUGACAUAUGUCACUCGGGGUAGGACGUCGCCCAAGGUGGAGCGUCAGCUCAAGUCAGCGCAAGUGAGAGAGUACCGUCGCAGGUUAGUACUAGUGUAGCAGCGCCUAACAAUCCUUAGAUAGGAUCGUACAGGCACUUGAGACUCUUGGGAAUCUAACGGAGUAGCAAGUUCAAAAUCAAGCUACUGCAACCGCCACUACUACCGCCGCUAAUGCCGCUGCUGCUGCCGCACCUGCCGAGGUUCCUCCUAGGAACGUGAUUGUUGAGAGGCCGAUGCAUAAGCUUGUCGAGCAGUUUCUAAGGCUGAAACCACCAAGGUUCAUUGAUGUAGGGGACCCCAAGGAUGUAACACUCUAGGUUCAAGACUUGGAGAAAGCCUUUGCAUUACUAAGGUGCACAGAGGAAGAGAAGGUCGUCCUUGCAGUCUAUCAACUGCAAGGAAAUGCAAGCACUUAGUGGAGGGCCACCAGAGGAAUAGUGUUCUCAAGAGGUGUGGUUCCGAUGUGGGACGCCUUCCUUGAAACUUUUAACGGCAAGUACUUCUCCGACAAUGCUAGAGAACAAAAGAUGGAGGAAUUUCAGCGCCUUCAUCAAGGUCUGAUGACAGUAGACCAGUACGAGGCCAAAUUUGCUGAGCUAUCACAGUACGCCCCCAGGCUAAUAGAGGAUCCAGCUGACAGAGCUAGAAGGUUCAGGAUUGGCCUCCGACUAGAGCUAAAGAGUCCGCCGGUGCCAUUCGAUCUUAAAGAUUAUAAUGAGCCGUAUGGACAAGCCCAGUUGUUAGAGAGGAACUUGAAUGAACAAGCUGCUGCAUCUAGGUCGCAAUUUGGGUCAAGUAGAAAUGGUGAUCAGUUCGAGAAGAGGCCGAUGACUAGAGGAGAAUAUCCCAUUAAUCCCAACCAAAAGGGUAGAAUCGGAAAGUCAGCACCCAAUCUGAACGGCAGAUGUCGAAUUUGUAAAAGAAAGCAUGGACAUACUCUGUGUCCUGGUCUAAUGGGAGCGUGUUACAGAUAUGGUCAGCACAGUCACUGGGUGAAAGACCGUCCGUGCAGGCCAAUAGGACCACAGCAGCUGUAACCGCCGCCACUGAUGGAAUAGAACAGAGGGAAUGCACCGCAGACAGGACGCCACUAAGAUGGCGAAAGGGACAGGGAUGAACUAAGCCAUGCACCGAUUAGGGGAAGAAUUUUUUGGGAUAAUUUAUCAGAAUGGCACAUCAAAAUUUUGGUUAAGCUUUUAGAAUUUCAGUUUGUUGAAAUGCAGUUGUAAAAAGGAGAAUCACUGGUUAGAGUGGUACUUAGCUAAUUUUGCUUAUGUAUAACUUUGAGGUUGUAAAUGGAAAAGAUUGGCUCAAUGAGCAUAUUGUUGUAAUGAAUCGUUGUUGUGUAGUAAUCCAGUUUAAACCGUUAGCAGGAGAAAGUUUCGAGUUUAUUGGAAGUUGAGGGAGAUUCUCGAUUACUUGAACUUCGUCGCUUAAUACAACUCGGUUACUGGAUGUGGGUUGUCGAGGUUAUUUGGUAACUAUAGUGGAUAAGACAGUUGAGGAGCCGAAAGUGGAAAGCAUUGCCAUGGUAUGGAAGUUUUCUAAGGUUUUUCCUGAAGAAUUACCCGGUCUGCCAUUAGAAAAGGAGGUCAAGUUCGUGUUUGAGUUGGCCCCUAGGACGGAGCCAAUCUCUAAGGCUCCUUACCAUGUGGCAUUGUUAGAAUUGAAGGAACUGAAGGUGCAGAUGCAGGAAUUGUUGGAUAAAGGAUUUAUACAUCCUAGUGCAUCACCUUGGGGAGCACCAGUUUGAUUUGUGAGGAGGAAAGAUGGGUCGUUGCGCCUUUGCAUCAACUAUCGGCAACUCAACCAGGUGACAAUCAAGAACAAGUAUCUGUUGCCAAGAAUUGACGAUCUGUUUAAUUGGUUACAGGGAGCUUUGAUGUUCUCGUAGGUCGACCCGAGUACGAGUUAUCAUCAGUUGAGGAUUAAGAGACAAUGUCGUUGGAUAGAACUUCUCAAGGACUGUGAUUGCGACCUCCUGUAUCACCCUGAAAAAGCUAAUAAAGUUACAGAUGCGUUGAAUUGAAAGUCAUCAAUUGCACAGAUGGUGAUUCAGGAGUGGAUUUUACUCAAAAGAGCUGGAGAUUAGGUUUCAAAUCUGAGGUAGGCCACCUUUCGAGUCAUAUGGCCAUCCUCAGAAUUGAACCAAAAGUAUAGCUAAGAAUCAAGUCAUUGUAGAUGACAAAUCUUGAGAUCCAGAAGAUUCUGCAGGAAGAUACAGAAAAGAAAAAGGCUGAUUUGCAAUCUACCGAGGAUGGAACACUAAAAUUUUGUGGACGAUUGUGUGUACCCAACGAUGCGGAACUUAAGGAAGAGAUCUUGUUAGAAGCUCACUAUAGCAAUUAUCAGUAGACCGGCCAGAUGACACCGUUUGAAGUGUUGCAUGGCAGAGAGUGCAGAANNNNNNNNNNNNNNNNNNNNNNNNNNNNNNNNNNNNNNNNNNNNNNNNNNNNNNNNNNNNNNNNNNNNNNNNNNNNNNNNNNNNNNNNNNNNNNNNNNNNCUAGUUUUGCCAAACGGUAAAUUAUUUUUCAAAGCUACUUGAGAUUGUAAUUUACCAAACGGUGUAGCAUUUCGGGAAAUCCCUUUAUCUCAAAGGUAUUUGCAUUCUCCCAAGUGCAUUUCCCCAAAGUUGAACCAAACGGGCCCUUAGUCCAAAACAAGUUUAAAGGUCCUUUGGGACUAUUCAUCUUCUUUAAGAAAAGUUGAUCGAAAGACUACAAUCACCUACCAAGGGGUUGUGCACGCUGGCGAUGGCCGCUUGAGGGUCACCCAACCUUGGCAACCAUCGCCGGACCUUAGGCUACGCGUGGGUCACGCGACCCAAGCGACUGAUGGCCUGAAUCACAUGACUUAGGUGGCCGCUUGAGGUUGCGCACCCUAGGCGGCCACGUGAACCUAGGCAACCAAUGCUUGGGGUCGCGCAACUUUAGGCGGCCUCAUCUAAAGUGGGAAACCUUAGGUGACGGCGUUCGGGGGCUAGAUCUGGUCGUUUGGCGGCCAGAUUCGGUGGUUCGGCUGAUAGAUUUUGCCGAUUAGUGGCCAAACUUCAAAAAAUAAACUACAAAUGUUUUUUUUUAAUUUAAUAAAAGUCAUUUAUAAAUGUAAAUUUUAUCAAACAGUAUUUUAGCCAAAAUUAUUUCUCAAUACACAUUAGAAUUACAAUUCACCAAACGCUAUUUGCAUUUCAGAAAACCCUUUUCAUCCAAAAGUAUUUGCAUUUCUGCAAAUACAUUCCCCAAAAGUCAAACCAAAUGGGGCCUUCAUCGGAUUGCUGCCCUUCGGGCAGUUGUAAAAGCAUCGAGGCAUUAAGUAUGUCACAAAGCAUCAAUUUAAGUUUUUUUGUUAUAUGAAAAUUAAUUUAAAAUAAAUAUAUCAUAUAUAUAUUAAUUUAAAAUUUUCUAUAAUACGAAAAUUCGUUUGAGAUACAUAGAAGGAUAUUAAUAUUCUCAAUUGGGAAUUUUUUUAUGAUAUAUAUAAAGUGUUCGUUUUGUGAAAAAUGAAUGAUUUUGAAAAAUAUUUUUAAAAAAAUGAUUACUUAUAUUAUUUGGAAAAAUUAAUCAACGAAAAUAUUUUUGUUAUUGAUAAUAAUCUAUGUCUAACUAUUUUUAUUAAAAAAAUGAAAAAAAAAAUCCAUUCAUCUUCCGGUGAAACUAAUCCAUCCUAAGUGGAAAAAAAAAAAAAAAAACCUGCAACAUCAUUAAGAGCAAUCACCAUAAGACCUGGCAUUGAGAAUAAAUGAAAAUAUAAGCAUUCGCCGAAUCCAAAUGACCGAUUAUGUGAAUCAAAGAAAGGUCAUUGAACCUGAACUGCGCCUUCUACAUGAAAAGAGGAUAAAUAAGGCACGCUAUCUGCAAGGCACGCUAUCUAUCGCGCCGAGAUAACGUCAGGACAGAUUUUAUUCGCAUCAAAGCAGAGCUUCCCAAUUUCAAUAGUUACAGGCAAGAAUGAAAAGCCACUAGCUCGGCACCGGCGGGCACCUAGGAAAUCAGAAUUCCGGUAGGGCAAGGCUAGAUGGACAUGAACUUUGGAGCCACAAUCUCGAGAAGUCCCUUCGGAUUGUCCACAUGAACCCAGUGGCCAGAAUUAGGAAGAACAUGAACCGAAACCUUCCCUUCGGAUCGGUCCCUUCCCAGACUAGGAAGUCUUUCGAGCCGUUGUAUCACGUCCGGGUCCCAUCGAUCGCUCUUCUCUGCACGUACAAUUGCUAUUUCCGUGGCUUUCGGCGGUUCCUCCAACAAGACCAGUAGGAUGUCUCCCUGUACNNNNNNNNNNNNNNNNNNNNNNNNNNNNNNNNNNNNNNNNNNNNNNNNNNNNNNNNNNNNNNNNNNNNNNNNNNNNNNNNNNNNNNNNNNNNNNNNNNNNNNNNNNNNNNNNNNNNNNNNNNNNNNNNNNNNNNNNNNNNNNNNNNNNNNNNNNNNNNNNNNNNNUUAGCAACCCUUUACAUAGUGUGUCAGACUCUGCAUCUUCAGAUGCACACUGUGAUAAGAGAACUCUGCAUGAUAAUUGGGAUUAUACCCAAACAGAAGUUAUAACAACUCAGACAAUUGAGACAGACUAUCAACUUCUUCAAAUGGAGCAGCCCUUUGGGGUUAAAUUCUGCAAUAUACUGCUUACAUGUCUAAUACCAGACUAUCCAACAUAAAUGACAGUAAGGAAGAUGCACAUGUCCCUUCUCAAGAUGUUGUGGACUUAGAAAACGCCAUUCUAAGGGGUAUUGAAGUACUCAGAACAACUUUCCAAACACUUCUUGCUGCAGAAUGUCUUCAUUUGCAUUAUUAAUUUGCUUGACUAACAAAGAGAGAAAAAUGUUGAGACAUGAAAGCUGUGGCUAUGACAUGCUAGCAAAGGACGAAGGAUAAUCCUACUUUCUUGAUGGGAUUGUUGAAGGUAAACUCUGCAAUGUUUCCAAAACUUUUUCUACUUCUCCGUCACUAUUAUCCGGCUUUACUUCUCCUGGGACAGAAUCUAGCACCCCCAGCUGCUCUGCAUCAGGAAAUAGAAAUAACUAAAGAGCUUUACCAGCACAUUAGCUGCCAUAACGUGCAGAGACACAUAUAUCAUAAUUAGGAUCGCUCAAACAAAAAUUUCCAGUGGCAUUGACAUCACAUAAUAACCUGAUCGGAAAAAGUUAAUUACCAAUAUGGCUUGAAUUUCAAUAGCGCAUCAUGUUCAUAAUAUAGGACAGCAUGGCCAGCAUAACAAAUCAUGCAAGAGCAGAAAACAGAAAAGGAACAAAAUAAAAUGCCAUAGGCCUGUCCACUAUAUUAAUUUCACUCCCAGGUGUUAAACAGACAAUUUAAAAGCUUAGGCUAAUUGGAAACGAAUAUACCAUUCAUAUCAAGCAUAUCUCUUAACAUUUUUCACUGGGUAAAAGCUAGACCUUACACAUGAAGCACAGGAUGUGGAUGCAACAGCAUCAAAUGGAGCAUCAGAGACACCUAAAACAACAAGAUUAUACCAAGGAAACUUGCACAAGGGAUUGCUAGGAUUUAAAUUCUCGCAGCAGAUCAAGACAAGCAAAUUCUCCCAUCAACUUAAGUAUCAGAAAAUUGAACCCUAGCUUAUCAAGCAUAUCUUUUCAUGCCAGACAUCCUGUAAAGCAUCAUAUAUUCUUUCUCUCAUAUUCAAUUGCUAGAACUAAUUUGAAAAUGAAACAUGUACAAGCAGUACCACCUUGGCACCCUUUCAAGGAAAAAAGUCUCAAACUCUGCAAGCCCUACCAACAGCAUGACUGAAGGAAUAAGAGCCAGGGGAAGAUUCACCUCAUUUGUGGCCAUGGAGCCAAUGGUGCAUGCUUUGGGGGUGAUGAAGCAUAUUCUAUCGAUAUUGUUAACCAAACAAUAGUGCAUUCCAUAUUGCAAAAAAAUUUGUAGAAUGAAGCUAAACCAUGCUUUGACUUCUACAAUGAGGUAAGCAAUUCCUAGACAAAACCCAUGGAAUAGCACGAUUGGUAGCAAGUAUCGGAUUAAUGGAAGAACCUCCACUACCAUUCACCAUCGAGUGCAUAGGGACAUCAUGUAUUCUGCUCACUUAUAAAUGAAAGUCGAGGAUUCCAGCUUAAGAAAUAUAUCACCAGAGUUUGGACACAUCAAAGACAAAUACGAGCAAGACCAGGAAAGGAUUGACAGAGCCUUGUGUCGAAGCUCAGUUUACUACCAUAUCAAGAAAUGGCAAGUGCUCUACAACAAUGAACUUCGGCAGGAAUUUAACUCAUGGACUUGUCAAGUUGCACUUUUGGACCCUCAUUACUCAAAAUAUCAUUUUUGCUUCUUUAAGCAUAAUGGGGUUUCCUGCCCUCAAUGAAUCACAUCGUACAGCAAUUAAGCAUUAUCUGCAGAAAAUGACUGGCAAUAUGCUCAAGAAUCUGAGGGACUAAACUAACCAGUAAUCAAGCACUUCCAAUAAAUUAUCACUCGCUAAGGGCAAAUUACUGAGCUGCGAAGCUAGACAAUCACGACAUUUCGAGAAACGACGAGGAAACACGCCUACCAGUCUGGGACACGCGGCGGAUUCACCGUAGUCCCCGCGAGCGCAGCUCUGCGCGAACUGCAAGGCCACCUUGCCGCCCAUGGAGUGGCCGAUCACGGCGUCCGGCCAAGCCCAGCAUCGAGACUUCACCAGAUCGGCCAGAUCCUUGGCGGCGCUGAACAUGUCGUGAGGCGGGCCGAAGCCCCCCAGCUCGGCCGAUCUCCCGUGGUUCCUCAAAUCCACCAGAACCAUCCUCCAAUCUGCAAGCACCCCCGAAGAGCAUUGGGCAAAAGAAAAAAGAAAAGAAAGACUCCAGUCCUCCACGAAACAUUCACAGAAGGGGAGAGAGAGAGGGUACCGGAGGGAGGGGAGGCGGCGGAGAGAGUGGAGGCCAAGGAGCGAGAGAAAGACCUCCAGUUCCUGCCGGAGCCCAGGAGGCCGUGGAGCACGAAUGCCGUCGGGGCGGCGGGACCGUCGCCGGAGGGAGGUGGGGGUACCUCUUCGUAAGCUAGGGUUUGCAGGGACCGGGCGGAGGAGGAGGAGAAGCUGGUCGGCAGGUAACGGUGGCGACUCGGUGAGUCGAGGAACCGAGUCAGGAGGCGGAGGGGCCGUUUGUUUCCGAGACUUCUGGCCAUGGAUGAUGAUCCCCCCUCCUUCGUGCUCGAGUCCGGAUGCUUCAGGCUUGAUUAGAGCUGUUGUGUAUU